UUUUUUUUUUUUUUUAUUACAUGAGACUAUUGCUCAGAUUACAACUCAUAUACAUGAGACUAUUACUGAUAUUUACAAAUCAGACUAUUACUGGGACCAACUGACAUCAAUGCUAAUGGAGCUCUGCCCAGAUUUUAACCCUCACAAAUAUUCGAGGGAUGUCUACUCCUCACUCAUGGGUAAGGGAGAAGACUACCUCACUCAAAUUAAUUGAGUGAGAAAAUCAGUUUAAUUCUUAGAGUUUUCAAAGCAUUAGACUUAUGUGAUCAAUCCAACGAUUUAAAACAGUUUGCUGUUAGUUACAGCAGAUGUAACUUAGCUGGACCCUGUUUCAAAGCUUUUAUUUUGCUCAGAUUUCCCGCUCUCUCAAUCUCUCUCCCCUAACGGUAGCCAGUUUUAAAUUAAAAAUAAAAGAUAAAAAAUUCACUCUCAUUUCGAUUUCUCCCAUAAGGGUUUCUCAAAUCAAAAUGAAACCAAAUCACAAUAUCAAGAAACCAGACUCGUCUUCAAAGGUACGUCACAGUUUUCCAGUUUCUGUUUUCCAAUUCAAAGACCUAAUUUCAAAUUUUUUUAAUCAAAUAAAUAUUUCUAUUCAAAAUUUCGGAGCUCACUUUUGUUUUUAAAAUUAGCAGCUGAGUUUAGAAGAGAUAAUUGGAUUGAAUACGAGGAACUGCAAUGGGUUGGCUUCGAAUACUUCAACCGCGAAGUGCGCUUACGUGGCCGGAUGUGUUUUGGUGGUUUACGAUGUGGAUUCGAGCACUCAAUCGCACCUCAUGGUGUCUCAUCGAAUGCCUAAGCCUCUCUGCUGCGUUGCCAUGUCACGCGAUGGCCGUUAUGUAGCUGCUGGAGAGGUAUUGCAUCAAUUUGACAACAAAAUGUGCAAUUAACCUCUUAAUUCUUCAAUUCAAAAAAUAAAAAAUCUAUUGAUUGUUGUAUUUAUUUAUGAAUUUCUCAAAACAAGGCCAUUCAAAUUUUAGAAAAUGCUGAUUUCUUCAUGAUUGUUGGCAAUUCAGCUCAAAAUUGCUUAAAUUCAAUUCUCACCUCCUAAGGACCUUGUACAAUUUCAAAUGUGCGCAAAGAAUUACAAAAAGAUAUGAAGUUGUGAAUUUGAAUGCAUUGAUUAAUCGAUUCAUUAGUGAGGGGUUGGACCAAUUGUUGGUUGCAGCAAUUAAGUUGUGGUCCAUAUUUUGAAAGAUGCCAAGUUCACAAGAGGGAACUGUAGAUAUUGAGAAUUAUAUUUAUGUAUUUUGUAAGGGUUGGAAAUAGUAUUUGGGUUAUUUUUACGUAUAAUAGUAGCUAUAUGCAUCUUUUAUGAUCUUGCAGUCAGGGCCGCAACCUGCAGUUUUAGUUUGGGACUGUGCAAAUCUGGCCUUUAUUUCUGAAUUGAAAGGCCAUUUGUAUGGAGUUGAGUGCAUUGCUUUCUCACCAGAUGGUUAGUUACAAACUUACAAUCAUUCAAUUAGAAGAGCUAUAUUUUGACUUUAUCUAUUUAUAUGAGUUGAUAUUUUCAUGCAAUGUUUAUUUUCAUAAAGUUUAUGCAUUGAUUAUUUGACCAUUCAUCCAUAUUUUGCUAAUGUUUUACUUCAAGGAGAACAUCUGGUGACUGUUGGGGGUUAUAUUUACCUUUGGAAUUGGCGGAGUGCAAUGUUGGUUACGAAGCUUAAAGCAAAUUCAUCUUGUUCUGCCAUUACUUCUGCGUGUUUCUCAUCAGAUGCAAAAUUCAUUGUUACUGCUGGAAAGAAGCACUUGAAGUUCUGGACAAUUGGAUCGUCUGCGACUGCAAGGACCCGUUUAAACAAAGGCACAGAAUCUUUAACACUGCAUGCGAAGCCAGUCAAUCUAGGCAUUCAGAAAGAAAGUUAUUUUGUCUCUGUCAUAUCUGCCACCUGGACUGAUAAUGGUGUUGUAAAUCAAGAACAGGCUGGAGAAAGUUUCACCAUAUAUGCACUGACUGAUGCAGGUUAAUGUUUGCUUUAAGAACAACUGAAGAAGUUCAAUGCAUUGGAGUUAUUGAAGUGCGGUUAAUGAGUGCCAUUCUGCUCCUUAUGAUUACAGGCAUUUUGUAUAUUGUACAUUCUGGGCUUUCAGUAACAAAGUCAGUGGAUUUGAAGGUAAAUUUGGCUCUUUUUUUUCUUUUUCCUCAUUUUCUUUAAUAGUAGGUUUUCAGCUAACCUAGUUGCCCGGCAAAAGUAAAUAGAGGGUCAACAGCUGAAAGAUGCUACUGAUUUUGAUGGACCAAUUAAAGAAAGGAAAAUCCCUUUACUUUCCCCAAGGUUCAAUCCCAUAAUGACAAUGCUAAAGGUUGGGCUGGUGUUGUCAGGUUUUGAAAUGCUUCAGCUUGGUUAAUUUUAAUUUUCAUGAUAGCAUCUAUCUCCUGAAAAACUGAAAUGGAUAUCAAUAAGUACCAGAUCCAUAAGUUGCUUCCAUUGAGGCAAGAUAAACUAGCACAGAAGUAUUGUUGCAAGUUGAAUAAGCUCAUAUCAAGCCAUGAAUGUCUACUAUGCACUGAAUUUUAUUGCUUAAAAGUUAAUACUUGUAUGAAAGUCAUUUUUAUUAUAUUACUUUUCUAAUAUUACCUGUUUAUAUUUUACAGUACUCCUAACUCUAUUUUCAGGUUAAAAACGGAUUUGCACUCUCUGCAUCCAGCAAGUUAAUAGCUUGUGCUUGCAGCAAUGGAGCGGUACACCUUUUUGACAUUCAGUCUCUUAAACAUGCUGGAACACUUCACUAUUCAGAGGCCAAAAAGUGCAAUGGAGAAAAUGAUACGGUUUCUACUGCUAAAGCAACUGAAUUGUAUUUUAAACUAACCCCUACUAUUCCCAAUGCAAUUGCUUGUCAGUUCUCAACAUCAGAAAAGCUUGGUGAGCACGUAACUAUACAAUUGCCUUGAUAAGUGGAUUUCCCCGUUGUUCGAAUCUUGAACUUAUCAAUGCUUCUGCUUUUCAGUGGUUGUUUAUGGUGAUCAUAGUCUCUAUGUAUGGGACAUUCAUGAUGUGAAUGAGGUAGUUGCUUAGAGUAAGAAUUAAUGCUUUUCUCUUAUAACUUAUUAUUUGAUUCAUAAAGUUGCCUAUAUUUGUUUCUUGUUUUUGUUUUUUAGUAUUGGUUGCUGCUUCAAUCUCCACUCUAUUGAAUGUUUUAAAAUUUUUCAAGGCUACAAGGUGUUGUGUGCUAGUGUCCCAUUCCGCGUGCAUAUGGGAUAUCAAGAAUCUUGGCUGUGAAAACAUGCACGAUCCAUCCGUUUCAUGUGUUGCUAGGGGAUGUACUGGUGGAGUUUCUUUCUCGACAUGCUCAGCUGAUGGAACUAUCAGGUUAUGGGAUCUGGCCCUGCAAUCUGAGUUGUCAAAGGAUGUCUUGGGUCAUGAAUCUCUGAAUAUUGAACCCAUGAGCACUGCACAUUUAGGUAAUUACCACAUUCUGAGGCACUGACAAACAAAUCCACAAGGAUACAACUGUACCUAUGUGCACUUUUUAAAACUCUGCAAAAUGUUUAUUUAUUGAUAUUUUACAGAAUUUAUACAAACUUCCUUUUCCCUAUUGAUAUUCUCAUCCAUUUUGUCACUGCAGUUAGUGCUGGGAUUUUUGAACGUAAUACUAUGGAGACAAGUGUGAGCACUCAAGGGUACCGGUCGAUGGCAGUUAGCUCAGAGGGGAAGUACCUUGCUGCUGGUGAUUUUGAUGGAAACCUUCACAUCUAUGACUUAAAAUCUUCUGAUUAUACAUAUAUUGAGGUGAACCUUAGCAUAGACAUUUAUCUUCAAAAUCAUUUCCUGAAGAAACAAUCAAUUUGAAGCACAAAACUAAGCUCUUUUCAAAUGAUUGGUGAUGAAAUGAUGGUCAUCUUAAUAUGAAUAAUAUGAACUAUUUUGCAGGAUGCCCAUGAUGCAGAGAUCCUUUCAUUGAGUUUCAGUUUGUCAAGCAAGAAAGAUGAUGUUUUAGAAGAAGUCACCGAUAGCCAUUACUUCCUUGCUUCUGGGGGAAGGGAUCGAACAAUCCAUCUAUAUGAUGUUAAAAGGUUUAGCUUCUUAUAUUGUACACUUCUUUAGCUUAUUGAAUGUGUAUACUAACUAGGCUUCCCUUAUAUCAGGAAUUUUGAUCUCAUUGAAAGUAUUGAUGACCAUUCAGCAGCGGUGACUGCAGUGAAAUUUACUUGUAAUGGCCGUAAGAUUCUGAGUUGUAGUGCUGAUAGGUAUGCUGCUAUAACUUCAAUUUUCAUUGCAUCACAAAUCUAUCAAAUCUUAAGUCGAAGGAGCGUUUGGUAAUAGUUAGGAAAGGAAAUCAAUUCUUCACUAUUAAUAUUUCACUUCAAACAAGUUGUCAUUUGGCUUUUGAAAUAGUAGUAUCUGUUGCAUCUAUCUGAUCAUUUUUAAAAAAAUCAAAGAUUGUUGGAAUUCACCUUUUAUUUCAUAUUUGGUGACAACGAUCCUUUUGUUGUAAAGGAACUUAUGAUGUCAUUCUGACAUGGGUUUGUGCUUCAACUAGCCAUUUGUAAAUUUAAUUACCUAGAAGGAUCCAGAUGCCUAUGUUUGUAGAUAAGAUUAUUAUUCUUUCAUCCAGGUCUCUUGUCUUUCGUGAUGUUGUCGAAACCAAUAGUGCUUAUAAGAUUUCACGCCGUCAUCAACAAUUGGCAUCUCAGGGAACUGUAUAUGACAUGGAUAUAGACCCAACAAUGGAGGUUGUCAUUACUGUUGGGCAGGUAAAUGGUGUGUUAAUAGCAAUUCAAGAGUAAAUAAAUUUUCAUUAAUGAUGCUUUGGAAUGGCUUCUACUAUCAACAUGUAAUGCAACCAGCCAAACUGGUCUUUGAAUGAGUGUCAAGUACACAAAAAUCUUUGGUUAGCUGGCUGAAUAAUUUGAUUAGCAAAUUCCCUUGGAUUCUUGUGAUUUGGGUUCAAGAGUUUGAUUAUUUAAUUACUCAUUGGUAUACUCAUAGGAUAAGAAGAUAAACUCAUUCAGCAUUGCCGCUGGAAAACUUAUUAGAUCAUUCAAGCAAGCUAAAGACUUUGGAGAUCCCAUGAAGGUGAGCUACAUUGACAACCAGCAGUGUUGCACCAUUAUGUUGUUGGGUUGUGACCUGAUAAUUUUUACAGGUGACAGUGGACCCAAGUGGCAGUUACCUGGUUUGCUCCUACUCAAACAAGUCUAUCUGCUUGUAUGACUUCAUUAGCGGUGAGAUGGUUGCAAAAGCCAUGGGCCAUGGUGAAGUUAUAACUGGUGUCACCUUCCUACCUGAUUGCAAGCACAUUGUUUCUGUAAGUUCCUGUUAUGAUCAAGUUUCAAUUUUAAUAGACAAUGAUAUGAAAUAUCUUUCAAAUUGCUUUGUAUCCCACAAAUAAUAAUACCUUUCAUUUUUUAUUAUUGGAUAGAAUCCUAACUUUAUUGAUGUAUUCAGGUAGGGGGUGAUGGUUGUAUUUUUUUAUGGAAAGUUCCUGCUCAUGUGGCUUCUAGGAUAGUGCAGAGAGUGAAGGAAAAGUAUGGUAUUUUGCCCCCAAGAAACUUUGCCCAGCCAGCAGCUUUAAGUCAAAUCAUCUUCUGUGAAGAGGAAGAUCAGAAAUGUAGAAUGGACUCAGUCGAUAUGUCAUUUAAGAAGGAUCUCGACCAAAUUGGACCUCAUCUGCACUAUCAUGGUGUGAAACCUCAUCUGACCUCAGCAUUCAAAUUUAGCAUUUCAAGACUUCCAAAGUGGGCACAAAAGAAAGUAACAGACUCCGAAAUUGUCCCUGGGAAUCUUGAUUUCAGUUUGUCCCAGGUAAUUUAUUUUCAGGCUCUUCACAUAUGAAAUUUGCAUUCUGAUGUCUGAGAAAACUAAGUUACAAUUUCACAUUCUGUUGGAAAAUUGUACUCUAGUAGGAACCUUUUUCAUACCUUAUUGCACUUUUUUCAAUUUGACAAGUUUCUUAAUAGUUCUGAAUUUCUUUCAUUUUGAAUAUCUCCACUGCUGCUUGGGGCAAGCAGGAAGUAGAAAAAAAGUCUUUGUCGCCUUUUGUUGGUGAUGUUGGGGGUUAUUCUCCUGAGAGUCAAGAAGUUCAAAUUCCAUCUAAUCAUGAUUUGGAAGACAGCAAUUCAUGCACCAGUUGUUUUUCCACAAGUUUUUCAGACGCUAAAAAGAGCCAAAGUUCACCGUUGCCACAGGAGACCGUCAGGUUAGCAUUUAUUAUAUUUGUCAAUAAUAUCCUUGUUCUUCUUAUUUAUGGUGGGUGCUCUAUUAACUAAUGGUUUUCAUAUGCACUUCAGCAGCUUUGCCCUUGGCAAACGUUGGCUCAGAGUGUAUACUGUAUGUAUGGACUUAUUAAAUUCCCCAGAGGUGCUGAGUUUAAAAUAUGGGAAGAGGCCACCGCUAUCCUCAAGUUUGUGUAAGGCCAACUCUGUUUGUUAUCAGAUUCUUGUUGAGUUUCUUUUGUAAUAAGCAUAUAUGAAAAAAAUGACAAUAAAUUUUGAGAAUAAGGUUAUUAUCUUGGUAUGAUUUUCAUGGAGGAUGAGUAGAGGACAAAAAUAAAGAUUACUGAUAUCAAUAGUUAACUGGCCAGAGAGAAUGACCUCUUCUUCUCCUCAUUUCCAAAUUGCAAUACUAUAGCACAUGAAUCAUCAUUUUGGAAUUUCAUUGAGAUGAACACUUACUGUGUCACCAAAGUUGAGAACUUAUCCAUGAGAUGGCUAUUAUUAGCUUUUUUUUUUUAGCUACAAUUCAUGAUAAUUUCUUGAUAGAGAUACAUUUUUCAUCCUAACUAGUAACUGAAAGGAACUCAAUAUCCCUAAUGAAAUGCCAAGCAUGCCAAGCAUCUAUCUUUGGGACAUAUGUUUGCUACUUCUGUCCCAGUAUUAUGUUUCUCCUUUUUCUAAUGAUAUCAUUUUCGUGCAGCUAAAAGCCCAAUAAACAUUCUGAGUGAUGAUUUGCAUGGUGCCAAUGGACAGGGUGCCACUAAAAACCAACAUGCCAAUCCCAAUGACAUCAGCAUUCUUGGCAAGAAAAAUUAUCAAUUUGACAUGAAAAAUCUGAGUGCAAUUAAUGAGACAAUGGCUGACUUGGCAGGACAAUCGUGUUCAGAAAAGAGUGAGAUGCAAGAAAAUAUAGAUGUUAACACAUGCCUCAAAAAUUCUGAAGAUAGUGAUUUGUUCAAGCAGCAUUUUGGCAGUUUAUCCGCAACAAAUAUGGUGAGUGCUGUUUCAUGCUACAGUGUAUAUAAUUUCCUGGGCCUUUUUUCGGCCAUCAAAUUGUGAUUUCUGUCAAUGCAGUUUUAUACGUUUAUGUACACGAAAAGAAACAAAAUUUCUGAUAGACCCCUAGUAUGUUUGAUAUGAGGUUUUGUUGAGUGUUGUAUGAAAGUUACUUAUGCUUACAGGUAAAGAAUAGGGCAUCAGCAGUGGGAAGAAGAUUCUCCUCACAAUAUGUCGUACAUAGGGACUAUGGUCGGGGCUCCAAGAGACUCUUUGACACACCUGUCCAAAAUUCUGGCCUCAGUUCUUCGAAUUGUGCAGAAAAAUCUGGCUCCCAUGUCAAAUCAGAGAAUCACACAUGGCCAAUGAUAGAUUCUUUUGGACAGGUUAGUCUCUAUCCAUGUUUUACAAACUCUGGUGACCUUUUGUAAACAAAAGUACUAAAACAAUAUUCUUGGAAAAGCAAAAAUAGAAGCACAGUUUAAUUCAGUUGAUAGUUACCAUUGAGAUUGAACUCCUGAAGCAUGGUAUCUUUUGGCAUUUCGUGCGCAUAGUCUUUUACAAUGAACUGUACUUUCUUUUUAGCUUCCUAUUUCAUUGUGCACAUAUACAUCUGAUCAUUUACACAGCGUAAGUAGAUAUAUCAUAUUGUUUUAAAGAACCAUGUGAUAUCCUUUGUAAGAGAACACCAUGCAGUAGAUUAUAUAUUUUUCCCUUUGAAUGUUCUUUCCAGGACCCGAAGAACCUUAAUCAAAGCUUGUUUAGCCCAGAUCAUGCACUCUGUCAAGACGAUAUAACUAAAUGCCUACUCAAGGGAAAUUCUAUGGACAUUGAAUUAGCGGAAGCAACAUUUCCGGUAAGGAAUGAAGUUCUGGAAAGAAUAACUGAAUGCAAGAAAGCUUUAGUUAAUCUUGAAGCUGCAGCUAAAAGUGUAGACCAGUUAUUUUCAAAAUUAGACACUCAGCUUUCUGGAGAAGAGAUCUCUACUGGGCCUGGAGCUCAGUUAUACAACAAAGCAGCCGAACUGCUUCCAUCAAUUGCAGAGAAAGUAAAUGCAGUAGCCAAACAAGUGCGAAAUAGAAACAAUGAUGUAUCUGAGAGAAGUGGAAUUGAAGUGUCGAGAUUUGAACCUUUGUUAGGAACAUUGGCUGAAAGUUUAUCUCAGAAAGUUGUGGAGAUCCUGAAGAACAACCUCAGCAAUGCUUAACUUUUAAAAUUUAGAUCAUAUUAAAUGUAUCAUGAAAUAACAUCAUUGAAUUCGUGAAAAAUAAUGACAGGCUUACUAAGUUGGGAUGCAAAGUCUGUAUGGCAAAUGAUGUGGCACUAUUAAUAUGUAGUUGAGCCUAUCAUUCUCAUAGAAAUUCUAUUAGUGCUACAUUAAGUGGAGAUGCAAACUUUGUAUACUUUAUAAUGUAUCACUAGUGUAAAUAAUCAAUCACACCCAUGCUGCCCAUUGUUUUGCAGUUUUGCUUCAACAUUCGUUCUGCAGAAGUUGCAGGUUGUAUUGUAGAGCCCAGCCCAAAAACCAGCUUCAAUAGUUGGCUACUUGGCUCUUUCAUAGGCCCUAAGAAUAUUCGUAAGUCGCUCAUUUAUGUGGUGUAAUGAGUAGCCAUUGAUCUUUUGAGCACUGAAAUCAACAAAGUUGGGCUCCAUGGCUUAGAAAAAUCGCUCAGAAAGGAGGAAAAACAUUGGAUCUUUCUUGUGUGAAAACUCUCUUUUUUCUUUACAAUUCAUGUGGGUCUUUCUCUCUCCUUCCCUCUUUCUUUGCAGUUUGCACUUUAACAACAAAAAGAAAGUGGGCAAAAGAGAGCAAAGACCAUCUUUUCCUUUUCAAAUCGCUUCACAUUUGAAAGCCAAUUCUACUGAUGAUUUUCAUGCAGUUUCCAAUAUAAAAACUAUAGGGUAAGCUUCCUUUAAUUGUAAAUUUCAAGGCGUGUCAGUGAAUAAAUAUUGCUUGCUGCGGCAGCUGCUCUCUUCCUAUAUCACUUAUAUAAAUAAAUCAAACCAAAGAUACGGUUGGAAUAUUUAUGUAAAUGUCUAAGAAUGUAUGCCGAGUAAUUAUCCUUUUUUAUGCUUUUGUCUUGCUUUAGUAACAUGCCAAACUCUAAAUUCUUCCUUGGGAUUCCAAUUCCAUCACUCUAUAACUCAUAUUAUUAUAACAUGUAUAGUUCUCCUUUGAGGCUAUGAUUUUAGGCAUUGCCACGUAGAAUUUUAGUGGCAGAAAUUGCCUUAUGAUAGACCUAUAAGUGGCUUAAUUCCCAAAAUCAGACUAAUCAAGACCGGUUUUAUAGGUUCCAUGAGCAGACUUUUAUGAACUGUGGUGCCAUAACUAGAAACCCAUAAACAAUUAGCAGAAUACAUUCAUCAAUCUGCUUCUUAGAUCUUCUUAUCUCUUAUGACUGAAUGACACAUUUUAAUCAAAAUAUGCUUUGUCACAUGAGGGGGCAAAAUGAGAAUAAAAUUUGUGCAUAGGUAUGUUGGGUCCAAAUUGGAGGCUUUGUUUAAAAUGGGUUAUAUAACUCAAUAUAUGAAAAAAAAAAUGGGGCGGGGGGAAAUCAAAAGCCUCUGCUCUGUAUGUGCUGUACAUGAACGUGGGGACAAGGCCUUCAAUUAGUUGUCCUCUUUUUAAUUUUCUGUAAUGAUGAAUGCUGCUUUUUCACUUUUGUAAACAGUAAUCAGGCAUGAAUUUUUCCUCUUGAAUUUUCCGUUUAGAUUAUUCUCCUAGAAGAUGAAAGAAACCAAUCCAGUUGUUGUGUCUCAAGGAGAAUAUAACUUUUAUUUAUCAAUAUGGGUUGUGUAAUUAUGGACAAUAAUGAUCUUGGUGUAUGAUAAUAAGACACCAUUAUUUGACAUAAUAACUUAUGGCGAAAUUUGUGGAAUCUAAUGGAUUCGCAUGUUUAUCUUUGCAUUAUUUUGAUUACUCUCGCCAUGAGCUGUUUUAGUUUCAUUAAAACUCUCUUCAUUUUCAUGAUUUCAUAAGAAAGUUGAGCUUCACAGCCCCAAAAGCUUCCACAAUCAGCCUCAAUCUAGCCUAAGUAGGAGGUAAAAUCAAAAUUAGAUAGCCUUGAAUCAAGUAUCAAUGUAUACAUAACGGCAUGAUUAAUACAUUAUCCAGGGUCCCAAUUCUGUAUCGAUGUUAUAUAGCAUCAUUAACAAACUUAAAAAGGCGCCUCUGUUUAGUAUUUACACACUGUUCUUUAGCAUUUAUACACUAUAUAUUGUCAUGGAUUACAAAAUUUUUAAUAAUAAAACAUGGGACGAAAAAAUUAAGAAUAUAAUAUAAAUUUGUAAAAUUUAACGUAAAAACUCUAGGCGAUGUAACGCUCCAGCAGAUGCAAGGUAGAGACAACUAGACUGACCAAACUUUGAAUGUUCAGACUUUGAAAGACUAGAUUUUCUCUUGUUGUUUUCAUUGAGAAAAUGACAGAGAAUUAAGAGAAAGAAAGCUCAUUCUCACUGCAUAAAGCUUAAGAGAGACAAAACUAUUAGUCUGACUAUCGAAUCUUCAGGUCUUCACAAAAGAACAAACAACAAACUUAAAAAAAAAAAAAAUGCCCCUUCAGAUCCAAAGAGUACUGUGUUUCUAAUCUUUUUUUGCAUGCUUGAGCUGUAGUAAUCAGUUCCUUUCCAUGUCAUCAACAGAACCCCAAAAGAAUGACACUAGAAACUGUGGUUUUGAUCAUAUGUGAUUAAGUGAACUGAACUUCCCUGCGAGGGCUUCAAUCUAAGACACACACGAGCCAUUGUUUGUGAUUAAUUAAUUACAAAUUAAUUACUUAAUUAUUUCUCUCACAUAUGUAAUUGGUUUAUUUUAUUCUGGCUAUAAUAAAUAUCAUGAGUUGUAAGAAUCAUUAAGCUUAUUAUAGGCCCCAUAGAUGAUCGUAUAGAUAAUGCUAGUAAACUUUCUUUAAAUUAUGUCAUUAAUUUCAUAUUUGUGCACUAUAUGUAUGCUUCCAAAUGGAUAAUUUACUUGAGCAUUUUCAACAUACUUAAAUAUUUCUUUCCCAGCAUUAUUCUAACAAAUAGAAGAUUAAGAAAACCUUUGAAAUAAGAUAAAUGAAGUUGUCAAAACUAAUAUAUCAUCAAACAAAGACACAUCCACUUGCCUAGUUACCUCGCGGAAUAAUUAAUCAUGCACGUUGUUUAGUAUUGUAAUAGCAUAAUCACAUAAUCUACCCCAAAUAUACUAUUUAUGCUUCUUAUAAUUAAUGUCUAUUAACAACAAGGUUAUUAUGAUCUCUCUUUGGUCAAAAUAAUACAACAAAAAUGCAAGUGUCAUUAUAUAUCUAAACAUAGACUAUUAUAUAUAUAUAUAUAUAUAUAUAUAUAUAUAUAUAACAUGAUAUGGAUUAUGUUCAACUAUAACUAGUCUAAUAUGGUAAAAUCAAUAAUUUUAGUUUCAAUUUUUGGAUUCAAUUUUUAUUUUAAUUAAUGUGUCAUUAAUAUAUUAGAUGAUAUAAUAAUAAUUCUAUUAAUCAUAAAAUUUGUCUUCCAACAAUGAAUGCUACAUAAGUUCGGAUCUAAAUUAAAAUCUAAAUAUGGUACAAAUAAUAACAUGUGCUGCACUGGGUCAGACCUUUAAAAAUGAUGCAUUGUUAAUUAUCAUAAAAGAUUCAUUUAGUUCUCGUAAGAUUUAAUCUAAUUUCCAGUAAACACGAUUAAAAAUAAAAUAAAAACAUUCUUAGAAGAGAGAGAAACAAGAAGUCGGAGAGAGGAAGGAGAAAACAAAAAAUUAAUUAUUAUUAGUGUGUCUGCUAUUUAUUAAAUAGUUUUUAAAAAAAUAUAAUUUAGUUUUAAUUUUGACAGUUAGAUGAGAUGUAAUCUAAUAGUUAUAAAUGUGUGUAAAUAAUUGUGUAUAAAAAGAGGAGCUAUAUAUAUAUAUAGUCAAAUUUUAUUUUUGUUUCAAAUUUAUUUUUCAGUUAAUGAACAAGUGAAUAAAAUCUUCUGAAAACUAGAGAGAAGCAUUUCAUACAAGGGCCAAACUAUUAAUGUGGCAACUAAUUCUUGCACGAAUUCCGAAUGCCUUGCUCCUGUGGACAGCUUGGUUUGAUGGUUAGUGCUUUAGGAUAUGUAGGGAGAGUGAAACAAAGUGAUUAUGCAUCAUAAGGAGGGAGGGCAGACAAAACAGAAACAACUGAUUAUUAAUUAAGAUUGAAUCCAAUUUAUAGAAGACACAAUAAAAAACAAAGUGAAACUUUUCAAAAGCAGAGAAACAAAGAAUGAAGAAGCCGAGAGAGGGAGGAGAGGGAAAAAAUUAAACAUCACUAACAGGUCCACUAUUUUCUUAAUUAAUUCUUUUAAAGAAAAUAUAAAUAAGGUUUUUUUUUUAAUCCUAACCAAUAAAUGAAAUACAAUCUAAUGGUUAUAUAUGUAUAUAAGAGGAGGAGCUCCCUUAUGCCCACUCACAUGUUACUCAUUUUUACAUUGUUUUUGUUGGUUAUAAGUUAUAACAAAUGUGACCUACAGAUUGCCUUAAAAACAAUAAAAUAGUUCAAUAUUUUCUAUCUUUUCUCAAAUAUAGUGAGAAGAAAGAUAUGGGACAAGAGGUCCUGCUGGUCCUAGGCUCUCAAAUUAAAUUUGAGAGUUAGGUUCAAGUCCCAAUAAAGUCCUUUCUCCUAUCUAAGUAUAUGUGUGUGUUAGAUAGGAGUUGAAUUCCCUUCAAAUUUUUGUCCCUCACAUUUUCAUGGGUGGAACUACUAAUUUGUUUAAAUAUUUAAGAAAUUUAUGGAUUUAAUAAUGAGAUAUAUUUGUGAACAAUUUGUAAAAGUGAUUAAUUUUGAGCAUAUCGUAUCUUUGAAAAAAAAAAAAAAGUAAGGGAAAGGGGAGAAUUUUUGUCUCAAAUCAUUUUCUCUCUCUCUCUCUCUUACUAAACACAAAAAACAUGCAUGUAUCAUAUCCACUUCAUCUCACAAAAUAUACACAUGUAUCAUAUCCACUUAAUUUGGUCAUUGGAUGUGAGAAUUAUGUGAUCAACUAACCAAAAUAUGAAAUAAAACCCUCGAAAGACAAACCUUAGCGUUAACUAGCUAGAUAGAGAAUAAUCAACAGUAAUAGAACAGAAUGAAUGAAAGACAAACAAACUCUUUGAAUCUUUUUCAGUUUUGGAAUUAUUAAAUGGUAUAAAGAAAGAUAUCGUUACUCUUUAAUACCAGUUAAUCAAUUAGAGAUUUUAUGAGUUAUGGAUGGAAAUUAGUAUAUAUCUUUGUGAAAUGGCAGAUCACUUAAGAGGGCGAAUAUAUAUUCAUAGAUCAGACUCUAGGGGCUCUGCUAGUGUUCAACAUUACAUUACCACCUUACCUAGAGGUAAUCUCAAUAUUGCACACAGCACAAUAACAUUAACGUACAUCACUUUUCUUAUCUAUGUCUAGCUAAGAUCACGCAGUACAUAUUAAGAAAACCACUACCAAGGUCACCACUGCGACUUCUUUUUAUGUUUGAAAAACAAGAGAACCUCCUGCCGUCACGAUACUAUAAUCAGCUUUCAUUUUGUCCAAUGGAAUUGAAUUUUACCGGCAUGAAGAGCACGCUGAUGAGAACCUUUGCUAUCAGUAGCUAAUAAAAUUUGCUAUCAGUAGCUAAUAAAAUUCUAUGACAAGAAUCAGAUGCAACAACAUCAAAACAGCUCCGCCAAUAAUAUUUGAUUUUGUAGGAGAUAAAUUUCUGUCAGUAUCCUCCUUACGUUUGGGAACAAAUCCCACGGCCCACGACACAAUAGGACACCAAGUCCGACCAAACAUACCAAAAUCGGUAGCUGUUUAAUUCAUCAGGACCUGCAUAACGUAUAAAAACGUAAUCUGAUUUAAAACCUAAAAAUUUGAUAUUGCCAGACACCAUCGUCCGAACAGACGCCAUAUCUUAUCUAUUUUUGUUGCCCCGCCUCUACAUGCAUGCACUCUCUAUAUAUUCUUCUGCAUGCCUUCCAAUUACACGUACACAUUUUCACACCAGUUUAUACAGAAUGAGUUGCGCAAAGCGUGUCUUCUUCUACCGCUUCCCUCUAUGCCUUGUCUUUUAAGUUCUCCCAAUUCUUGGAUUUCCCCACGGGAAUGAAAUUUGUUCAGAAGAAGGGCGAAUCAUAAGAGGAUCUUUAUCCUUCUUCAAGGAGAAAUUCUAUAAUACAUCAAAUAUAUAUUAAAUUAAUUUUAUUACCAUGUCAUGCAUGCAUUAAUUAGAUGUAUUACUUCUAAUAUAUUGUAUAAUUUCUCUUGAUAGUACUUAAUUAAUUAAGAAGUGCCUAAGUAAUAAAUUAUUAUUAUUAUUUGGCUUUUACCUUCCUUUUCGGUGUAUUAAACCAUUUGGUAUCCGAAUACCACAUUGGACCCGACUAAUCUAAAUUCGAGUCGGGUAUGAUCACUAGGGCGGCAAAGCUCUCCCAAUAAGUAUUUAACGUAGCUGCAUUCCCAAAUCUUGAACCGAGAAUCUUGGUUAAGAUAUAACAACACUAUACCGGCUGAUCUACGCGCUUGUUAGUAGAUUUACCUUCCUUUAAUAACAUGCGAACUCUAAAUUCUUUCUUCGGAUUCCAGUUAUUCCAUCACUCUAUAUAACUUGUAUUAGUAUUACAUAGUUAAUUCUCUUUUUGAGGCUGUGAUUUUGGGCAUUUCCAUGUGGAAUUUUAGUGGCAGAAAUUGCCGUAAUUAUAGGAGCUGUAGACGGUGCCAUAAAUUAACUUGGGUGAAAACACAUAAAAAAUUAACGGAACAUAUCAUCAAUCCUUCUUAGAUCCUUUAUUUCUUAUGACUGAAAUACGUGCACAUUUAAAUUAAAAUGUACCUCAUCAUAGUGGGGCAAGAUGUGAAAGAAAAUCUAUGCAUAUGCAUGUUGGGUACAGAUUGAAGCUUUGUUUAAAGUGGAUUAUCAUUACUGCUGGGUCUCCGGAUGCCUAGUGGUAACUCACGCCCUCAAAAUGUUUGAGCGCAUAAGUUGAAGCCUCACAGGGGCAAGAGUCCCAUUUUAAUCCCAUAUCCAAAAAAUAUAGAUAUUAGGGGCAGAUUUCUCCCUAAUUAUUUGUAAUAGAUUUUAAAUUGUAAUAUAUCCCUAGAAUUACAACAAGUUGAAACGUGGGUUACCAUUCGAUAUAUCAAAAAUAAUUGGGAAAAUCAAAAGCCUCUCUGCUUAUGUGCUGUAUACAUGAAUGUGGGGACAAACGUUUCAAUUGAUUGUUCUUUUUUUCCCCCCGUCAUGUAGAAUGUUGCUUUUUCACUUUCGUAAAUAGUGCUAGGCACGGAUUUUCCUCUUGAAUUUCCGCUUAGAUUAUUCUCCUAGAAAAUGAAAGAAACCAAUCCAGUUGUUGUGUCUCAAUGAGAAUAUAACUUUUAUUUGUCAAUAUGGGCUGUGUAAUUAUAGACAAUUAUGAUCUUGCUGUAUAAUUAGACACCAUUAUUUGACAUAAUAACUUACGGCGAAAUUCCGUGGAAUCUAAAUGGGUGCGCAUGUUUAUCUUUUCAUUAUUUUGAUAACUCUAACAGCUAUUCCACUGUUUUAAUUAAUCUCAUUCAAACUCUCUGUAAUUUCAUGAUUUCAUAAGAAGUUGAGCUUUACCGGCUCCAAAAGCUUCCACAAUCAGCCUCAAUCUAGCUGUAAUUAGUAAGUAAUAAAAGAAGAAUUAGAUAGCCUUCACUAUAUUAUCGUGAAGGUAGCCUUGAAUAUAUUAUCAUGAAGGUCGCAUUUCUGUAUCAAUUGAUGUUAGCAUCAUUAAUUUUUCUAGUGCACACGUCCAUACAUUGUAAAAUCUUAAAUUUGACUCUAUGCAACUUUAUUUAAUAGUUAUAGAUUAUUCUUUAGUAUUUAUACACUAUUUUCAUGGGGUCACGAAUUCUUAUAUAGUAAGACAUAUAAUGAAUAUGAUAAAAAUUUGUUAAGCGUAACGAAAGACUUUUGGUGAUGUAAGAUCGAGUCAUAAGAACUAAGAAUAAUAAUAAGAAAAAUUCUUUAAAAGACAAUUGUUGAAUUUAUGAAAACCCAUAUAUCAUCAAACAGACGCAUCCACUAGCAACAAAUGAUUAAUUUAAUCAUGCAUGCUGUUUAACACUGUAAUGGUACUGUAAUUAAAUUAAUCACAUAAUCUACUCCCAGAUAUGCUAUUUAUUCUACUAAUUAAUGUGGGGUUAUUAUGAUCUCUAGCAAGGGUCAAUAUCUAACCAUAGGCUACUACAUAAAAGUAAAUAUAAUAAAAUGAUUGAUUGGAGUGAGACAUAUGGGUUAUUUUCAACUAUAGCUAGUAUAAUAUUGUGCAAAUAUUAAGAUGUGUGGGGACUAAUUGGAUUAUCACGCUAUCAGAAAAAAAUGAUGCAAAACGAGAAAACAUGUGUAAUUUUUUAUAUGAAAAGUUAUUUGAAAACAAUAGCUCCAUGUUUCUUUCUUUCUCAAAUAAAGUGGGAACAAAGAUAUGGGAUCGUAUGGGAAGAGGGGCCACAGCUGACAGAGGGAGAAUUUUUGUCCCGAUUCUUCCUUUAUUAUUUUUUUUUUUCUUCUCUCUCCCACUAAACCCUCAAAAUAUACAUACAUGUAACAUAUCCACUUUGGAUAUAAGAAUUAUGUGAUCAACCAACCACAACAUGAAACGAAACCCCAAAAAGACAAACCCUAGAUCUAACAAUAGCUAGAGAGAGAAUAAUCAACAGUCACAAAUUAACAAUAAUUUAAGAAGAGAAUGAAAGAAAGACAAACACAAACUCUUUGAUCCUUUUUAGUUUUGAAAUUAUUAAAUGUGUUUUUGGUAUAAAGAAACGUAAAACAUAAAGGUAGAGAGGUUAUAGAGAAGACAUAAGAUCAUUUUCACGAUUCAUUUUCUUGCACAUUAUACAAUCUCCUAUGCAUUUGGCUUCAAUCCCCACCAACAACACUCCCAAUUUUUAUUUUUAUUUUUGGGAAAUGAUAAAUAUAAUAAUAAAGAAAAAGCGUUUGUUUUCAAUUAAUUAUCUUCAGUGAUAUUGAUAUUGGUAAUGGUAAAUGAUAGCCCAUGUGAUUAUGGGGACCCCGUGAAUUGCAACCGAAAGCAGGUGGUAGUGGUGGCGGCGGUGGCGGUGGACCCGGCAAUGACAGAUGCCACUGAGCUAUAAGCUUUACUCCCCUCAUCUUCUAAGCCUCCGGGUCUAUGUAUCUCGUGACCGUAGCGGCAGCCCGCAGGUUCUCAUUAUUACUUUCCAUAAAUUUACUUCCACUCCUUUAUUUCACUAAUAAUUUAGCCGCUGAGUAGUUUGCUUGUAGAUUAUAAUUUCUAACACUAUAGGGUUGCACUAGUUGUAUGCUGGGCUCAUCCGGCCGGUCACUCGUGAGUGUGUUUUGUGUUCGUUGAUAUACGAGCUUGGUAUAUGAGAUUAUUUCACAUUCACGCUCAAAACCUUAAAAAUUAAACAACGCUAUUAUAUAACAUUAUUCGAUUAAUUCACCCUCGUCAAAAUAUAACUUAUACUUGAUUAUAACUUCUUUGCAAAGGAGUAAGAUAGAUUUGUAAUAUUUGGGAAUUAAUCAAUAGUCAAAUGAUAAAUUACUCCUCUUUCGACAUACAUAAGAGAUUUAAAUACGACAUGUAGAGCUGGCAAAAUUUGACACGACCCGAUUACCCGACACGAACACGACAUAAAUAAAUGGGUAUGGGUCGUUAAAUUUAACACGAUUAUUAAAUGGGUCGGAUCCGGGUCAACACGAUUUCUUUCCGUGUCGGGUUUGGGUUAAAAUUCUUGACCCAUUUACCCGAUCAAUGACCCGAUUAUAUUUUCUAUUUUAAAAUAAUUUAGAUAUUCUUAUAAUUAAAACUCAAAUAUUAGAGAUGAUUUUUUUUUAUUCUUUAAAAUGGUGAAUAUAAACACAGUGUUUUAUUUAUAAAAUUUUACAUACAUUUAGAGCUUCAAUAGUGUAAAUGUGUAAAAAUUGAUAGACAUGUAUAUUUUAUAAUAUUGAUAUAUAAUUAUAUAUAUAUAAUUAAAACCUCAAUAGUGUAAAUGUGUAAUUAAAACCUCAAUAGUGUAAAUGUGUAAUAUAUUGGUAGAUAUAUAUAUUUAAUAAUAUCGAUAAAUUAUGUAUGUAUUUAUAUACAUACGUAUGUAUGAUAGUGUGUAAAUAUUUUAUGUAACUUUUGUUCAAUAUAUAGAUAUUAAACAGGUUAUUGGGUAACCCGAUUAUUUUUUCGUGUCGGGUUUGGGUCUCAAUAUUUUGACACGAUUAUUAAAUGGAUCGGGUUUGGGUCGACCUAAAUUUGACACGACACGAACACGACCCGAUGAUCCGUUUUGCCAGCUCUAACGACAUGUGCUAUGUAAGAAAAUAUUUCUUUAAAUUUUUUUUAAGAUAAGACUGACUCAUAUUUACCCAAAUAUUAUUAUUUUAUAUUAAGGUUAUCCGUGCGUAUUACCCAUAUGAAUGAUUUAUUGAAGACUCUUGUAAAAAAUUAUACAAAAGAAGUGCAUCUAGACGAUAAUACUAACAUGACUGAAAUAAGUUGCCAAACUAAUUAAACUAAAUUACCCCUUUAACAAUAUUGAAAAGGGAAAAAGGAAGAAAAGAAAGAUCUUUAACACAGAGACGUGUUUAUUAGUUAUUACUCCUCACUCAUGCAUGUGAAUCGUAUAAAUAUGACAUUUAUGGCAUAUACCAAGCAAUUCUUUCAUGAGUUAAUAAAUAAUCUAUAGUAUCUCAGUUUAAAUUAUUAAAUGGAAUCUGAGAAUAGUAAUUAUUUGGAGAGAAUUAACUUAUACGGAUACCCACUUGCUCUUUCCAAAACCCAAUUCAUUAAAUUCGAAAUACGUGUUGAUUCUGACACAAAAGCAAAAAAGAAAUAAAUAACCGCAGACACGUGUGAACAAACAAUUGCUUCUCAUGCUGGCAUCACCCACACGUGUAGAGAAAGAGGCGCUGCUUUCCAAAUCAAUCAAAUACCCAGCAUAUUACUAGACUAGAUAGUAGGCCCAUCAAGUUCGUGGGGCCCAAUUCAGCCAGCGUGCCUAGCUUUCUGAGAUGGAAUAGUGAAACCCACGCGCUUUGUUUUAGCGUGCUGUAUUUUAUCAUUGGUCUAAUCAGGGGUAGACAAGAUGACGGGCCAUGUGCAUGACAUACGGAUACGACGCCAUACAUGCAUGGAUGUAAACGUAUCAAGGCCAUGAAAUGGUAUGCGUUCCAAAUACAAUCCGUACAUAGAACGCGUGGAGCACUCAUGUUGCCAAUUAUUUUUUCUACGAAUUUAUUUUUAUUUUAUUUUUAAAGCUGGCAAGAAAGAAGCAAAACUCCAUAAAAGCAAUCUCCAGGUCAGAUUCUGCUUGGAAAAUUCUAGGAACACAACACCACCAACACCAACACCAACACCAGCUACAACAACAAUAAUAAUAAGAAUAUUGCUACACAUUUUAAUUUUUUAUUUUAAAAAUUUAUCUUAAAUAAUAUAACAUUUAUUAAUUAAUUAGGAAAAUAUUAUAAUUAAUUUACUUAGAUUUUAUUAAAAAUUACCAACUAUUUAAUUAAUGAUAUAUAAUUUUAGAUAAAAUUAAAUAUAAAAAAUUUAGAAUAUAUAUCAUUACUCUAAUAUAGUAAUAAUCUUGCUACUCUUGCUAUUCCCUUAAUAAUAAAAUAUAACAAUCACCCCAAUUUGCUAAUCUUGCUCCUUUUAUAUUUUAUUAAGGGAAUUGUCACUGGCCAGCUUUAGAAUAUUUGAAACCUUAGGUUAGGUUAUGAGGUCUUUAUUUAUUUUAUAAUCUCAAUAUUCAAACAAAUCUGAAAAGGCUCAAAAUUCAUUAUAUCUUUAAUUCUUGAAUUUCAAUAAUAAUAAAAGAUCAAACAAAUUUAAAAAUAAAACUAAAAAAGUCAAGAAAAUAUCUUUUUUAUUCCAUUAAAACCAUUACAAAAUAAACAAACAACUAAAUAAGAACAAUAUUAUUUUCAAAUACAAUAUGUAAAAUGAUAGAACAUAAAAAGUUAAAAUGACGAACUGAUGAUCAGAUAAUAUAAAUGGACCUUAUAUUUCAAAAAAACCAAACCUUUUUUUUUUCUAGUGAACCAAUGAAUAUAAUAAUUUUAUUUGUAAGAAAAGAGUAAGAAAUUUUUUUCAUAUACUAUUUUUGAGAUUACAAGGCUAUUAAUAGAAAUUAAAAGAAAUACUAAAAGUCAAAGAUUAUAACAUUAAAUAACUAAAAAAAAUUUAGGAAAUUGGAAAGGUAAAUAAUUUAACUUUUUCUUGGAAAGACUAAUAAUGAAUGAAUUAAUGGUUAAAUAAUAUUAUUAAUUAUAUUUCUUUAACACUAAGGUUACCAAAUAUAGAUUUUUCAUUAAAAAAAUAAUUCUUAAUUGUAGGAUAAUUAAUAAUUUGAGAGAUGCCUAAUAGGCUUUCUAAUUUUCUAAAAUAUGUAAUUUAAAAAAAUUUCAAUAAUUAGAUAAUUAUUAAGGAAAUAUUAAAAAAAAAAAGAGAUUUUCCAAAAUAUUGGGUUCCAGGUGACCCCUUUGUUCACCAUACCUAAAGUCAUCCUUGAAUUGUCAGCAUCCUCCGACUAAAACUAAUGUAUAUUAUUUAUCCUCUUAUUAUUUUCAUAUUAUUUAAUAAUCCCUCAAACAUCAUAAUUUUAUAGUAUUAUCCUCAUUUUUAAAUACAUAUUCAUUCAUAUUUAUUGUAAAUUAAAAAAAUCAUAUAAAUUGAAAUUAUGAUAAAAAAAUUUAAAUAUUAAAAAUAUCAAAUAUCAAGUAAAUGACUCAUUUACCCUCUUUAUUUAAUUUUUGUUAUAGAAGAUUAUUAGGUAUUAUGAAAACAAUAGGGAGAAACUAGUAAUCUCCCAUUUACUAGUGCUAUUAAAAUAUUUUUUCCCUAAAAAACUCAUGUAUUUGGUGUUAAAGUACACUUAAAUAUUCUUAUUUAGAUUCAUACCUCCAAAUUUUUAGUUUUAAGUAUGUUAACUCAUCAGUUGAGUGCAUAAAAAAAAAUUAUUUGUUAUGAGUGGCUAAAAAUUUUGUAUGUCAAACAUUUCUUUCUGAAAUAUUAUGAUAAUGGAUAUAACAAGAAUUAAUUUUCAAGCAUAAUCAUUAUAAGUUAGAGAUUUUAUGCUCUAAAGGUACAUGUGAGUAUAUUUUUCCAAAAACAAAAGUCUUAACUAAUUAAAUAAUUUUCGAAAAUAUUAAAAUUUGGGGUAAAUUUUUAUAUUUAAGAAUGACAAGAAGUGUUAUUAUUUUCCCUUUUCCAUUUUCUUCCUUUUAUUCGUUCUAGGACUAUCCGAGUAAUUUAGUAAAGAAGGCUUAGAAGUUAGGGCCGCGAUGCUGUUCCUUUUUCUUACUCUUUUACCACUUUUUUCUUUUUCUUUUUACUAAUCAAGAAACAAGAGAAAAAUAUGUUAUUUUUUUGUUUUCUUUUUAAUUUUUUAGUAAAAUAUUAGCUUUAAAGUUAAAAGUUCAAUGCCAAAAAGAAAGAAACGCAUUCUUCUUCCCCAAUACAUCUUUAGUAUUUACUUAAGAAUUAAGAUCCCUUUAUUUUUUUAACGGAAGAAUUAAGAUCGUUUUAAGAUCAUAAAUAAAUGCACCAAUUUAAGCUAUAAUUCAUCUACCAUUUUAUGCUUACUCAUCAAUUAACUCACAAUAGUUUUAUUUUCUUUCAUAGAUUUAGACAGGGAUAAGAAAUUUUACCAGCUUAUGAAAACCAAUCCUUAAACCAUAUUGUUGUGCGAAUUUGGGUGACCACAGACGCAAAGUGCAUUAAGCUAGCUUAAGUAACUUGCAAUAAUUUAACUAAUUUAUCCCUAUAAUAUAUUUAAGGUUAGGGUGAAACUAUUUUAAUUUAAACUUUUUACUUAUAAUUUUGAUAAAGUUAAUUCUUAUAUGUUGAUCUUGUACAAUAUACUUCAAAAUUUAUUAUUAGAGUGCAAAAUAUUAGUAGAAGGGACUGUGCCAAAAUUUUAAGUACAAAAUUUAAGUUAAAAUAACUUGAUCUGGGAAUUAGAGACUGAUUGAGUUAUAAUUUAAUGAAUUUUACCAUUUUAACUGGAAUCGUAAAAUUGGAAUUUAAAACUUAAUCCUUGUUUAUGAUCUUCACGCCUUUUAGUAAUCUAUAAAAAGUUUUAUUGAUGUUAUUUUACCAUUUAGAGGACAAAAAAUUUGAAAAAUGAAAUUACAUCCUUGAAAUUGGGUGUACUGCCAAAAAAAAAAAAAAAAAAAAUUUUGCAAGUUUCCGUUUUGAUGAACUAGAUGGGGAAGCUAGGGCAUCUUAUAAAAAAUUGGAGCAAUUCUACAUUUGUGAAAUCAAGUCUUUUGUAAGCAUUCACAUUAUUAAUGAAACCUUUACCAUAAAUGAAAAGGCAAGCCUGGUUAAAGUGAUGAGCCAAAGCCAAAAGCACAAGUCACAUUUCGACGACAACAACACAGGAAAAAAGGUGUUUGGAUAUAUGGAAAAGGGUAGGAAGCCAAAAUCCCAACUCGCUUUUUUUGAGGUGAAACCAUGCAGAUCCUUAAUUGUUAUAUAUUAGCAUCUUACACUAUGGUUUUUUCCCUUUCUAUCAAAUAGGUCCUUAAAUUCCUAUUGUAACAACCAGAUUACUUUUUAUAAUUUUGAAUUCUACAACAAAAUAACACUAUUGAAUAAUCGUGUAAUUCAUUAGUCCAAAAUUCUAAGCUAAUUCAUGUAUUAUACUAAACUCGUGUUGUGCUCAAAUUUUAAUAAGUUAUUUUGACAAAAUCUAGUGACAUAACUAAUUAUUUAUUCGUGUUGUGCUAAAUUCUUCUAAUUUUCACUUUGUUAAAAUUAAUGAACUAUUAAUCAACUUAAUAGUUAUACAUCUAUUGUUUAAGGUAAUGAUAACUUUUUUUUUUUACUUUUAAAAAUUAUUUUUAAAUAAAUUUUAUUUGUUAUUCGUGCUUUUAUGGUAGUUCAUUAAACUUUUUGUGAUUAAAAUAUAAAUUUAUUGUAAUCUAAUUUGGGUUCUUGUGACAUGUUAAAUCUUUAUUUCUUGCAUCGAAUUUGUGUCAUUCCAUGUUGCCCUAACCCAUUGUACACAUCUAAUAAUGUAACUAAACAUUAACGAGUAUUUAUGCCCUUCGACUUAGGUUCAUCAAUCAAGGACUCGUUUGAUGUAAAUAGAUGAACUAUAUCUUCAUUAGUGAAAACAUAAAAAUGUAGGGAUCAUAUGGUAUUACCCCAUUUGCAAUGCAUGCCAUUGCCCCAUUUGAAAUGCAGGCCAUAGUUUGAAGAGAAAGAGCAAACGACAGCGUUUAAUAAGGACAAAUGUUGUCUCCUAUCUUAUGAAGCUUGAUGUGGUGUGUUGUGGGAGGUGUACGGGUACUUUGUUCACCCAUUGGUGAGACAUGACUGGUCUGUUACAAUAUAAAUCCAAGUGGGAAAACUGAAUAUAAAGAUUGAACUUAUAUGGGAGAAGAAAAAACUGAAAAAGAAAGCCGAAAAACAAAAAGAAACCAAAACAGGGAAAGAUAAAGAGAAAUUAAAAAGAAAAAGAAAAGCAAAGAAAGUGAAAUGUGAGAAAAGAGAGAGAGAGAGAGAGAAAACAUGCAGCACCCACUUCAUCUCACCUCACCUCUCUAUCUAGUGAUGGCGUGAUUUGCUUUUGCUUUUUUUCUCUCGACAGGAAUCUUUGAAAAUUGAAAAGCAUCAACAAAACAAUGAAUUCAACAAAGUUAAACAAGAAAAAGAGAAGAAAAAUUUGAGGUGAAAAACAUAAGAAAGAAAUGAAGAAUGUGAUUUGAGCCUUGGCCAUCUCUUUAUUUUGCUAAUUGAAUAAUGUAGUUUGCUUGCAAAGUUGAGAUUAGGCAUCUAAGUUCGUGUUUGUUUUUAUUAUUAUUUAAAGUCCGAAUCAAUCUGAAUUUUUUUGAAAUAUGAAUGAAUCUAAAAAUGAAUACUUAAAUGGCAUGUUAUUUUUUUUUUAAAUAUCAAAAUAUAAUGGGAUUUUGUUUAUUUUUAUAAAAAAAAACUUAAAAGUAGUUAUUUAACGUUUAUGUCUUAGUAAAUAAAAAAAAAUUAAGUUUAUAAUCUACGAAAUAAGUAUACUUUAGAAAGAUAUUUUCAGAAAAUAAUAUUUACUUUUCAUUCAUAUCUUUUUUCAUUCGGAUAAAAGUCAUAAAAAUUUUCUUUUUAAUUUAGAUGUAAACAUCUGAAAACCAUAUAUAUGUUACAAAAAAUAAACAAGUAAAAUUUAAAAACAGUUUAAAAUUCAUAAAAUUUCAUAUUUCAAACAUCUAACAAACAAGUCUUAAGUUUCCUUCUUCAAAAUCAUACUAAAUAGAUGGUUAAAUUUAAAAGGUUUUUGGUAAAAUUUGGUUCAAAUAAGUUUAAGUAAUUCCAUGAUAAUAAGUGUUUAACAGAAUUGAAUUUACUAAUUUAAAGAAAGAUGAUCAAACACAUUCAACAAAAUUAAAAAAAAAAUGAGUAUCAUCUUCUCCUUUUUUUCUCAUUACAAUUCUGAACACUUACCAAUUAGGGAUCCGUUAUGGUCUGUUUAAGUUAAUUACAGUCAAAUUUGUGAUUAUACUAGUAAAGAGAUAAGUAUAUUCUAUUUCUAAUUGAAUGUGAUAUGGUUGCAGCGAUAGAAAUUUGAGUUUACAUCUUUAUUGUUAAUGUUGACACUUGUUAAUCAUAGAUUUAUUAAGAUGUGUUUUAAUCAAUCUCAGCUUAAUUUAUUAUUAUUAUAUUCCAAAGAGAAAAUAUUUUCUACUCAUAAUCAAGGUAGUAUAAGUGAGAGAACACUAGUAAAUUAAAUUUACCUUCUCUUUUUAGUAUCGGCACUUAUUAGUAAUAAACUUUUUAAUCUCGACACUCAUCAUGCCAAUCAUACAUCAGGAUUGAUUUAAGUCAAUCCUAGCUUGAUUUGUGAUUUUCGUUCCAACAAAGAAGUCUAUUUUUCUUGGUAGUUGAGGUAAUAAGGUAACGACAUUAGAAGACUAAGUUUAUCUUCCUUUUGUUUUUAUUCAUUUUUCGCACUGACACUUGUUAAUAAGAGAUUUGUCAGGUAUUGUUUGAGUCAAUUAAUUGUAAUUAUCUUUGAAAGAAAAAUAUAUAUUCUACUCGACUAUGACUACUUUGGAGCUUCUUUAAGGUCGAGCACGAAUCACAACCACACACUUAAAAUGAUAAAUAUUUCAAAAUUCAAUAUAAUUUUGAUCUUGUGAUUAUUAAAUGAUACUCUAUCUUAUAACGGUUCUAAUAUAACCGAAUCUAUUCUAUUCUAAAUUGAGGUAUUGAUGAGUCAAGAAAACUGAGUUUCUCUUAUUCUUUUUAACACAAACACUUAUUAGUCGUAGACCUAUUAUAAGACCCAUUUAAGCCUAACUAAUAGUUUACUUUGAAGAAGAGAGGUAUUAUUGUACAUGCUACUCGUAGUUGGGAUACUAAAGGUGACAUCACACUAGAAAAAUUGAGAAAAUUGAGAUUAUCAGAUACUUAUCAUCGAUCAGAUAGGGAUCUGUUUGUAUGUGUUAACGUCAAUCCCACUUUAAUAGACGAGCUGCCGAGAGCUCUACACGACAACGACUAGACAAGACAACUUCAGCUAGUUAAACGAAGCUUUGCUUAGCUGGUGCAACGCGAGAUAAGCUCGUUUAAACCAGUUCAUUAUCGAAGUAUCGAACACACAACUGGCUCAUAGCAGUUGUUUGUGUAAAACUAUAAAUAAGCUUGCCAAACAGAGUCUUAUUUACCAGUAGGCACAAAACCGUAAUUUCUGAAGCGAGUGCCCCUAGGAAAAACAAAAAGGGGAAAAAUGCAGCAACGGGAAAAGAAAAAGAAAGCAAAAUCAAAGCUCGGAGACACAGCGAGUCCAGAGUCCAGUGUUUUGUGCUUGUGUGUGUGGGGGCAUUCGAUUUUCUAAAUUCUAAAAUCUACGCGUUGAUUUUUUUUCUUUUUCUUUUUCUCUCUCUUUCUUUCUCUUUUUUUAAUUUUUUUUUCUCCCAAAUCUUUCAUCAUUCCUCUUCUCUUUCACUCACCCACUGUCCGUUGGAGCCAAAACUGUUUCCCUUCACAUUCUCUCUCACUAAAUAACAGCAUUAUGAGCAGAGCCAGAGCUGGCAUUACAAAACGACGCCGGUUAUGAAUCCAGCAACCGACCCACCACCACCACAGCCUCCACUUCAGCCCCACCGUCCUUCCACUUCCUGCGACCGUCAUCCCGACGAGCAUUUCACCGGCUUUUGCCCCUCAUGCCUUUGCGAGCGUCUGGCCGUUUUAGAUCACUCUUCUUCAGCGUCAGCUUCCUCGUCACGCAAACCCAACGCCGCCGCUGCACUUAAGUCCAUCUUCAAGCCCGGCGGAGGCGGAGGGGGAGCUGGGUCUUCCUCGAAACCCCCUUUUUUUCCGGAGCUGCGUCGUACGAAGUCGUUUUCGGCGUCGAAGAACGAGGGCUUUAGCGGCGUGUUUGAGCCUCAGAGGAAAUCUUGUGACGUUAGGGUUAGGAAUACUCUUUGGUCGCUUUUUACUCAGGACGACGAGAGAAACCCUUAUAAGAGAGAACAAAACAGAGAGACUGUCGAAGCAACUGAGAGUCUCAGUCGAAAUUUGGGGUCUUCGGCGAGGCCCAGCUUUCAAGGUCCCGUUUUGGAGUCCCAAGAGGAAGGCAAAAGCGAGAGCGACGGCCAAAACGAAAACGAAAUCGAUAAAGAAGGUAAUGCUGAUGACUGCAUUAGGGUUUUAGACGAACCCAUUGUAGGAAUUGGAUCGUCGAGUGAUAAAGUGGAGGAAAUUAUUGAGGAGGAAGAAGAAGAGGAGGAGGAGGAAAUAGUGGAAGUGAAGCAAGAACAAGUUUUUGAAGAGGAAUUGAAGCCAAUGAAAGACCACAUAGAUCUUGAUUCUCAAACGAAGAAAGCUUCUGGGAGAGACUUCAAAGAUUUUGCAGGUAGUUUUUGGUCAGCUGCUUCUGUGUUUAGUAAGAAGUUACAAAAAUGGAGGCAAAAGCAGAAGCUGAAGAAGCGGAGAAACGACACUGGGUCAGCGAGAUUGCCUGUCGAGAAGCCAAUUUCCAGACAAUAUCGUGAAACCCAGUCGGAGAUUGCUGAUUAUGGGUUUGGGAGAAGAUCUUGUGAUACGGAUCCACGAUUCUCGCUUGAUGCAGGGAGGAUUUCGUUUGAUGAUCCACGGUACUCGUUUGAUGAGCCAAGGGCCUCUUGGGAUGGUUACUUGAUUGGAAGGACUUUUCCAAGAAUGCCCACCAUGGUUUCUGUUGUGGAGGAUGCUCCUGUCGUUCCUGUUUCAAGGUCUGAUACUCAAAUUCCUGUUGAAGAGCCAGCUAUGAAUGCUAUUAAUGAAGAUGAGACUGUCCCUGGUGGGUCUGCUCAGACUAGGGACUAUUAUUCUGAUUCAUCUUCGAGGAGAAGGAAGAGUCUUGAUAGGUCGAGUUCUAUUAGGAAGACAGCUGCAGCUGUGGUUGCUGAGAUUGAUGAAUUGAAGGCGGCUUCUAAUGCUAAGGUGUCUCCUGCUACGGCUGAUUAUUUUAAUGGGCCUAAGUUGGUUUAUGGUGAUAAGGAGUUGAGGGAUUCGAACUCGAAUUCGUUGAGGGAUGAUUGUAGCGAGACUUUUGAGAUGAACUUUAGAGACAAUGCAUCCGUGGUGGGCAAUGGUGAAAGGAAGGUGAGUAAGAAGUCACGAAGAUGGGGUAAGGCAUGGAAUAUAUGGGGUUUUAUUCACAGGAGAAGUGUUAACAAAGAUGAGGAUGAAGAUAGGUAUAGUAGAGCUAAUGGGGUUGAGAGGUCCUUUUCAGAGUCUUGGCAAGAGCUGAGAGGAGAAAGGAAUGGAGAAGUUAAAGGGGGUUUAAUCCUAAGGUAUUGAGGAGCAACAGCAGUGUUAGUUGGAGGAAUUCAAGUAAUUUUGGUGGAUUGGGUGGUUUGAAGAAGAAUGAUCUUGAGGCAAAUGGGAAUAGCAAAAAGAAGAGGGAUGAGUUUGUAUUGGAGAGGAAUAGGAGUGCAAGGUAUUCACCAAACAACAUUGAAAAUGGACUGUUAAGGUUCUACUUGACGCCGAUGAGGGGCAGUAGGAGAGGUGGAUCCGGCAAAACUAGGUCUAAUCAUGCCCAUUCAAUUGCAAGGAGUGUACUGCGAUUGUACUAAAUUUGGAGCUCCAUAAGGUGUUUCUUUUGGGUUAAUGUUAAUUUUGCUGCAUUUGUCACAUGCCUAUGUAUUCUUGAUGGUUGGUUGGAUAAAAAAACAUCCUUAAUUUGUUGCCUUUUCUUUGAGUGGCAUGCUUCUUCAAUUAUUCAAAUAACAUAAAUUUUCAGUGUUACUUUGUCUCUGAUCGCGUUCUUGUUAGAAUCUUGAGUUUUUCCUUCAUAUGCUAUGUUAUUUUCUCUUAUUGCCAGAAAAGGCUACGACAUACAGACUAGAUGUGCAGAUAUGCAUAAAUCUGAUUGCCUCAGGAUUCAACUCGGUUCUCUUUGUUGCUGUCCUAUUCAGAAUUAGCUGAUGUGAUUGUACGACUUGCAAUGUUCUUUCAGCAUUUUGCAUUACUGGCAAAGGGGUGUUGUGGUGGGUUCAUGACCCCUUGCUUUGAUACCUUUCCUAAAAUUAUCGGUAUGGGCACAUUAUAAGACCCAUUUCCCCAUCUCUUCCUUAACACUAUAGGAUCUGUGGCAUGCUACAUGUUCUAGAAUGAAUACAUGAUAUGUGAAGCCAUUUACCUUAUUUUGAAAUCUAUUGUCACAUAGAUGUUGAAAAUGUAAUUCAUUGAAUAUCAUUUGGUUUCAAUGUGUCCUCGGUAGAGUUUAGUGUUCUUGAGAUGUGCAUGUCUUCUGGGGCUUCUGUGAGAUCUAUUGCGAUUGUAAUCUUUGGAGCUUUUAGUGGGCAACAUCUCUGGAAAUCAUAGUUUCUGAGGGCUUAAGUCAGAUCAUGCUUAUAAUCUUGGAGCUUCAAUGACCAGUGUCUCAGAGAUAAUAUUGUUCGGCCUUCAUGUUUUUACAUAUCCUUCACAAAGAUCCAUUCUCUCCGUUUAGUUUGAUGACUUAAAGCAAAGAAAAUACAUUGAUGCCAAUAAAUGGAAAAAUGAUGAUGCCAAAGUAAUCAGUGUACAAAUCAUUAGCAAGCCAUCUCCUUUCCUUGGAUUUAUAUUCUUCUGCCUCCAAUUCUGUCUACACUUGGGUCUUCGGUCUUCCAAUGUCUAAUAUCUUCAUAUGCUAUGAUGCUUUAACACUAUUUUUUAAUUUCAGUUUGGUAGUUGACUUGGAGCUUCAUCAAUUGCAGAAGCAAGUUCAAAACCUUAGUUAUUUUCAGAGCCAGUGUCCGGCAAAGCCCAGGAUAGCUAGCAUGUUAACUAUUCUUCGCCCCUUAGUUUUAGGACAGAGAUACAAUAGGUCAAGAAAGCGGAAAUACGGAAUCAAAAUAUCAAAUAUAUUCAAAAUGUUCAUUCAAUUGAGAGCAAAACUAAAUAAGAAUAAAGACUGCCGCUAGUUUACUACUGCAUUUUUCUCUAAAGACGUACCCCAUUAUCACAUAAUAUUCAGAAAGAGAAAUUAUUUUUCAAUACCUUUCCUCUCAACAACUUUGUAAAGAUUUCUUUGUUGCUCAAGGGACACCAAUUGCAAAAUCUUACUCGAAUAAUAAAACUUAAGGUGACAAAUUGGGUUGGCGUGUCAUGACACUUUGAAAUGACAGAUUUUGAUCCGUUUAUUAACAUUGUUAAAAAUCCCAAACAUUAAUCAGACUCGUUCAUUAAUUGUGUCACCCAUUUAACAUAAAUGGACUGGCCAUGAAAAAUGAUUUUAAAUCAACUCAAACUAGCAAAUUUGUGUGGUGUCGAGGGGUUGUGAAACAAAUUCCCACUCCUAAUUCCUAAACUUAAUGUAGCAAUAAUUUACUGCCAUCGAGCCAUGCAAAUCAAGAACAUGCAUUAUUAAACAUUAGUGCUCAAAUCCCAUUAUACGAGCAGAAUCAAGUUAAGCAAUGAUGAUUUCUUAAAAAUAAGAAUUUUCCUUUUUGACUGGGAUGGUUAAAGGUUUAAAACAAAUAAGCAUUUUCAGUCAAUGGGUCUGAAAUUAUGCUUUCUCCAUGAUCAACAAAAUGCCUCCAAAGUCAAAAAGAUAUUAAGAAAACAUCCCAACAUGUUCCUUCAUGGAGGAGAUAAAAGCAACAAAGGAAAGAAAAGAAAAAGGAGAAGGAAAAAAUAAAAAGGAUGAAGAAAGAGGCUCCCAACCCAAUGGCAGGUCCAGUUAAGCCCUAAUGGGAAGUGGGUGGGUAAUAAUUUUGUUUAUUAAGGUAAUUGAGAGCUCAUUUUUGUCAACGAUUGUGCACUCAAGCUUUUGCACUCCGAGGAUUUGCUUGGCACUUCGAUGUUUCAUCUGCAGCUUAUAUUGACAAAUUUAGAAGCCACUUGGGAUAAAGAAUUAAGAUAAGAGACUGUUCUUCUGCAUGCCAAUGCAAGCUUGUUGGUAUUUGAGCUGAGACUGAAAUUACACUCGCUCAAAGCGGCUAGAAUGUGAGGCCCAUGUAGCUUUCAAAUUGUGAAGAUUAUGGAUUGCAAUACAUAUCUCCGGGGCUGAUAUAUGAGAAGACAAUGCAAGAUUCUCAAUAGAAAAGGCUGAUAUUGAAAAUUUUUUAUUCAACGGCAAUGCUGAAAGAUUGUUAACAAGUGUGCAGAGUUAAAGAAAUUGAAAAAAAAAAUUGUUGACAAAUGGGCACAUAUAAGUAUAUAACAAUAAUCGAGACUGCAAUGACAUGCACAUAUAGCAAGAAUCAUAAAUAUCAUAACAGAUGCGGAAUAUGUAUUUGAUUAUUUCCCUUUAUUGUACUUUAUCCUCUUAUUAAAAUUGAGUCCUCGCGAAUCAAUUCUUCGCAUGUAAAGACAAAUUUGCUUACUGAAAAUACACUUAGCAGUAUUAAAAUUUGAAUUAUUAGGGGGAUUAUUAUGACUUAUUAAAAAUAAUUGCUUAUACAGGAUAAUCUCUCUAUAGUUAUAAAGUUGGGAAUAGAUUAAUUUUAUUAAAAUGAAGAAGUUAUAACUAAAUAGAGGUGUAAUUACAAACUUAUUAUUUUGAAACUUAACUAUCAUUAGUACAAGUGAUAUAAAGUAUGCACUACAUUAAUAAUUAAUAUCAAAUCUAAUGUAUAGACUAGAGUACUAGCUAAGCAACCCAAGAGGGGGAUGAAUUGUGUUUCUAAAUAUUAUGGAGAAAUUAAAUCAAAAUACAAUGCAAAUAUAAAAUAAAAUUAUGCAAUAAUAAACAAAUCACAACAAUCAAAAUGUAAAGAGAUAAGGGAAAGAGAAUCGAACACGAGAUUUUUACUUAGUUCGGCAACCUUUGCCUACGUCCACGCCUCUAAGCCCACCGGACUUGAGAAUUCCAUUAUCCAAACCUUACAUCCUAAAACUUAAAAAUCUUUACAAUUGAUUUCCAAAAUGUCAAUCAACCUUUACAAUAUGAGAUUAUCCUAAACCUCUUAACCCCAAGUGUUUCCCACACUCUCAAUCACUCAAUUUAAUGUUUAAGAAUAAAAAUUACACAAAUUUAUUUCACACAAUGUAUGUGUUUACAAAUAAAAGUCCAAAGUGUGAUUUGAUGAAAGACUAAUCAAGUUUUAAGCACAAGAGAGAUUAAAUACACAAUGACAAGCUCAAUGAUAAUCAUAGAAUCCAACAUUAUUUGAAUUUGAUUGAGCCUUUUUUAUAAUUGGAGAAAAAAAUUAGCCGUUAUUGACUUUCUAGGCAUAAUCAGAUUGCCGUCUACUGCUGUCAGAUCACUGUUUUAACUUUGUGCAAGUUACCGUUAUGCUGAAUUUUGAAUAAUCGAUUCAUUGUUUUGGAGUUAUCGGUUUGCUGUUUAAUUUCAAAGACCUGCAAGGUAUUUAUCAGCUAGCCAUUUGUGCUAAACUAAUCACCGGCUACAAGCCAAUUUCUCUCUAGAAUUUGUUGGUUAGCCGUUAUCAGUAAACGGUUUAUUGAUUCCAAAGAAUUUGUUCUUUAGAAUUUAUCAGUUAACCGUUUUCUAAUAAAUGGUUCACCAUUAUCUUCCAUAAUCAAAACUAUAAAAUUUCCUUAAAAAAAUGAUUUGCCGACUUAGAAUUAACGGUUAUCCAUUUAUUUCCAUAAUCUUAUUAAUGUUUAAAACAACUUUAUACGGCUUAAAAAUAAUCAAUUUUAAAGACUCCAACUUAUUUAUCCAGUUUGUCAUCAUCAAAAUUAAUAUUAUACAAAUAUGUAUGUUAACAUAGACAUUGAUAAAAGAGAUAGACAUGUUUCAAAAACUAGCAUAGAUAUUUAUGUAGUAUUGGGAAUAUGUGACUCAUCUUAAAAGUCUAAAUGUUUAUAUAUUUCUUUCAUGUUUUUCUCUCAAUAUACAUUUUAUAAAUACUAUUCAAUGAUUUGGUAACAACUCUAAAGAAUAAAUGGUUGUCUUAAAUAACUUUACAAAAAUAUUUUACUCCAUCCUAAACUUUUAAUAUAACAGAACAUAUAUAUUUUGUAAUAUAUAGAUAAUUAUUACUAUGUAAACACAAAUUUCUUAAAUUAUUAUAAUGUGGAGUUUAUUAUUUUUUAAACUAGCCCAAAUUAGGUCAAAAUAUUUUACAACUAGGUAGAGGUUAUUCCUAUAUGCAGUAUAACUAUCAAUAGGAGUUAUUAUAUUGAGCUGAAGAAAUAAUCGGUUUCAUAAAAAGCAAGCUAUAUGUUUGAUAAAUUUUGUUUUUGAAAAAUGAGUUUCAAAAGCAGAAUGUAAGCUGCCAUUUCAUUUUUAAUAUUAAAAUGUUGUGAUAAAAUAAAUAAUGACUAUAAGUGACAACAUAAAGUUAUCCACAAUUUUUUAAUAUAUUCGGGAUAAAUAUAUUAUAAUUAUCUUUUCAUUAAGAGUAAUGAUACAAUCACAAAUAAUUUUGUAAAAAUAAUGUUAUACAACUUGAUCUAGCGUGUUAUCAUUUUUGAAUUGAAAUUACGGUAUGACCUGCAUGAUUUUUUAUAUUUUUAUAUUUUUAAUUAAUCAAUAUAUAUAUUGCAUAUCUGUUUGUAUAAGUGUUUGUAGCUCUAUAGUUUUUUUUUUUUUAAGUAUAAGGUUAUAAUAAGAACAUAAAUAAUAUUACGAAUUAUUAUAUUGGAUAAUUUUACAAGUUGCUAGUAAAAAGAAAUCUCUUAUCUGCUUCGAAAAGAAAUUGUCAAAAUAGAGAAUAUUUUAAAUAAACAAUUUAAAUAAUUUUACUACUUUUCUGUCAUUAUCUAUGAAGUCAACCGUAACACAACCUUAAUGUUGUUAGCCAUCAGAACCAAAUGGCUGGUGCAUCUUCUGCUCUUCUACUUAUUGCAUUAAUCCAAAAGGUAAAAGAGGUUGGAUGAGUUGUCAAGUUUAGAUGUUUCUUUUUUGCUUCAAUAUCUACCAUUCAUUGAAUGAAUGAAAAUUAUUGUGAAAAAUGAAAGUUAAAGAUAUCCCUCCUUUUUGUUCCUAACAUUGUAGGUAGAGCGCCACUUCGGCCUUGGCCGAAGUGGUGGGCUGCUGCCCUCACAAUGCUUGUGAGGGCAGCGGUUCUAGCCCCCACAAAAGUAUUGUGGGGGCUAAAUGUUCUUUAUAUUUAAAAAUUAUUCUCCUUUGCGAAAUGUAAGUGGAGUAUGGACAUUCCUCUCCUGUGAGAGGUUAUUUGUCUGGACAUAUACUUUAUAGAAUUCAAUGUAAUAAUGUAAGUCCCAAUCAUGUAUAUCUGAGGUUAUUUGUCUGGACAUAUACUUCAUAGAAUUCAAUGUAAUAAUGUAAGUCCCAAUCAUGUAUAUCUGAUUGUAAAUAUCAGUGUAAUAUCUCUGCUACAAUAGCAGUUGUUGUAAAUAUCUGUGUAAUGCAGUAAUAUGAUGAUUAAUCAAUAUUAAAAAAAAAAACAUUGUAGGUAGAGCGUCACUUGAAUGACAAAAUAUGUUUACACCCUCUUCAUCUGAUUAAAAUAAAAUAAUACUAUAAAAAUAAGGCAUAGGACAAUAAGUAAAUUACUAGUUUGACAUUCAAGAUCAUCUCUUCCUAUUUGGGCGAAUCUGAAUAAAAUCAUCUAAGAUUCUCUUGUUAUAGGUGUCUUUAAAUUCCAUACCAAUGCUUAUGUGAUGGGUUUGCUAUCCCUUUGCAUGUUCACUGUAGUUUCUAUAAGGUCCAAGUUAUUUUCUAUGUUGCCGAGUAUGCAUGACAAUGGCAGUUUUCUCUUUGAAUAGAGAUAUUGAUUUCAAUGUAGCUGCUCCAUUUGAAUUGGAGUUAAUUGAUUGAACCUUUUUUCCCCCUUCAAUAUUCUACCAUCAUGUACCAAAUGGCUCUUGUAGAAUUGAUAAUCACAAGCAAAAAACUAUCAAUAAAAUAAAUUUUUGUAAUUCAUAAUCAUAAGAUAAUAUAAAAAUAUGUUUAUGUAUGUGUAAACAUCAGAAACUAAACACAAAUACUUACCUUUUAUUAUAACUCGAACUCAAGUGACAACCAGUGCAAGAUAUUUAAAACUCACACUAAACACCAAUCCUCACCCUUUAUAAUUAUCCAAACUCAAAUGACCAUAGGUGCAAAGUACAUUCAUGGCCAGCCUAACUAUGACCAAGGGGCAAAAUUAUCAUUACAAGUGCUAAGAGCAAUAUACUUCUUUUUCAAUUGUAUAAGGCAAACCAUAAUAAUUAAUUAAAUUUUGAGAAUUCUAAUAAUACAAAAUUUCAUUAAAAUAAGAGUGUUAAGUCUUUUUAGUAAUAUGUAUGUGUAAACCCCUCACCUUUUACCCCUUAUGAUGGGUAAAUUUAGAUUACUUGUGAAUUGAUUAUCCUCAUAUCAUUUCCCUUACUUUUGAAAAACUGAAGUUACCCUUAUUUUUGUUCAAAAGAUAAGGAAAAAAUAAAAGUGAGUUGAUGAUCGUCUUUUUAACAAGAAUGGAGGUAAAUUAGAGUUUUAAAAAAUAAAGGGAUAAUUUAAUGAUAUUCAAUUCACGAGAAAAGUAAUCCAAGAAUUAACCGCCUUAUGAUUACUAAGAAGUCGAGUGACUAAGAGACAAAACUGUCAUUGUAUGUGUCAAGUGUAAUACAAUUCUUCAUUCAGCUGUAUAAGGUUGUACUAAAUAAUAAACUAAAUUGUGAGAAUUCUAAUAAUAUAGAACUUCAUUAAAAUGAGUAUUUAGAAAAUUUUUAAGGUGCUAGUUGAUUCAGUGGGUAAAAUUACUUGAGGCCAUACAAAAGAUUUCGGAAUCGAACCUUGCUCACACAGAGUAGAAACGGUAUUCAUAAAAUUCUUGAAACAUAGAAAUAAGAUCUUUAAAAUUACAUACACUAAAAAUAACCAAACAAAAAAGGACUUGUAUAAGCUUGUUCAUGAGUUUUGAAAGUUUUGAAAACACGAGUUGAAGUCCUUCUUCCAAAAGUUCCGGAGAAUGAGCAUUAUGACAGGCUUAGCCUAUCAAACUUACAAAUAUUUAUCAUCAACUUGAUCUUCAUCACUAUCAACUUGAUCAUGGGAAGAUCUUGUCAACCGACUCAUCCGUCUAGGAUUGGACACAUUAUAAUAAUAGCUCAAAAUCAUCUUUUUGCUCUUGGAUGGGAUACGUUUUGCAGCACGCUCCCAAAAAUUGGCUGCAUUUGACAACAAAUAAGUUUUCAUGAAGGUUUCAAACAUAAUUUGUUCUUUCAUUGUCCAUUUCUUUGAAACUACUUCUCCCAUCUCAUCAAACUUCCAACUCAGGAAAGCAGGUCCAAGUUCAGACUGCAGAUUAUGCCUUGCUGAAAGCAUAUGGCAUCUGAUGCAGUCUGCAGAUCCUGGAGAGACACAAGAACAGAAUUGAGGUCUCCCUCUCCCAAUUCUUCUCAUGUUGCUCAAAGGACUUGCUUCUUCAAUGGGCCAAAUCUUAGUGCCCAACCAUUUUAAACUUUCUGAAUCAUAAAGAUAUUUUUUGGUUAUUGGGCCCCUCCAAUCUGGAACUUCAGCCUGGAAUUUUGGCCCAAUAGGAAUGACAGCUCUGGGAGGAUUUUCACUCUCACUCUCAGAUUCAGCACUCAAUAAACCGACUGCUUGUUGAACUUUCUCCUCUGAACUUGAUGAAUGUGAACUGCUAAUCAAUUCGCAGGAAUCCACCAAGGGUUGAUCCUGAACUAUAUAGUUUUCUGGACUAAAGAAAUCUGAGCCAUUGAAUGAUUCAUUUUUGUUAACUAAAGAAAAAAUAUCCUCACUAAAUGGAUCCCAGGUAGUUAUACUAUCUGAAGUGUUGGAAUCAGUAGGCAGUUGCUUUUGUUUGAAACUAUUAUCAAAUGUCAAACAACCGUCAGAACUGCAUGAGUUCCUAACAGUUUUCUGACAGGUCACUUUCUUGACAUUUUGAUAAUUAGACCUCUUUGAAGCCAAUCCAGAAGCCGCUUUGAAAUUUCCACCAUUUAAAAACUGCUCGAGCUUUCUCUUUCUCUGAUGAACAGAUUGAGAGGAAAAGGUUGUUGUCUUAGGAUUAGGAUAGUCAAAACUGGAAAUUUAAAUUUAUGUUAAAUGGAUGGGGUUAAAGAUCUUAACUCACAAUUGCCUAAAAUGGGCAAACGCACUAAAAUUGUAAAACAAGUAUAGCUUGCAUAAUUGAGCUUACAAUGGGGUAAAGAAACAGUUCUUAUUUGACAAAAUAAAACAAUCAUUGUAGGCUUCGCACAAGUUAGCAAAGUAAAGAUAAGGAUUGUCUAAUAUUUUCUGAAUGAAGACUGCAGAGCUGGAACAUAUUGGUCCUGAGACAAGGACUUAGAGAACUCUCUAUACCUACAUACAGACUGUCUUAACUGCUACACUUAUGACUAGAAAAAAAAGGUCAGCUUCACUUGAUAGGAGAGGACUAACUCUUGAUAGGAGAGGACUAACUGAAAACCAAAGAAAUAAAUUUAUGUGCACACAAAAGUACCAAAGAAACCUCUAUAUCUCGAAUUGUGAUCCCCUUUCAUGCCCCUAGAAAGAGAAUACAAUUAAGGGUGUGCAUUACAAAUAAUACGAAAAAUAUGAUUGAAAAGAACAAAUCUGUGAUGUUGUGAGAAACAACGAAAUCUAGUAAUUGAUGUGGUUCUGUAGAUGGACUUGUCAAAAUAGCAUAGUUAAGUCAUAUGAAAGGAAACGGCUCAAUCAACAAAACUUCAUGGCAUGCGGCAUUUUAUUCAAUCAUUUAGGCCUUGAAAUUGCGUUUUUCCUUCUUUUCCAGAGUCGAUCACUAGACCGAAUUCCAACAUCAUCAUCUAAACUUGUAUUCCCCUUUUGGGGGAAAUAAGGAGCAAAUAUAGUUAGGAUAUGUUUGGAAUUGAGGUGAUAUGACUUCAAUGCCGCAACUACUAUAAAAGCACUAAAUGUCAAAUAUAAGUGGACGAAUGAGGGAUGAAUAUUCCCAAUUAAAAAGUAUGUGUUCACCAAACACUUCAGCUGCUGUGCUUUCAAAGGUGAGAAGCAAUCUGCCCUAAACAUACCUUCAAUAGAUUUGACCAUAGUUUGUCUUUAAACCCUUUAAUUGACUCAUUCUACCUAUAGACACAAUACAACUGGCAAAGAUUUCAACUUUUGCAGAAUAUAUGCAAGAGUUCUGCAAUUAACAGUGGAACCACAAUCACAGUAGAAAUCUGACCUUACACUCAAAAAGAGCAUUUUAUUAACUAUUUUCUCCCUACGGACCAACAUUAUCAAUUGAUAAAAAGUAAAAAGACUUAGUUCAGAGCUUACCUGAGAACAUUUAGCAUUACUGAUAUGCCAAACUUUCCUCAAUUGAAGAGCCUGAUACCAGAAUUUCUGAACCGAAUAACUCGAUACAUCUGGUUCACACGGAUCCAAAGCAAGUAAUUUUAACCACCCCAGCAUAUCUGAACCUGCAGUUGAGCCACAAAUAGAUUCUUUAAGGCCCUUUUGUUCUACAUUACGCUGUAAUGCUUUCUGCAUCAUAUUGUUGCCAUGCUAUUUACCACUUGAACAACCUUUUUCCUUUUAUUUUCUUAAAUUCAACCCUGAAAAGGAACACAAAGCUCAACGUAGCAGCAUUCACAAGGAAAAUUAAAAAAUAAAGAAAAAAGUUUUUUACACCUACUAAACUUGAGUGGUAAUUAUGCACUUCAGCUUACAAUCAGAACCCAUCUUACUAAAGCAAAUUCCAUAUAUCAUGUGGUCUAAUGCAACGCCACAUUAAAAACUACUGAAACAUCAUAACUUCAUUAACUGUACAUGCAUGAAACAUACAAUGCGGGAAAUUCUUGCCGCAAAAAAUUAAUAAUCAUAUUUCCCGGAAAAUAAAAUAUCUUCAAGAUUUUUUUCCUGGGAAAUCACUAUAAGCUUCACCAAACUUGCAAAACAGAAAUCACGGUAUAUGUUAAUAUAAAAAAAAUAACUCAUAAAUCAAAGCAUUAUGACGAAAUAGAAACCCAAAGAUUAUAAUUUCUAGUUCGUUUUAUGCGAUUAAAGGAGUAAGCUAACCUCUGACAGUUGAGCCUUCUAUUAAUGGACUAAUACCAACGAUUAAGACUGAAUGCUAAUAGGAUGGUUAAAGUGAAAUUUUGAAAAAGAUAAGAGAGAUGGGGGCAGAGGGAGGAGUUUGUAAAAAUCAAGAUGUUCAGGCAGAAAUAAAGAAUCAUCUCACAAUAUACAAUAGAACAAUCCCAAUUAUCCUAAUUAGUGAAGGGAAACGAUUUUUACUAUGGAAAAAAUAAUAUAUUUAUGAAAAAAUUUCAGAUCUAUCUAUAUUUCAAUCAAAAUUCAGAUCUAGAAUGAAUUUGUUCCGAAUUAAGAUCUAUAACGAUUUCAAACAAAUUCAAAUCUAUUUGGUUCAAAAUUUAAAAAUUUUAUUUAAAUUUUAAAUUAAUUCAGGUCUAUUCAGAUUUCAAAUAAGAAUAAAUUAAAAAUAAUUAACAUCUUAAAAAAUAUUUAAAAAUUCAAAACAAAAAAGUUGAUAUCUAUACCUCACAAACCCAAUGGAUGGAUGUAGGAGUGAAGAAGAUUGGGGAUUUAUGAGAAAGAGAUGGAAUCUAAGAUGGAAUCCAACUAUCUAAUUUAUAAGAAUAUGUGUCAGUAACCCUAAGGAAGUGUCAAGUGGCUCGACAGAUGGCCAACAAGCUGUGCCAGCCGUCAAAGGAAGACCCACGAGGGUCUAUGGGCCGAUAUGACACGAUCUACCAUAUGCUUAAUGCGAUGCCGUGUUGUGUUUAUUAUUAUUAUUAAUAUUAAUAUUUUGCUCCUGCCUGACCCAGUACGCAUGUUGUGCCAUGAAUCGUGCUUAAGAAAAAAGCAUAACAAGCUUUUUUUUUUUUCUUUUUUUUUUUCAGUUUUUUAAAAGAGUAUGACAAGCUGUUGGCAUAUUUUUUUCAAGCACAUAUAAUUUUUUUGAGUCUAUGUACCUUUAGUCAAAUUUAAUAGAAUCAAAAGUUCAAAAUUUAAGUCCAUAUUAAAAAAUAAUAAACUAAUAAUAGUAAGAGAAUAUAAUAUUAAUUACUAAAUUAGACUUACGGUAUUAGAAUUUUUUUUUCAUACUUAGUAACAACAACAACAACAAUAAUAAGCUUUUUAAAGAUUAAUUUAAUUAUUAACUUGAACUUAUAAAGAAUCAUAGAUCAUAGUUGAUAACAACAUUAAUACAUACAUUUUAUAAAAUCAUGAUAUUUAUAAUUUUAUUUAUCAACACGAUAACAUCUAUUCGAUUAAUAAAUUAUAAAUAUAAAACAGUUAGAAUAUUCUUUUUGAAACUAAGAAUGAAAUGAAUUUUAAAAACUUACAAUAAUGUUAUACUUUAAAAGAUUUAAUUUCAAAUUAUUUGUAAAAUUAUAAAAUUUUAAUUUUACUUUCAUUAAAAAGUAAAACGUACUUAUUCCGAGCCUUUUAACGUGUUAUGCUUUAAUAUAUUACUAAUUAUAAUGUACUUUUAAGGCUCACAUGCCUACAAUUCUUAGUCUCGUCUAGCCCACAUGCAUGCCAUGCCGUGCCGCAUGCCCUAGCAAAAUGUGUUCGUGUUGUGCCGUGUUGUGCGGACAUCUACCAUGUCCAUACCAUGCCACGUGUCACCCGACCUGUUGGUCAUCUUUAUACUUUUUUUACAUCGAGUAUUAUUUUAUUUUUAUUGUUAGGAUACACAUUUUGUAUCUUUAAGUAAUUUGUUAGUAAUUUUUUUAUAAAAUAAUAUUGCAAUGAAUAAAAAAAUAUCAUUUUAACGAAUUUAUUUAUUUAUCAAUAAUUGAAAAAAUUAUUAAUUCAUUAAUAAAUGAAUAUUUAUUAAUUUAAAAAAGAGUUUUUUUUUUUUUUUUUUUCUGGUUUAAGAAGAGUUUUGUUAGCAUACAAAUGUGGUUUGCUCAAGUCAAUAGUAUCUCCUUCAACAGCUACUAUCUGUAUAAUAAUAUAGCUUAGUUAAGAAACUUGUAAUUAUACAACAUCUUUCUUUCUUUAUUCAGAUUGUAUAAUUAUGUAUACAUAUAUUCUAUUGUGUAAGCCUUUGAUAUUAAGAAAUAUGUAUACACAAUUAUUCUCAGGCUUUGUUCAAUUAGUUUAUGAUUUUUAGUUUCAAAUCAUUAGAAUUUUCAGAUCUUUCUCCUUCGUGGGUUCCAUUUGAAAAGAAUAAAAAAAAUCUGCAUUGAUUGAUAAAAAUCUACCAAAUGUAGUGCAUGCUUUGCAUAAAAUUAAGUACGAAGUUGAGUCAAUUUAGGAAUAAAGAAAAAACAAAUAACUUUACAUGUAUAUUUUGCAAAGAGUUCAAUUCAAAUAAUUGAAGUUGUAUGGAAAAAAACUCGUUAAUGUUAUAAAUUUUAUAUUUGAUUCAUUGUUGAUUAUUGUAUUUUAUAAUUAUUAAUUUAUAUUUUCAAUGGGCCAUAAAGGAUUAAAAAAAUUACUAUCUUAUGAUAGUGAAAUUAUUAAUUUAGUACACUGAUCCAAGUUAAGAUAAAGAGAUUUUAUUAUUUAAUAUAUGUUAUUAAUUUAUUAAACAUUUGUUUAUGGUAGUUUUACUAACCAAUAAUUAUUUAAAAUAUGCGAUGGGUUAGUUGACUUUCUUUUUUCGUCAUUGAUGUGAUAAUAUUACACUAAGGCCUGGCACAAGUCUGAGCCGGGUUUAGUGUUAACGACAAAUAGAGUGAGUUGGGAAAAAUUCAACUCAACUCAACCUAUUUAAAUCUAGCCUGCCAACUUACAUUGUUAAUGCAAAUUUUUGGUAAACUUGAGAAUUAAUUUAUAUGGGGAUAUAGAGAAUUAACGUGAUUCAGCCUUUGACCUACGUUCACAGACAGAGAAAGAUAAAUAUUUUAUUAAAAUCGCACUUACAACUCAACUCUCCCUCUCUUUACUAUUUUUUUUUUUCGGUUCCUUACACUAUGAGAGGCCUCUGCUUUUAUAGCCUUCUAUAGAUAAAGUCAUUUUCUAACUUAACUCUAUCUAACUCUCCUCUAUCCUCUAAGAUUUUAAUUACAAAAUAUUUCUACCUUUUCAUAAGUUGUAUCUGUGUCAGACUCUAUUUAAUUUGCUUCUGGACCAAGCAAUGUCCUUCUAUUGUCGACUUUUAUUUUGUUGGGCUUGCUUUCAACGAUAACUCUUCUAUUUGAACUUGGUUUUUUCCAUAGAGUCCAUAAUUUAGAACUGGGUCAAGGGCUCCACAGACCCAUGACUUUUGUCAUUCUCCACUCCUCGGUCCAUUCCUGUGGACCAUGCUUUGUUGCUCCCCAUUCUUAGGGAAGCAUAAUUCUUGUUCCCCAUUCUUGGGGCAACAUAAUUCUUGCUCCGGUAGCAUGGUUCUGUUGCUCCCCAUUCUUGGGGAAGCAUAAUUCUUGCUCCGAUAGCAUGGUUAUGUUACUCCCCAUUCUUGGGGAAGCAUAAUUCCUGCUCCGAAAGCAUGGUUCUAUUGCUUCCCAUCAUUCAGGGAGCAUAAUUCCUGCUCCUCGUUCCUGGGGAGCAUGGUUCUGCUGCUCCCCACUUUUUAGGGAGCAUGAUUCUGCUGCUCCCCAUUCUUGGGGGAGCAUAAUUCAUGCUCCAUGUUCUUGGGGAGUAUAAUUUCUGCUCUCAUUCUUAGGGGAGUAUAGUUUUGUUACUCCUCAUUCGUAGGGAAGCAUAACUGAUACUCCUUAUUUUUAGGGGAGCAUAAUUCUACUGCUCCCCAUUCUUGAGGGCAUCACUUUUUGCUUUAUUGACUAUUUUAUAUUUUCUACAAUAGCUGCUCCUCAGCUUUUAGCUUUUUGUUCCACCAGAAGCAUAAGAGCUCAAGUUAUUUUUCUCUCUUCUCAUUUCUAUAUAAACCAUCCUUUGCACCAUUCGUCCACUUCGUAGGGUUUCAACCCUUUGGUUUUCGCUUUUCUUGGUGAGUGCAUCUUCUCUUCUCCUUGUUUUUAGCAAUUUCAAUGUCUUCUUAUUCUAAAAAUAACUCUAACUCCAUUUACUAUGAGUACCUUGAAGAUGAUGAUGAUUACAAUCAUAUAUCCUCUGACCACAUACCCCUUGUCGUAAAUUUAGCUCCUACGUCAUUUGUUCCUGAUGACCAAACUAACCUUUAACCCGACUGGUCUAUCGAUGGGAUGAGAAAUGUAAUUUCUAAAAAAUCCAUUCCAUCUCUUAGAGUCAAGUAUGAAAUUCCAUGUUCAAUUGAACUUAGGAAGCCUCAAAUUGGUGAGCUUGCCAGCUAGCCUCCUCUUAGGGCUGUUGCUUUUCAUCCUGAUUUUUUUUCGUUAUGGUGUUAGGUUGACGUUGCACCCCUUCUUGAGAUACAUGUUGAUAUGCUUGAACUGUGGCUUUGCCCCAGCAUCUGGUGUGCCAUGAUUGGCAUGUACAUCUUAUGAAAAUUAAAGGGUCUUUCAGGUGAUAAAGACUCCCCUCUCAAGGGUUGGUAUUAUUUUCGUGCUUACGCUAAAUCUUUCCUUUUAAUUGCCUAGGGCAAAUCUCAUGAUGGUUCCUGGAAAGAUUCUUGACUUUUCGCCCUCGGGGAUUGGGAGCUAAGAAAUUCUCUUGGUAUGUAUCCUGUAUAUUGGGUUCAAACCUACUUUUCUACUCCAAGUAGCUUUUGUGAGAAUUGCUACAAGAUGUACUUUUUCUUUAUUAGUGUACUUACUCUUUUUCUUUCUUUUUUCUUUUUAACAAUGGCAUAUGGCUGUACCUCUAUUGAUCCUGCUGACCAACAUCAAAUCGAUGAAGUUUUUAAAAACCCUAUAAACUUGCGGUCUUGGAAAUAUCUUUCUGAAUCAUGCUUUCUAACUGCCUUUGACUUUAGCACUUCUACUUCCACCAACAUUCCAUCUCCAAGUGAGUUUUAUUUAAGCAUAAUUUUUAUGCUACUGAGAGGUUGUAAUAUUUUGUUUUUCUUUUUUUUUUUUCCUGAGGACAAUGCUGCAUGGAAAAAGAAGAAGAUAGACAAAUACCCAGCUUUAAAGAUUAGCAGGAAACUUAGGGAUAAGCCAAUCUUUCAGUGUGUGGGAUCAUCCUCUCAAGGAAUUGCAAAUGCUCAAGGGUUGCACUAGACUCCUCAAACUCCAUCUUGCACUGGUGAAACUCCAUUUUCUCAGUCUGCUGGCUUUCAUUCUGCAUAUGCUUUCACUAAUUCACCUGCUUAAGGGUCGCACCAAAUGCAUACAACUGCUCAAGGAUUGCAGUAAGAAAUUUUAUUUCCAACUUUCGCUCAUAAGAGUUCAUAUCCACAAUCUAUAGGCUCUGGCUCUGCUUCUACUUCUACUAAUGCUCGUAUAUAUACACCUCUUUCAGUAGGCCCAAGCCAAAGAACUAUGCCUUUGUUUGAUGGCUUAUAGAACUUCACUUGGGAAGCUCUUUCUCAAGCAUAUAUGAGCUGUUUUGCUCAAUCUUAGCCUCAGUAUGUCUUUGCUGAUAAUGUGAGGCAAAUGGAGAACUCUGAUCCUAUUGAAGCCAUGCUUGCUAACGUCUAUCAGGUAGUAAUUUGUAAUAUUGCUUUUAUGUUACCAUUAUUAAUAUGAAGUUGGAUCCCAAACUGUGUUCAUCUUCCUGUAGCUUGGUUGUGCUGUUCAAAUAUCAAAGAAAAAUAUAAAGUCCUUGAUGUUGGAGACAAAUGCUUUACUUGAAUCGGGCCAAGCUUCUAGAAAAAUGAUUGAUGAGCUGGAAAAGUGUCUUAGUGAAGAGAAAGCUCUGUUGACCCAAUAGAAGUUGGAACUUAAUGCUGCAAAUGAAGAAUUAGCUUAGUCCCAGUCCCAAGUUUAAGAACUGUCCAACUCCCUUGACCAAUUGAACCUCCAAAUUUUAAGUAUGAAGGCUUCAACCGUUGAAGAGUUCAAAACUUCUACUGAUUUUAAGAAUAUCCUGAAUGAAGAAUUUCUAAAAGGUGGUGCUAAGGUUAAGGCCAUGAUUAAGAGCCGUUACCCUUAACUCAAUUACCCUUUUUAGACGACUGACGAUACUCGUUAUUAGUUAUAUCCAAGACACUGCAUUUUCUAUUAUCUCCCUAGUUUUUUGUUGUUGUUUUUCUUCUUUUCUCUUGUUUUUGCAAUGAGGUUGUUUUAGUAAUAAAGUUGUAAACUGAGCAUGCUCCGGCUAUCUUUAUUAAUGUAUUUGCUUUUAGUGCCUUACUUCUCUUGCUCCUUACUUGUUUUUGUGGAUUUUUAUAAAAGUAACAAAAAAAAAAUUACUUUCCUUGCUUUUCUUUUUCCUCAGGAAUUCUAUUAGUUUUUCUGCUUGCUCCCAUAAGAGUAUAAUUUAUAGGGAGGAUGUCUACUCUCCUUACUUUUAAAGGCAUGGUUUCUGCUCCCAAAAAUUCUUUUUACUUUCUUGCUUUUCCUUUUUCUAAAGAGGGCAAUGAAUACUUAUUAAUUUUUCCUGCUGCUAUUUUUCUCUCGGGACGAUGAUUUCUGCUUCAUAGGGAGUAUAAUUCUACUGCUCCCUAUUCUUGGGAGUACAAUUUUUGGGGAGCAUGACUGCUCUCUUUACUUUGGAGGGCAUGAUUUCUGCUCCAGAAAUUCUUUUUACUUUUUUUACUUUUCCAUUUUUCUCAAAUCUUCUGAGGGUUCGAGUCUGCUCCUUUCUUUGCAUUGGUAAGCUUAUUGGCAUUAGAGUAUUUUUGAGCUCUCGAUAACAACUCGGUGAAAGUCCUUGGUGCAUUCUUAGAAAGCGGGUAAUGAAAUAUUCCUAGUUACAAGUCUGCCAUUAUGGCCGUUAAUGCCACUGCAUCUGUACAAUUUUAUACUCUUACUGUCUUUUUAUUAAAACGAACAAUAUAUUCCUUCAAUGACUCAUCAUUCCCUUGCUUCACUGAUAACAAAUGAGCUUAGGGAAACUGAUGGUCUCUUGCUCCCACAAACUUACUAAUUAACAUUUAACUAAGUUGGGUAAAUGAAGAACCAGGCUUCAGCUUCCUAUACCACUUACGUGUUGUUACUGUAAGCGUUAGGAUAAAGUCUUGCACAUGGCUGCCUCUGUUGCCCCCUGCAAUUCCAUCCACGACCUAACGGUCUCCAGAUGCUCAGUUGGGUCUCCUUCCCCUCCAUAUAACUUUAUUUGGGGCAUCUUAAAUUUUGCUGGCAAUGGGGCAUCCAAUAUGUCCUUAGUGAAUGGUGGUUCUACCUCCUCUAAGAGUGGUUCUGCAGGACUUUUCUCCAUCUCAUCCACAUGUUUCUUAAGCUUUUUCAAUUUUGCGUCAAGACUUGUCGACCCAGUACUAGCAUUAGAGCCCUUUAACUCAUGCUUCUUGUAUUGACAUUUUGAAUUCAGCUUGUGGCACAAAUCAUGCUUGGCUUCUAGCACAUGCCGGAGGUCUCUUGGGUGAUCAGUACGACUUGCAUGCGUCUUUGCUCUUCUGACUGAUCUGGUAGGGUUAUUUUUCUAACGAACCCGUUGUGAGCUAUUAUUGUUAUCUUGUAGAGCAUCUUGCAAGUCAUUCUGAAGCCCUUUUUCUUCCCGCAAAGGCGGAUUUGGGUUUGCUCUAUAUUCCUUGUUCUCUAUAUACUAGAGAACCAUGGCUGUAUUCUGUGUUAAAUCAGCCACUUGUUGCGCAAAUGGUGGAUGUGACCCAGCGUUACUACGCUGCCUUCUUAAUGGACUAGGAACUAGGGACAACCUGCUAUUGCGGCUGUGAUAACUACACUGACUGAUGGUUACUGAAUUUGAUGCAACCUUAAUAACAAAUUUUAUAUCGCUCCCCACAGACGGCGCCAAACUGUCGACGUAAAUUUUUUAUUAACUUGGUUCGCCCUUUGGCGUACGUCCAUGGGCAAAGAAAGAUACAUAUUUUAUUAAGAUCGUGCUUACAACUCAACUCUUCCUCUCUUUGCUAUUUUUUUUUCGGUGCUUUACACUAUGAGAGACCUCUGCUUUUAUAGCCUUCUAUAGAUAAAGUUAUUUUCUAACUUAAACUAUAUCUAACUCUCAUAUAUCCUCUAGGAUUUUAAUUACAAAAUAUUUCUACCUUUUCAUAGGUUGUAUCCGUGUCAGACUCUAUUUAAUUUGCUUCUGGACCAAGCAAUGUCCUAUUGUCGACUUUUAUUUUGCUGGGCUUGAUUUCAACGAUAGCUCCUCUAUUUAGAUUUGGUUUCAAUUAUAGAACUGGGUCAAGGGCCCCAUGGACGCAUGACUUUUGCUAUCCUCCACUCCUGGGCCCAUUCCUGGGGAUCAUGCUUUGUUGCUCUCCAUUCUUAGGGAAACAUAAUUCCUGCUCCCCAUUUCUGGGGGAGUAUAAUUCUUUCCCAUUCUUAGGGGAGCACGACUCUAUUGCUCCCCAUUCUUGGGGGAGCAUGGCUCUGUUGUUCUCCAUCGUGGGGGAGCAUAAUUCCUACUUCCCAUUCUUAGGGGAGAAUGGUUCUGCUACUUCUCAUUAUUGGGGGAGCAUAAUUCCUACUCUCUAUUCUUAGGGAGCAAGGUUCUGCCGCUCCUUAUUCUUGGGGGAGCAUAAUUCUUGCUCUCCUUUCCUGGGGGAGCAUAAUUCCCGCUCCCCGUUCCUAGGGAGCAUAAUUCCUAUUCCCUAUUCUUAGGGAGCAUAACUUCUGCUCCCCAUUAUUGGGGGAGUAUAAUUCUACUGCUCUCCAUUCUUGGGCGCAUCACUUUUUGCUUUAUUGACUAUUUUAUAUUUUCUACAACAUAAACUAAUAAUAACUUUUUUUCCCUUUUCGAUUAUUGAUAAAUUAUUCAAAUAAUCAUAAUAAUAAGUUUGAUUAUUUAGCAUUUCAUCUUUUAGAUUUAUUUUAGAAAAUUAUGUUAGUUACGUAUUGGACUCUGACAAAUAAUAAUAAUAAUAAGAUGUUUGCUUUUUGAGAUUUGUUUUAGAAACUUAAUUUAUUAAUGUUUUGGAUUAAGAAAUUUGACGUAUGUUAUUAGUUGUGUUUUAUUUUUAGUAGAUUUUAUAUAUUAUGUGCUAUGCUAUGCUUAUUUAGUUGGGAUACUUACUUUGUAUUCUAAUUGAUGUGUCAUUAAGAUAAAUGAACAAUUUGAAUUAAAAUGAUAAGACUUAAUAUUAUCUAUCAUUUGAACCAAUCAAAUAGUGACACAUUAUUUGUCACAUUUGUUCUGAUAAAAACUAAGUAUUUCAAUUAUGUAAGUAUUGUACUAUUGAUUUAUUAAUUAAGUUUUUAAUUGUUUUACUUUUUAUAUAAUAAUAAAACAAAAACUAAGAAUGAGCCUUUGAGGAAAAGUCCAAUAUGCAAUUACACAUAUUAGGUUGAUGAGUGGGUGAUAUUUGACCCUUUUAUUAUAUCUCACCAGGCCCCAUUUUUCAGUUAAUCCCAUUAAAAUUUUUAAAUUAAUCUUUAUCUCUCAAUUACCCUACCAAAUCCUAAUGUAUAAAUUACAAAAUCUAUUUUAAAAAAGAAGAAAAUCUCAUAAUGACUAUAAUCUCUCUCUUUCUUUUUAAAGUUUUGCCCAUUAUUGUCAUAACCAUAAAAAAAGAUUCAAUACUUCUUCAUCAUUCUCUAUUGAGUAUUAUAAAUAAAUUUGUUCCAUGAUUACAAAAACAAAGUAUACAAUAUUUGAAAAGAAAUAAUAAUUUAAAAAGUUGAAAGAAAUUAGGAUUCAAGAAAUUAGAUUCGCUAAAUUAACAUUAAUAGAAAUUACAUAUGGGUGCACUUAAGUCUUAAAAGCUAUUUAGCUUUUAAAGUCAUUUCAUAUAAUGAUAAAGCAAUAUCAACAUAAAAAUGACUAGUGGGAGUUAGUGAGAUAUAAUGAGGGGGGUCAAACAAUUACAAUUCUAGAUUGAUUUAGCUUGACUUUUUAUUAAAUGAAUUGGGUUAGAUUAGGUUGGAUUGGAUUCAGUUAUAUGUAAUCUCCAAUGCUUGUAGAAUGGAGAAGUUGAGUGCCCACCCAACCCAACCUGACUGUGCCCACCCCUAUAUCUAUAUCUUAUGUUUCAGAAUUUUAAGAAAAUGGAAGUUUGAGCUUUUGAUUAAAUGUAAUUUCUUCAAAGUAUGUGGAGUAAAUUAUAUAUUUUUUAAACAUCCAUGGAUUUAUGAAAAUAUAGUUAAGAUCUAUUUGUUUGUGUUGAAACUUAUUAGGAUAGUUUCGUUAAAUAUAUUGACUAUUGGGAUAAGGGAGAGGCUUGAAGCAGCCAUAAGUACCAGAUAACUUGUUUGUCUCCGUGGUCGCCGAUUGUUCAAAAUUUCCCAAUUGUAAUUGGCCACAUCAACAAAGUAACUAGUUGACUGAGAGGAGAGUGGCUAGCCAAUUUCGUGUAUAUUUGAUUUUUUUUUCUUUUUCGUUUCAUGUCUCUAAUAGCUAGCUUUUGGAAAAAUCUAUAUAAAACUCGCUUAUUCAAGGACCUUUAAGCUUAUAAGUUCAUAAAAUCUUGAGCUAUCACUUCUAAAUAUACUCUUGUAAGCUUUGGUUUUCUAUAAACUUUUUUUUCUACCUUUGAUUUGAAUAAUCAUAAGUGUGGGAAACACUUGAGCGAAGAGAUGUGAUACGUUCACCUCAAAUUUGUAAGAGUUUGAUAAUCAACUCCUUAAAAUCAGUUGUACUCAUUAUUGAAAGCUUAGGAUAUAUAUGACUUAGUAUUAGUAUAAUCUCCAAGCUUAGAUUGCUCAGAGGCACAAAAAUAGGUGGAUUUAUCGAACGACAAAAAAAUUGUUGUGUUUUUUUUCCCUCUCUAUCUUUACCUCUUUAAUUACUUGUUAUCGCGAUAUUGUUGAAGAAAAUUUUUAAACCCAAAUUUACAGUCCCUCUUGGGUUAUUUAAUUAGAAUUUCAUUACGAGUAAAUAUUGUUCUACAACAAUUUGUAAAAUUUAUAGUUCAAUUUUAUUUUACAUUGAAAAUUUGAGUUGGCUUGGUAAUGUUGUAGCGUUUAAAAUAAUUAGUUGCUCAAAAAUUUUAUUGUUAAUAAUGUUAGUUUUAAAAAUAGUUAUAUGUAUUUUGCAAAUCUUUACAUAUUAAAUUGUUACAAAUGACUAAAAGAUAAACAUAAUGUAAUGAAAUUUAUUUAUACAUAUCUACUCUUGUGUAAAUAUAAUAUUUUUUAUGGUAUAUAUAUAGUAGCUAGUGACUAAAUAAAUAAAUUGGUACUUCAUUAUUUUUAUUUCUUUUUUUUUUUUGUUAUUUGAAAAUAUUUGAUAAUAAAAAUAAUAAUAAUAAUGAUCUCCUCAAAUUUAUUGAGUUCAUUUCUUCAUUGAACAUGCAUAACUUUAGGUUUAUGUAAUGUAUGAAAGGAUAAAUGUUAUAUUAAGGAUAAAAUUAAUUCUCAAAAUUAAACUUUUGUAAAUUAUAACAAAAACUUAUAGUUAUUUAAUAUUCAAAUUGGUCCAUGGUAGACAUGGCUCACAAAAAAAUAGGGCAUUUGACAUUCUAAAAUAAUAAUUUAAACAUCCAUAUUUUAAUAAAGUUUCAAUGGUCAUCAUUUUACUUGGAGCUUGUGGAUUACUGUCACCACCUUAGGCCAGGUGGGCUGAGUGCUGUGGCUUGGAUUAUGGCUUUUUCAUGUCUUGGCGGUAACAUGGGUGUGCUUGUGGCGAGCAUGAAAGCAAGGCAAGUCUGACGCACAGGCUGGGCCGCAGCAGCAAGCGUGUGCUGUGGGACAAGCGUGGGGGAGCACGACAGCAACAAACGUAAGAGCGUGCACGGGUAGCGUGCAACAUCUUGUAAAUGUGUGGGCGCAUGGGCGCGAGAGUGCUCGCGCAAGGCGCAUGGGCGCGUAAGUGAGUGCAUAAGUGCUGGGCACAGUAACAUGCGAGUGUGGCAUAGUGGCGCACGGUCAUGGGGCAUAGUAACGCGCGAGGCAUGCGGGCUGGCCGAGUUUGGACAACAUGCAAGGUGGCAUGAAACUAAGCCAAGGCCCGUGAAAUGGGCCCUAACUUCAAGCAUGAGUGGGUGGUUGUUGGCGCAACUAGUGGGAGACAUGGCCUUGGAAUGCUUGGCUAGACAUGUAAGAACAUGGAAAAUGGGCAGCGGCGGUUACGCCCCACAACUUCCUUAUUUCUAAACUAAUGGACAGUGGUUGCCUUGUUCCUUAGGGGAGUGGAGAUGUGCUCCCUAGUACAUGCUUAAUCGGUGUCUAGUUUUGUGGGAAAUUAAUUGAGGUGGCGCGAGGGCAGCACACCACCUCUCCUUAGCAAAUAGGGGUGUCAUUUGCAAUGUGUAUAUCUAGUGAAAGGACGUGUGUGUUUGGGAUGGCAAUUUUGGGAGAGAGUGGUGUCCUCUAAGCACACAUGUCUUCUUACUAGGUUGUAACUUUUCUUAUUGAAGGAAAUAGAAAAGUUGGAGGCCGGUGUCUUUGUGAAAACAAUCUUGUACGUGUUGGUUUCUCUUUGUUAAAGCGAAAAAUCCUAGGGUGCGCUUUAGCACAUAACUAAUAUUGGUAUUGUUGAAUGGUUGGUUGAGUGAGGCUUGAUGCCAUCACAGGCUUGCCGCAUCUUGAGGAAAGAUGCGUGACAAUUACAAUAAUGGUUGUUACAGACAUAAUCAAAUAUGUCAAUAAUCGACACUCUUAUGAUAUAUAAAUAUGCAAAAAUUCAAAAUGCAUAUAAAAAUAGUAAAUCCCAAAAAUUCAAAUAAUUAUUUAUUUUCCCAAAAAUUCUAAUAAUUAUUUAUUUUAUUUUAUUCUAUCUUUCAUAUUACUAAAUUGAGGUAUUGUGCAAAUUUUUACUUUUUUUUUUAAAUGAUUUUUUUUACUUGUUUAACCUAAUGAUGACCUAAUCUUCUUUUCACACAUCGACGAGGGAUUUAAACUUUCUACCUAUUAUUUUCAAGAUAAUAAAUUUUACUACGCCAUUUUGAAUCAAUUAAUUUGCACAUAAGAUCAAGAAAAAUCUGGCUGUACACAUCGAAAGCAAGGCCGAAACCAUUAACGGCAAAGUUAAGCUAUAGCCUUGCCAAAAUUAGGCAAUUUUUUUUUAAUUUUUUAACUGCAUAGUAAUUUUAUGAAUAAAAAACUAACUAUUAUUGUUAUAUUUUAUAAAAUUGGCACAAUAUUAUUUAUAAGUUUAUUACUCACUUUAAUUUAUAAUAUAGCCACUGUCAUUUUUCGCAACUUCUUCCACACUCCUAUCAAAGAUGGCUGGUGGCUGUCAAUUGCCAAAGAUGAUUGGUGUCGCAAAUGAAGAAGUCGCAAAUGUUGAAUUUGAUAGAUGGUGGUAGGCACCAUAAAGUUCGAAGAAAAAUAGCAGCACAUGGUUUUGACAAAGAAAAAACCACUUAAGAAGAACAAUAAAUAAAUAAAAUAUUAAACUAACAGCCAAUUUUGGCUAUAAAAAGAGGAGUUCCCUAUAAGUUAUAAUUAAUCCCUCAUUUUGUGAAAAGCAACCCCAUUUCUUAAUAUUUAGAGAGUAAAGAGUUUUGAGAGCUUAAAUUGUAAAGUUCCUAAGAGUUUAGUGAUUUGAGAGAAUGGGUACAUUGAGUUUUGAGAAAUAAGCUAAAAUAUUACAAUAGUUUGUAAUCAUCAUUUCAUUAGAAAAGUUUAUCGUUUUAUCUUCACCUGUAGACGUAGGUUAAAAGCCGAACCACGUAAAUUCUUGCACCCUUUUUGUAUGGUCAUUCUUAUUUUCUUCCCUUCAACUUCAUUUUAUCCCAACUCCACCCAUAAUUUUCCUAACAGAAAUAUCAAAUCAUUUGGUUACUGAAGUACUGUUCACGUGAAACGGUGGAAGUCGAUCCUAGUAAAGGCAAUUUGUAGUGAAAACCAAUGGUGGUAAAAUAUGAAAUUGAGAAGUUCAAAAGAAAUAAUUUUUGUUAUGGAAAAUGAAGAUGAAGGCUAAUUUAAGGAAAAACAAUAAUUUGGCAGAAUUGGAGAAAGGUCUAAGGAGAUAACUAAUGAUGUCAACUGAAACGAGAUAGACAAUAAUGCAAUUGUUGAUCUACAUUUAGCACUGACUGAUAAAAUGUUAUUCAAUAUGGAGGAGAAAAUGAUGGUAAAGAAAUAUAGGAUACUCUCACAAAACUGUAUGAGACUAAGUCUUUACACAAUAAAUUUUCUUAAAAAGAAAACUUUACAUCUUAUAAUGGUAAAAUCUACAUCGAUGAUUGACUAUGUCAACACCUUAAAGACUCUAUUUUCGCAACUCAUAACAUUAGGUUAUUAAAUAGAGGAAAUAAAUGUGAGAAGCUUCUACUUUAAAGUUUACCAAAUUCGUAUGAUCUACUCAUACCAAUCUAACGAACAAUAACCACACGGAUAAUCUAGUCUUCGACUAUAUUACAGCCUCUGUAUUAAAUGAAGAAAACAAGCAGAAAAAUAGGGAAGAUAGAUAUACGAGUUCGCAGCAUAUGAACGUAUUAUGAUUAAUGAGAAGGAAAUCAACAGAACAUGGCUUCAGCAUGAGUCACAAUCAUUGUAGAUCAAAAUUGAAAAGUAAAAAAAAUGUCAAAUGGUACAAUUGUGAUGAAAAAGGGCACGCUAAGAAAAAGUGUUAGAAAAUAAAAAAAAAGUAGAUAUGGUAAAGCGCCUAAGUUAUUAAAUACUCAGGUUUGUGUGGUAAGUUUAUCUGGUGAUAGCGAAAUUUUUUACAAUGAGGUAACAACUAUUGAAGAAAGCAGGAAGUGGUUAGUUGAAGUCUGAUUUAUAGACUCAGGAGCAAUAUGGCAUAUGAUUUUUCGAAGAGAAUAGUUUCAUAAAUAUGAAUAUAUUUUAAGAGGAUCUAUAUACAUGAGUGAUGAUCAUGCUUAGAAAUUGUUGGUACUAGUCCUGUCAAAAUAAAAAUAUUUGAUGGUACAGUUCACACAAUCUAAGAGAUAUGACAUAUCAAAGGCUUGAAGAAAAACCAUUGUCUUUAGGAUAAAUGGGUAGUCUUAAGUAAAAAAAUCAUGUUUAAAAUGAGAUAAUAAAGAUAAUCAGAGGCGCGCUCAUAUUAAUAAAGGCGAAAAAUAUCGCUAACAUAUUCAUGCUUAAAGAGGAAACACUACAAGCAGUUGGUGUGUGUAUCGCAUCAAAUAAAGAAGAGUUUAUAAUGAUGUGGCAUCUAAAAAUUGGCCACAUGUUUAAACAAUGUUUAAGAUUCAAUCUGAACUAAAGUUGUUUCUAGGGCUCAAAUCAGUGAACUUAGCAUUUUGUGAGCAUUCUAUUACCAAUAAGUAGCAUAAAUUGAAGUUCAGCAGACCUGACACCAGAAGUAAAUAUAUUCUAGACUUGAUUUAUUUUGAUGUUUAGGAAUCACCAUAUUUAUCCCUAAGAGGUGAAAAGUACAACGUGACUUUCAUUGAUGAUUACUCCAGGAGAUGUUCAGUGUAUCCAAUCAAGAAAAAAUCAAAUGUGUUUCUAAUGUUUAAAGAAUUCAAAGCGCAGAUUAAACUUGAAUCUGAGAAAAGGAUUGAAUGCUUAAAGAUAGAUAAUGGUGGAGAGUAUAUAAACAACGCGUUUCUUGCAUUUUAUAAGUAAGAAUGUAUUGGAAAGCAGUUCACAGUUGCAUACACUCCUUAGUAGAAUGAAGUGGCUGAGUGAAUAAACAACACUUUUAUAGAAAGAAUAAGAGUUAUGUUAACGAUUGCUGGUCUACCCAACUCACUCUGGCAGAAAUAGCUAAAAUUGCCUAUUAUAUGGUUAAUUGGUUUUUAUCAAUAAUAAUUAAAUCGAAGACACCAAUAGCGAUGUGGACCUAAAAGUCAAUUGAUUGAUCCCACCUACAUUCAUUUGGAUUUACUAUGUACUUCAUGUACAAUGUCCAAGAAAGAACAAAGUUAAAUCUGAAAUCUAAAAGAUAUUUAUUCUUAAGGUAUGCUAAUGGAGUAAAAAGGUAUCGUUUGUGGGACCUUAUUGCCCACAAGAUAAUUAUCAGCAGAGAUGUUAUAGUUGUAGAAAAUCAACUACAAAUAAAAGAUGAUGAUGAUACACUAUGAAGAAAAAGUUAGAGACUGUACCAAUAUAUGUAGAAAAUAAUCAGAAAAAAAAAUUUUAGAUUCUUCUAAGGCAGCACUAGAGUACGAGGAACAAGAAAUAGUUGAGUCCAAGGCUCCAGAAGUACGUCGAUCAACUCGUGAGAGACAACAACCAGUGUGACACUCGGAGUAUGUUACAGAGGUCAAUAUUGCAUAUUGCCUUCUAACAGGAUGGAGAGCCAUCAACUUUCCAUGAGACUUUAAACAACUCAUAUGUUACUUUGUGGAUGACAGUAAUACAGGAAAAAAUUAAAGCUCUACAUAAAAGAAAGACAUAAGAACUUGUGCCACUACGAUAUGGUAGAAAAGUUAUUGGUAACAAAUGCGUCUAUAGGAUCAAGUGUGAUGGUAAUAAUCAAAUGGAACAAUAUCAUGCAAGAUUGAUGGUGAAAGGAUAUACUCAAAAAGAAAAUAUUUAAUUUAAAGAAAAAAAAUAUCAACAGUUGUCUGACUCAUGACAGUCAAAGUAAUAUAAUUAAUACAUAUAUUUUACCUUAAGAUUUUAAGAAGGUCUAACUAAGAAAUUUGCCAAAGACACCAAAUAUGGUUAAGCCAGCCUAUUUCAUAGUAUUGAUCUGGAUAGAGAUGGCAAAGAUCCCACAAAGACAGACCCUGAGGGAUUUUCCCCAUUUGGGAAAGGUAUGAGAAUAAUUUUAUACCUAAUUUCUUAUUCAGAGAAGGGAGGGGGAUGAUUUUUUAAUCCAAUUUCUUAAUCAGGGAAGGUACGAGGAUAAGGUAGAAUCCUAUUCCUCUCCCCAUUUUCCCAUUUCCCCAUUUCAAUUUUUAAUUUUAUUUUAUUUUUGAAGAAUUAUUAGUGAAUAAAUAAUAAAAUAUUACAUAUUGGUGUAAAUAGCAAAUAUCAAAUAUUUAUACAAAUAAUCUAAACAUUAGUUAAAAUAAAGGCUUUAAUGUAAUUUAAACUAUAGCUAAAAGCCCACAAUCUCACAAGUCACAAUCCACAAAUCAAACUCUAAGCUACUCUCUCACAGUCUCACUCAUUCUUGUUAACAUAUAUGUUUCCAUAAUAUUGAUUUUGAUGAUAACAAACAAGAUUAAGAAUGAUUAAUCUUUUAAGAUCAAAUUAUUUUUUAUAUAUUUUAAAUAAAUCAUUAUUUUCACAUUUUAAAGGUUUUAUAUUUAAUGGAAAAAUGAUUUUAUGAAAUUGAUUGUUUUUAUUCUUUUUAAAUAAAUCAUUAUUUUCACAUUAUAAAUGUUUCAUAUUUAAUGGAAAAAUGAUUUUAUGAAAUUGGUUGUUUUUCAAAGUUUAUGGUUUAAUUGAAAGAUUUUUGAAAACUUUGAAAUAAACAAGUAUUGCUUGAAAUUUUGGAUAAUGACUUAUUUGAAAAGUGUCAUAGCAUUUUGGGCUAUACCAUAAUUUCAAAAAGUUUUGGGAUUAACAAAGCAUUACUUAGAAAUUCUGAAAUUGGACCUAUUUGUAAAGUUUUAUAACGUUUUGGGCCGUAACACAGUUUUAUAAAGUUUGGGGUCAAACUGUGAAUUUGGAAAAUAUUUCACUGUAGCAGUUACUGUAGAAAACGGCGAUCCGACAUCUUGAUAACGGCUCGCCGACAUCUAACAGAAUUGAAGAUUAGUCUCUGGACCUAAACGGCGAACCGACACGUGUGAUAAACGGCUCGCCGAUAUCAACCAGUAGCCUCUGGACCGAAACGGUGAUCCGACAUAUAGUUAACGGCAAUCCGACAAUUUGAAAAAUCAGCACAACGGUCAUAUUGACCAGUCAAACGGCGAUCCGACAUCUCGCUAACGGCGAUCCGACAUCUAGCUAACGGCGAUCCGACAGUGUGCAGAAAGUCAAUAACGGCUAGUUUUCAGCUCCAACUAUAAAUAAGCUCAAUCCAAUUCAAACAAGCAGUUUUCCAACGAUCAUCAUUGAGCAAAAUAUUGAGAAUACAACUUUCAUUGAGCUUUAAAUCUUUGUAUUCAUCUUAUUCAUUCACACAUUGAGCUUUCACUUGUGAUCAAACACAUUGUGUGAGAGAGAUUCAUUUGUAAUCUUUUUUUAUAAAAUCAAGUUAAAAGAUUGUAAGUGUUGGGAUACACUUGGGUUAAGAGAUUGGGGAUAAUCUCUUGUUGUAAAGGUCCAUUGACACCUUGGAAGUCAAUUGUAAGCGUUUGAAGCCUUGGGAGGCUAGCUUAGUGAAAUCCUCAAGCCUGGUGAGCUUGGAGGCGUGGACGUAGGCGGGGAUUGCCGAACCACGUAAAAAUCAUUGUGUUUGUUUUCUCUUCCCUUACUCUUUUAAUAUUGUGCAUGAUUGAAUUUAUUGUUUUCAAUUUGAUUAAGGCAAUAGAUUAAAUUGUUGUGUGGUUUGCUUAGCUUAAUUUUUAAAAACCCAAUUCACCCCCCCUCUUGGGUUGACUAGUUAGUAUUUCAUUUGGUAUCAGAGAGAGGUGCUCUUAUUUAGACUUAACCGUCUAGAGUAAAAGAUCCAUGGCAACCUAUAGUGACUCAACCUUUAGGGAAGGGCAAUCCACAAUUAGACCACCGUUCUUUGACAGUAAUGACUACUCAUAUUGGAAAACUAGGAUGAGAAUUUAUUUACAAGCUUUAGAUUAUGAAAUUUGGGAAAUUGUUUGUAAUGGUCCAUUUAUGCCUUUGACUAAAAACGAAGUUGGGGAAGAUAUUCCAAAACCUUCACGGGAAUGGAAUGAAUUGGAAAAGAGAAAAGUUUCUCUAAAUUCCAAAGCCAUGAAUGCCUUGUUUUGUGCACUUGAUAAGAAAGAGUUUCAUAGAGUAUCUAGUUGUGAGAGUGCUAAUGAAAUUUGGCACAAACUUGAAGUUGUUUAUGAAGGCACAAAUCAAGUGAAAGAGUCUAAAAUUAGUAGGUACACUCGGCAAUAUGAAUUGUUCCAAAUGGAACAAAAUGAGAGUGUGUAUUCUAUGUAUACUAGAUUUACGGACAUAAUGAACACUCUAGGAGCCCUAGGAAAGACUUUUUCAAAUAGCGAGAAGGUUAAGAAAAUUAUUAGGUCUCUACCUAAGGAAUGGAGACCAAAAAGGACUGUCAUUGAGGAAGCCAAGGAUUUAAAUAUCUUACCCAUUGAUGAUUUAAUUGGUUCUCUUAUUUCUUAUGAGGAAGACUUGGCAGCCGAAAGAGGCAAUGAGGAGAAGAAGAAAAACAUUGCUCUCAAAGCCUCGAAACAUGAGAGUGAUGAGGAAAGCGAGCUGGAUGAGGAGGAGAUGGAUAUGCUAGCUAGGAGGUUCAGAAAACUUUUUAAGAAAUCCGGUGAGCGAAGAAAAUUUAGAGACCUCAAGAACCGAAAGGAGAAGAAGGAAUUAAUCAAAUGUUAUGAGUGCAAGAAGUUUGGCCAUAUAAGAACGGAAUGUCCUCUUCUCAACAAGCUCAAGAAGAAAGCAAUGGUAGCCACAUGGGAUGAUAGCGAUGAGGAAACAAGUGAUGACGAAGAGCAUCAAGAAAUGACAAAUCUAGCUCUCAUGGCAAUUGGAGAUGAAUCGGAUGAUGAACUUGAUGAGGUAAAUGAUCUUUUUACUUAUGAUGAAUUAUAUGAUGCUUUUAAAGAAUUGCAUGAUAAUUGGAUAAAAAUUGGUAAAAAGAAUGCAUGUCUUAAAAAGAAAAUGGUAGAGCUCAAAAAUGAAAAUGAAUCUCUAUGUGCAAAGAUUACAUGCCUAGAAUUAGAGAAUAAAACAUUGCAUGAUAGAGUUGCAUUAUCAAAUGAGAAAUCUAGCACUUCACAUGAGCAUCUAAAAUAUCACAUAGAUGACUUGAAAAAGGAAAAUGAAAUGCUUAAGAAGAAGAGCAAUGAGUUAAAUGAGAUUGUUUUGAAAUUUACAAAUGGGCAAAAGAUGUUGGAUAACAUGCUUAAUUCACAAAAAUGUGUAUUUGACAAAGGAGGUAUUGGCUAUAAGCCAAAUUUGAAACAAAAGUAUUAUAAGAAUUACUUUGUGAAGAGUACCUCAAUUAACAAUCAAGUUGUAUGUCAUUAUUGUAAUCAAAACGGUCACAUGAAGCUUGGUUGUCCUAUUAAGAGAAAUGUAUAUUAUGGAGUCAAAUGUAUUUGGGUUCCAAAAGGAACUAAAUCUAACAUUCAAGGACCCAAGAGUAUUUGGGUACCAAAGGGCACAACGUGAAUGUUUUCUUUGUAGGUACCACAAUCAAGGAAUGGUGGAGAGUUCCUUGAUGAAAGCUUGUGAGGAUAAUCACUUGAGUAUGAUCUAGGAGAAAAAGAUGAGGCAAGAUGAUUUAAUUGUUUUGGUAAUAAUUCUUGCUAUAUUAAUUUUGUUGAAUGAAUCAUGAUAAAUGAAUUUGCGAAAGUAUGAUUGUAUGUUUACAUGAUUAAAUUAUCAUUGUGUUUAACAUUGAGUGUUUUAUCAUGAUAGCUUAUCAACUCAUCAUGAUGGAUUUGUUUGAUGUUAAUGUUUAUGAAAUGUUUAAGCAUGAUAGUUAAGUGGUGUGUUUGAUUUAUUCACUUUUGAAUGCUUAUAUGUUUAAUUAUUGUGAAAAUCUCUAGUCUGCACAAGCUGUAAUGAAUUGGUCAUAACUCCUUCUAGAGAACUCCAAAUCCAGUUCUGUAAAAUUUAUUGGAAAGUUAACUUAAUUAUCUUUCCAACAGUAUAUAGCUUGCAUGUUACUUCCGGCUCAAUCAAUACAGUUUUUAUUCCGAAUUUGACCUUUCUGCAUUUUAUUAAGUUUUGAAUGCUUAUAUGUUUCAUGAUUGUGUAAAAUAUACACAUGAUGAAUGAAUUAUAUGUGUGAAUUCAUAUGCUAUUAAUUGUGUUAUAUCAUCAUUCGGAUAACCGGAUUUAUCAAUCCGAAAAACUGGAUUUAUCAAUCCGGAAAACCGGAUUUGCUAAGCCAAACUCUCUAUGAGCUUUGGAAAUAUAGAAAACCCAACAUUAGUUAUUGCAAAGUUUUUGGAUGCAAAUGUUAUAUUUUGAACACAAAAGAUAAUCUUGGCAAAUUUGAUCCAAAAUUUGAUGUUGGUAUUUUUCUUGGCUAUUCAAACACAAUCAAAACUUAUUGAGUGUAUAACAAAAGAACUUUGAUUGUAAAAAAAAAAAAAAAAAUUAUACUUGUUAUAAUUGAUGAGUCUAAUUCUUCCGCUAUGGAGAAAGUUGUUGUUAAUGAUAAUGUAGAUGAAGAGCUACAAGAAGAUUAUCAAAUGAUAGCCAAAAGAAUGCACCACUUGAAAAUCAAGAGGAGCAACAUGAAGAAAUAAAUGCGGAGUAAAAUGAAGGUACUUUCUCAUACAUUCCCAAAGAGUGGAGGUAUGUUUCUUCUCACCUUAAGAACUUAAUUUUGAAAGAUCCAUCACAAGGUGUAACUACUAUAUCAUCACUUAAAAAUAUAUGUGAGCAUUUGUAAUAACGGAUUUGAUCACUUGUUCUUUAACUCAUAAUUAUGGCUUUUCUUAAUAGUUAUGUUGAUUUUGAUGAUCUAUAUAUUGGCAUAUGUUGAUUUUGAUGAUAAAGAAUGUGCUUUGAUGAUUCCAUUGUAUUUGAUGAAAUUUGAUCUUAUGGAAUUUAUGAUUGGUGAAUGGAUACAUUUUUUUUGCUUUCUUGACGCAUUGUUAAAUAUGCAUUACUUGCUUUAAAUGAUAUCAAAAGGGGGAGAAAUACACGAUCAUUAAGAUCUUGGCGCAUAUGAGAGUGUAAGUUAUAUUAAAAUGUCACAUUAGAUCUUUGAUGAGUUUAGUUGUCUUUAUUUAUAAAAUGUGAUUGAUAAUUAUGGAGUUUGAAUAUUUGAUAAUAUGCAUGCCAAUUUAGUAAAGAAAUCAAAACUUCUUUGCGAAGAAGAAUUUUCAAAAAUUCGGCAUAAACUUGGAAUGAUUUGAUUUCUUGAUGAUUUUGGUAAUUGAUGAUUAUAUGUGCGUUGCUUGAUGAAUUGAAGGAGUUGUUGGUUGGUUAUAAUUUUUUAAGCUUAUAUAGAAGUGUUUUUAAUCAUGUUGUGUAUUUGAGGAUUUGUUCAUUUUUAAGGGAAGACUUUGCCGAAAUUUUUGCUCACACAAAAUGGGUAAUAUCUUCAUCGAAUUAUUUUUGAUGAUCUUGUUAUUGCAUCUAUCUAUUGUUUUUUUAAGGAGGAGAUAAAUAUGAUAUAUUUUUGGUUAAAAUCAUUUUGGUUAAAAUUCUUAAAUUGGCCAUAUAUUUAGGGGGAGCAUAUAAUAUGAUUUUGGAUAAUAUGCAUUUUGAACUUUUUUGUUGUCCAAAGGGGGAGACAAAGUAAUAUCUCAUUUCGAUAUUGUCAAAAGGAGGAGAACAAUAUGCAUUUUGAGUAAUUAUUUUGAUAAUUGAUAUGUGAUUAUGGUGAGAACUUGAUGAUUUUGAGAUAUGAUGAUGAUUUGAUUACAUAGGUGUUUUAUAUGAUAAAUUUAUGUUAUGAGUUGUUGACUUGGAAAUUGAUGGAAUAAUGGUUCAUGAUAUUUUUGUGUGAUGAUUUGUGUAUGGAGUUGACAUGUAUCAUGAUUUAUAAUAAUUUGUGAGUAAUAUUACUAAACGUGUAUUUGAGGUAAUGCUUGUUGAUAGGGGGAGAAUGUGUCAAAAUUUCUACUCGGCUACAUGGGUAACAAAUUUGCUACUCUUUUUCUUUUCCACUAAGUUUUCUUUUUUGAUGAUGAGGGGGAGAAGAAUGCAUGUAUUUAAAUUUGUUAAUUUAGCUAAAUUGUAAGAGAAGCUUACAUUUAGGGGGAGCAAUUUGUGCAAUCAUUUUUUAAAUACAUGAAACGUUUGUCAUCAUCAAAAAGGGGGAGAUUGUUAACAUAUAUGUUUCCAUAAUAUUGAUUUUGAUGAUAACAAACAAGAUUAAGAAUGAUUAAUCUUUUAAGAUCAAAUUAUUUUUUAUAUAUUUUAAAUAAAUCAUUAUUUUCACAUUUUAAAGGUUUUAUAUUUAAUGGAAAAAUGAUUUUAUGAAAUUGAUUGUUUUUAUUCUUUUUAAAUAAAUCAUUAUUUUCACAUUAUAAAUGUUUCAUAUUUAAUGGAAAAAUGAUUUUAUGAAAUUGGUUGUUUUUCAAAGUUUAUGGUUUAAUUGAAAGAUUUUUGAAAACUUUGAAAUAAACAAGUAUUGCUUGAAAUUUUGGAUAAUGACUUAUUUGAAAAGUGUCAUAGCAUUUUGGGCUAUACCAUAAUUUCAAAAAGUUUUGGGAUUAACAAAGCAUUACUUAGAAAUUCUGAAAUUGGACCUAUUUGUAAAGUUUUAUAACGUUUUGGGCCGUAACACAGUUUUAUAAAGUUUGGGGUCAAACUGUGAAUUUGGAAAAUAUUUCACUGUAGCAGUUACUGUAGAAAACGGCGAUCCGACAUCUUGAUAACGGCUCGCCGACAUCUAACAGAAUUGAAGAUUAGUCUCUGGACCUAAACGGCGAACCGACACGUGUGAUAAACGGCUCGCCGAUAUCAACCAGUAGCCUCUGGACCGAAACGGUGAUCCGACAUAUAGUUAACGGCAAUCCGACAAUUUGAAAAAUCAGCACAACGGUCAUAUUGACCAGUCAAACGGCGAUCCGACAUCUCGCUAACGGCGAUCCGACAUCUAGCUAACGGCGAUCCGACAGUGUGCAGAAAGUCAAUAACGGCUAGUUUUCAGCUCCAACUAUAAAUAAGCUCAAUCCAAUUCAAACAAGCAGUUUUCCAACGAUCAUCAUUGAGCAAAAUAUUGAGAAUACAACUUUCAUUGAGCUUUAAAUCUUUGUAUUCAUCUUAUUCAUUCACACAUUGAGCUUUCACUUGUGAUCAAACACAUUGUGUGAGAGAGAUUCAUUUGUAAUCUUUUUUUGUAAAAUCAAGUUAAAAGAUUGUAAGUGUUGGGAUACACUUGGGUUAAGAGAUUGGGGAUAAUCUCUUGUUGUAAAGGUCCAUUGACACCUUGGAAGUCAAUUGUAAGCGUUUGAAGCCUUGGGAGGCUAGCUUAGUGAAAUCCUCAAGCCCGGUGAGCUUGGAGGCAUGGACGUAGGCGGGGAUUGCCGAACCACGUAAAAAUCAUUGUGUUUGUUUUCUCUUCCCUUACUCUUUUAAUAUUGUGCAUGAUUGAAUUUAUUGUUUUCAAUUUGAUUAAGGCAAUAGAUUAAAUUGUUGUGUGGUUUGCUUAGCUUAAUUUUUAAAAACCCAAUUCACCCCUCUCUCUUGGGUUGCCUAGUUAGUAUUUCAAUUCUUUCUAAAAUAAUCACAUCGUAGUCAGUACCUAACUCGUCCUCAUCUAUCGUAAUCAUGUAGCACAUCGCGUUGUCGAUGGCCAAGCAGCCCAGCUCAUUACAACAUGAACUAGCAGCCCCACUCGCUAAGAGGUAUCAUUGUUUAUGGAUAAUACAAGUGUCAAUAUUAAAUAAAAAUCUCAUUUUUUGAAUUUUGUUUUGAAAAUCAUUAUCUGAAUAUUAUAUAUACCAAAACUUUGAUGGAGGAGAAUAAAAUAAAAGCCAUUCAUGAUCAUUCUCACUUUAUUUUAUAUAGUUUUAGGUUAAUAUAAUUAAAUUAAGUUUGAAAACUAAAAGGUAAGUGUAUGAGAGAAUGUUUCUGUUGUACUUCAAAGAAAACUCCCUCCUAAGUGCAAGGAUCCAUGCACUUUCACUAUCACCUACACUAUUGGCAAUACCAAGUUUAAAAGAUGUAUGCUAGAUUUAGGUGUUUCAAUUAAUGUUAUGCCAUAUUCGAUUUAUAACUCUUUAAAUCUAGGUCGAAUGGAAGAAACUAAUAUAAUUAUUCAAUUGACUAAUAGAUAUAAUGCUUACUCAAAGGGGUUGUUGAAGAUGUCCUUAUGCAUGUUAAUGAAUUGGUCUUUCCAGUUGAUUUCUAUAUCCUUGAAAUGGAGGAUGAGUCAUCACUCAAUCCCAUGCCCAUUCUGCUGGGGUGACCAUUCCUUAAGACAGCCCGAAACAAGAUUGAUGUUCAUGAUGGAACCUUUGUUAACAUGAAUAUGUUAAUAAUAUUGAUUUUGAUGAUAACAAACUUUAAAUGAUUUUUUAUUAAAAUGUUGGAGCUAUUCCUUAAUAAACGAAAGCCUUAUAAUCAUUCCAAUUAUAUUCAUAAAAGUUGGAUCACUGUUAAAUUUCAAAUUGGAAAAUGAUUCUCUGCAAAAUCUGGCUGAAAUCGUGAUUCUGGAAAUAAACGGUGAACCGUUUUCCUUUUAAACGGUUAACUGAUUAAAACCAGAGAGUAUCAAAUUGCUUAAGCUUUAGUCGGUUAAGAAAAAUAGAAAAUACAAAAAGCUGGGAAGGCCACUGUAAUUAAACCGUGAACCAUUUAUUGAAACGGUUAACCGAUAAAAUCCAGAAUGAAAUAUUGUACCUGGAAACAAACGGCAAAAGUUUAACUGAAACGGAUAAGGCUAACUUGUUUUGUAGGUUACUGGAAACAAACAGCGAACCGUUAAUUACAAACGGCUAACCGAUAAACUCCAGAAAUGUUAUUUCGUAUAAAUCUUUAACCGUUUAGUAUGAACUAAUAACUGAAGUUCAUCUUGCAGGUCACUGGAAUUUAACGGCUAACGGGUAAGCUUAAACGGCAAACCGUUUAUUUGAAAUUUGGCCCAAUGGUAACUUUUGACUAGAUUCAAUGGUUAACUGUUAAUGACUAACGGCGAACCGUUUUCUAGCAGACAGUCUAUAACGGCUAGUUUUUCAGCUCCAACUAUAAAUAAGCUCAUUCAAAUUCAAACAAGGUUGAUCACAACACGACCAUUGAGCUUAUAUUUGAGAAUACAAUCUUCAUAGAGCUUUAAAACACAUUAUUGCUUCAUCUAUUCACACAUUGGGCAUUGAUUUGUAAUCUUAAAUAUUGUGUGAGAGAAAAAUAAUUUUUAAUCUUUUACUUUGAGUGAUUGUAAGUGUUCGGAUACACUUGGGUUAAGAGAUUGGGGAUAAGCUCUUGUUGUAAAGGUUCAUUGACACCUUGGAAGUCAAGUGUAAGCAUUUGAAGCCUUGGAGGCUUGCUUAGUGAAAUUCUCAAGCCCGGAAAGCUUGGAGACGUGGACGUAGGCGAGGUUGGCCAAACCACGUAAACUCUUCGUGUUUGAAUCUCUCUUCCCUUAUCUUUUUAUAUUGUAAUUGAUUUAAUUGUUAUUCCAUUAAAUUCAUUUUAGAUUUGCUUGAUAAUUUAUUUUAGAAUCAAAUAAUUUUUAUAAACCCAAUUCACCCCCCCUUCUUGGGUUGCACACUUGUAUUUCAACCUUCACAAUGGAAUUUGAUGGUGAAGUGAUCGGCUUCAAUAUAUUUGAGGCGAUGAGGUAUCUCAGUGAUUUACACUCUGUUUUAACCAUAAAUGAUAUGAACACUUUAGUGCAGGAAUUCGUUGAGUUAUCUAGUAACGACAGUUUUGAAAUCACCAUAAGUAAAAAUCUUAGGAAGAAUGAUUCUAAAGAACAUAUAAGUUUGAUAAAGUUGGAUGAUGAAUAGAAGAGGCUGUGACAAUCUUAGAUGGAGCAAUCCUAUUACGCACCAAUGGGUAUAAUGUUUCUUACCUUGAAUUGUCUUUAUCAAACAAGAAACUUUUACCUUCAACUGUACAAGCACCGAUCUUAGAAUUUAAGCCACUCCCAGAGCACCUACAAUAUAUUUACUUGGGUAAGAAUGAUACACUUCCAGUCAUCACUACUAAAACCCUCACUCCAGUUCAACAAGAAAAGCUAAUUAAGGUGCUUCGAGAGCACAAGACGGCGAUUGGCUGACCAUUGUCGACAUUAAGGGAAUUAGUCUUUCCAUGUGUGUAUUCAUCGCAUUUUACUAGAGGAAUGGUCUAAACCAACAAGAGAUGCACAAAUCCGCCUUAAUCCACCAAUGAUGGAAGUCGUAAAAAAUGAGAUACUGAAGCUUUUUAAUGUAGAGAUUAUCUAUCUUAUUUCUAAUAGUAAAUAAGUGAGUCAUGUGCAGGUAGUUCUAAAAAAAAUUGUGCAGUCAAGAAUGAAGAAAACGAGCUUGUAUCAACUAGAGUUUAAAUUGGGUGAAGGGUUUACAUUGACUACCGCAAACUGAAUGCGACCACUCGCAAAGAUCACUUUCUUUUGCCAUUCAUUAAUAAAAUGCUUGAAAGGUUAAGUGCUCACUCUUAUUAUUGUUUUCUUGAUGGUUACUCAAGUUAUGAUUAGAUUGUUAUCACUCCGAAAGACCAAGAGAAAAUGACCUUAACAUGCUUCUCCGGCACAUUUACUUAUCGACCCAUGUCAUUUGGUCUCUAUAACGCUCCUCCUACUUUUCAAAGGUGUAUGAUAAGUAUUUUUUCUAAUUACGUUGAGAACAUCAUUGAGGUAUUUAUUGAUGAUUUUAAGGUUUAUGGUGGUGAUUCUUUUUAUAGAUGUUUAGAUAACCUUACACUUGUGCUUAAACGAUAUAUUGACAUUAACCUUGUGCUUAAUUGGGAAAAAAUUUAUUUUAUGGUUAAUCAAGGUAUUGUACUGGGACAUGUUAUUUCUGAAAGGGGGAUUGAAGUUGAUAAAUCUAAGAUAAAUCUUAUUCACUCUUUACCACCUCCCAUUAGUGUGAAGGAGGUUCAUUCAUUUCUUGGUCAUACAUGUUUCUAUCUCAAGUUUAUCAGGGACUUGUCCAAGAUGGCAUUACCUCUCUACAACUUGCUUCAGAAAUAUACAACUUUUGACUUCAAUAAAAAGUGUCAAACAACCUUUGAGAAAUUAAAAGAGGUUUUGACAUCAGCCUCUGCGAUUCAACCAUCAAACUGGAAUUUACCAUUUGAUAUCAUGUGCAACGCCAAUGACUAUGUCGUUGGGGCCGUGUUAGGUCAGUGUGUGGACAAGCUUCCUCAUCUUAUCUAUUAUGCCUCUUGUACACUGAAUGAUGCACAACUCAACUACUCCACCACCAAGAAAGAACUUUUAACGAUUAUUUUUGCCUUGGAGAAAUUUCGUUCUUAUUUGAUUGGAUAUAAGAUAAUCGUUUCCUCUGACCAUACAGGUGUUAAGUACUUGCUCACUAAAAUGGACGCCAAGUCGCUCCUUAUUCAAUGGAGAUUACCCGAACUGAAAAUUCUAAGGUUGUGGUAGAUUUUAUAAAGUGCAACAUCUUUGCGAGGUUUAGAAUGCCAAAAGUCAUUAUCAGCAACAGAGGCACUCACUUUUAUAACAAGUCAGUAGAAGCCCUCUUUCGGAAAUACAACAUUACUCACAAUGUCUCUACAUCUUACCAUCCACAAACUAGAGGGCAAGCUGAGGUGUCUAAUAAGGAAGUAAAAUCAAUCCUUCAAAAGAUAGUUAAUUCGAAUAGAAAAUGUUGGAGCUUACGGCUUGAUGAUUCACUUUGGACUUACAAAACUGCAUUAAAAUGCCUAUUGGUAUGUCAACUUACCGGUUGGUAUAUGGUAAGUGUUGUACAAAUUUUAUUGAACUCGCAAGCGCACGAAUCUAUUAUAAAAUAGAUUAACGGUGACGAGUGUCAAUCCCACGAGGAGGUGGAUUUUAAUUAUAUGUAGAAUUAAUUUUCUAUGAGGGUGGUUGGAUUUGUGGUGAAAAUGAUUUGGAAAAUUCUAAAAUUUAAAUUAGAAUGGCAGGAAUAAAUUUAAAACGAAUUCUAUUGAAAUGAAGCACUUGGAUAUCUGCAUCAACAUGCACCAUUGGCUAAAUAUUCCUUAUUAAUGCCAAUUAAAUCAUGAGGGGGGUUUCCAUUCCUCAUGAACCACACUCUAAUCAAUAUGGUGCUAAGGGCUUAUCGUGUUAAAUAAUAAUAACAUUGUACUAGGGAGCCGGUGAAACCAGGGCGGUAUCUAGACAAGAUUAUUACUAUUUGUUAACGAAAAGUCAAAACAUCCAUAAUAAUUAGAGGGGAAGAGAAAAUAAAUUUACCAAAUAAAUCUCAUGACACAUGUUGAGACUUCACUUUCAACCUAAGCUUAAAAGAAACUUAGCUACUCAUAAUUGAACUAGGGGUAAAAUGAAAAUUUAUUAAAAUACGUAGAAAAUACAAGAUGGAGAAUGAAUUACAGAAAAUUGAACUCAAAAAUGAAUUCAUGGAUAUCAAAUUACGGGGGAAGCCCCUUUUUUUAUAGAUAUAUUGAGUAAAUCAUGGUCAUCGGAUUAAAAACAUUUCGGACGCUCAGGAUUGCGCCACGUCAUCGGUCAACAGUACGCGGUUUGAAUAGUUACGCGGUUUGAGUAGUGACACAAUUUGGUUGUAAGUUAUCCUGUGUAUUUGCAUGUACCGUACGCACGAUUUUUGGUCCACUUACAUGUUGCCACGUCACCGAUCAACAGUACAUAAGAAUUUUAGUCCAAUAGAAUCGUGAUACUUCAUCAGUCAAUGCCACAUCAUUGGUCAAUACCAUGUCAUCGUUCCAUAUAUGUGAACAGUGUGAUGAACAGUAACGCGGACAGUACCAUACAUGUGAAUAGUACCGUAUAUGUGAACAAUGUCAUUUUUCAUUUUCUGCUCCUCCUAAGGUUUUCGACCGUUCUGAGUUCAAAAGUGAUGUCCGUUUUGCCAUCUUAUCUCUCGUUCAUUGUGAAAUGAUCAUGAUGCCCCUAAAAUACAUAAAAUAAUUAAUUAUAAUACAACACACAUAAUUAAAUCACAAGAUAAUUAAAUACAUAAAAGUAAGAAUGUUAGUGCGACUUGAAAUAUAAAAUGACUAUUUUCUCGUUUAUAAAUACACACUUUCUAACACUCAACAGUAAGCCCUGUCAUCUUCCGAUGGAACUUGAACAUAAAGCAUGGUGGACUGUGAAACAAUAUAACAUGGAAUUGGAUGCCGCUGGCCAACACAGGGAGCUUUAAGUACAAGAAUUAAAGGAAAUUUGAACAAUGCCUAUAAGAAUUUGCAAAUCUACAAUGAAAAGACUAAGGCUUUUCAUGAUAAGCAGAUCUUAAGAAAGAACUUUAAAGUGGACAAAAAGUUUUACUAUUCCAUUCUCGUCUUAAGUUAUUUCCAGAUAAGUUUCGUUCUCGAUGGGUUAGCUUUUUUGUUGUUACUAAUGUUUUUCCUCAUGGUGCAGUUGAGAUUAGAAGCUUAAAGACAGGUAAAGAGUUCAAGGUAAAUGGUCAUAGGUUGAAGUCUUACUAUGAAAACUUUCAUACAUUCAAUGUAGAGGAGGUUCCACUCUAUGAACCCGCGUACGUUGAUGAGUGAAACAUGAAAACCAUGUCAGACUGAGGAUAAUAAACCAAGCACUUAUUGGGAGGCAACACAAUGGCUGGAGAUUAGAUUUGAGAGCACGCCGUAACAUAUUUGAUCUUUCAACCUUUCAUUCUCAUUUACUUUAUCCAUUUUAUUUUUAAUUUAGUUUUCUAUUUGUUUUUUGUGUGUCUCUUCUUAUUUCCCCAUGUUUAAUUCUUUCUUUUGUUAGCUUAAGCUUACAUUGAGGACAAUGUAAGAACUAAGUGUGGGGGGGGGGGGGGGGAGAGAGAUUUCGAACUUAGUUUUUGUUGCUUUAGCUUUUUCUUUUUCUAUUAAAAAAACCAAAAAAAAAAUUGUUUGUCUUGAAUAUAAGCCAAUGAAUAUGAUUCUUAAAAAGGGUUGAAUAUUGUCUUAGUUUAUAUUUGAUUCUUAUGUUAAUUUCCUCUCAAUUGAGAUUCUUUAAACCAUGAGCGCUAAUAUCAAAAUUUUCAUAACUUUAACUUUAAAUUUGAGAUUGAUUCAUCCUGAGUUGAGAAUUUUAGAUUGAGUAAAUGAUUGUUUAUCUUUAUUCUUAUCUCCACAAUACAGUGUAGUAUACACUUGUACCAUAGUCAGAAAUAACUACCUAUAACCCUUAAAAGCGAAGCUAUCCUUGAGUAAUUUAGGCAUAUGUAUCACCAGUAUGUAGAGAAUAAUCUAACAUGAGAAAAAUAUUAUCUUAAGGGGUAGAGUGAAAGAUCCUAACUAUAGAUAUGUAAAUAAUAAAAAAAUCAAUCUAGUGCAUUUGGUAAAAAAAUAAUUAAAAGAAAAUGCACACAAAUGCAUGUGAGAAAAAAAAAUUAGAGAUCAAGAUGAUAAGAUUAGUUUGACCUUUUUUUUUUUUUGUUCAAGGCAAAGGCUAUUGAUAUUGAAGAUCUUAGGAAUGGAUUUUGAUUGAGUUGAUUCACACACACACUACAAGAAUCCAAAGAAAGAUGGGAUUGACUAUUGAAUUAAAGUUAGAACUUUGAUAAUAUUUGAAUUUUUUCUUUGAACUAUAUAAUUUAUGCAAUUUUUUAGGCUAGUGUUGUGUUUUAUUUAAAGUCUUUUGUUCCGUUUAUGUUAUUAAAAAAAUGAAAUGAUGUUUAUGGGUAUCAUCGUUGAAGCCCUCAUGAGAGUAUACUCAUCCACUAGGGCCGCCUAGUGGUUUAAAGGAUUGUUGCAUACGCUAAUGCAAUCUUUUAGCAAUCGUGACUUCCUACGAAAGUAGACUAGUUUAGAUUUUCUUUUUGUUUUAUUUUUGUUCUAGGUUUGCUCGAGGAUGAGCAAUGGUUAAGUGUGGGGGAAUUUGAUAAGCGCAUAUUUUCUCUAUAUUUUACUAUUAAUUUUUCCAAUUUUUUCUUGUUUUGGUCUUAAAUACUCUAAUUAUUUUAGUUAAUUUUAAUUUAGUUAUUUUAUUAAAUUAUAUUUUAUUAUGUUAAUUUUUGUUCUAAUUUUUUAUAUUUUAUUAUUGUAGAUUUUAUUCUUAAUUUAUAGUUGCUAGUUAAUUAUAUUAUUUUACUUGAUAGGGAAUUAAUUAGAGAUUAUGGAUAAAAAAAAGGCAUAAAGAAGUUUAAUUUGGGAAGCAAUCAAGAUUAAAUUGGAAACCAAUUGAAAGAGAAGGGAAAAUAAAGUCAAGAAGCCGUGGCAAGCUAGCAUUCAGUGGACAUGCAUUAACAAAUAAAGAAUUGGAAUUGGCAAUUGCACAUGCAUGGCUUUAUAUGAUAUGGAAAGCAAAUUGAAGAAAAAGGAAAUUGCCAUAUUUAAUCAAGCAUGCGUGUGAUUAAAUGGCUUUGAUUUGAAAUCAAAGCGGACGGCAUGUGGAAGGCAUUAGUUUCCUUGUUGAUCAUGGAUUUGGAGGAGGCAAACAGUACCAAAUAAGUCCGCCACCAAGAAUUAUAAAAGCCAGCCUUUGGCUUCUGAACAAAUACACAACCGGUAGCCAAGUGGAGAAUUGGAGAUUGCAGCCGCAAGAAGAGAAGAUAAAUAAAAGAGGAGUCAGCCCUCUGAAUUAAUCUCCAUGACUGGUUUCAUCAACUAUUUUAUUUCCAAUUCAAUUAUAUUAGGUUAGAUUUUCUAUUUGGUUGAUGGAGAAUUCAAAACCUUAAAUAUAUCAUAUAAUUAAUGUUCAAUUUCUAUCAUUCAAUUUAUUUAAUUGAAAUUGUUUAUGUUCUUCUAUUAUUAAUGUUUAUGAUUUUAUUCUUAUUUUAUUUGAGUGGUCAAUUAAAUAAGACUUGAAUAAAUUCUAUUGAUAGGUUUAAAUUCUUGAUCCAUAAUUGUCAUGAUAUUUUAAUCAUUAGUAGCAGGUUAAAAUCAGUUAUUUCAAUUAGAGAACAUAACCUAGGUUAAAUAAUCUGAGCUUGUGUGUUUAUUACCUAGAUCAACCCGAUAUCUUUCUUGACUUAAUGCUUCCAUUAUCUUAAAUUUAAAGAGCUUAUUUUAAAUUAUUUAAGGUAAAGAGCUUGUUUUGUCUAAUGACACACUAAGGAAAGAUUAAGACUAACAGAGCUUAUUAUUGUCUACAAUUGAUAGUUUCAAUAGAAAUUGAUGAUAGAACUGAUAUAUUAUGUGCAUGUUUGGUGGUGGCAAAUGAUCCUUUAACCAAAGUUUAUUAUUUCUUUCUUCUUUAAUUAGAGUUUUUAUUAAAUUAUUGUUUUCGUAGUUUUAAUUUCUUUAUUUCCUGCUAUUUAGUUAAAAAGUCAUAAAACCCCCCAUUUUAUUUAUAAUUGUCAUUUUCUUUAGUUAAAUUAAUUUAUAUUAUUAUUCUUAUUAUUAUUACUACUAUUAUUAUUUUAUUUCAAGUCAUGCUUUAGAGUUGAUAAUAAAUAUAACUAGCAUAGUCUUUGUGGGAUCGAUCCUUACUUGCUCUGUACUAGUUGUUUAUGUUAUUAGUAAGGUUUUAAAUUUGGUGCACCCUAACGACACUACCAAAAAAAAAAAAAACAGUUAUUUAAGGAUCGAAAACCCUCGGAGAUCCCUUAUUAUUAUUCGGGGAAGGGACAAGGAUUUCGUUUAGCAAUUCAGAUGGGAGACCGGGAUAUAUGCAGAACAUCAGGGAUGAGUACGGAGAUGUCGAUCCCCUCUCUUCCCCUCCCCAUUGCCAUCCCUAAUUUUAGGCACUUCAUACAACUUGAUUCGUCAGCAAAAUGGCUAGACAUUAUUUGCUAAUUUUUCCAUGCAUGGUGAUUGAGUAUUAGGUGAUUUAUUUUGGAUAUUAUGGGUGAUUAGUAACUUAGAAUGACUAUAAAUAGGUUCAUUAAUUGUGCUUCAAUUGUAACAUAUCCAGAAGCUAAAAGAAAUUACAAUUUUCAUGCUUAUCUUAUAGUUUUAUUUGAUUUUUCACUGCAUCUUCAUUCAAGGGUAAACCCAUUAUUUGGCUGAAUGGAGUUGUAGUCUGGCAUAGAUAAGAAAAAAUUAGAUUAAUACCUUUAUUAAAAUUUAUAAAACUACCACCACACAUAUAUUACAAAACCACCACUUUAAUAUUGAACGCAUAUAUGCCAAUUAUUUAUUUUCACUUUCCCUUUUCUUUUUUAUGACUAUCAAUCGACAAUUAACAAAAUUCAAAUUGUAAGAAUUCACUUGGUUACUAUCAUAACACCUUGUUUUUGUAUUAUCUGUGCUUCCUAUAUAUAUCAUCAACAAUUAUAACAAUCUUUCAUAUAUCAUUAUAUAAAAGAGAAAUUAUUAUCUAAGUACUAUACAAAUUCUUUGUUCGACCAACUACGAAAGUUUGUUUAUAGGUAUCUGCUGCAUACCAAUAUUUGUGAAAAUAUUCAACAUUGCUAACUUUAUUUAUAAUAAAAGAGAAAAUAGUUGGCUUAAUAGUUGUCAUCUCGUCAUCUUAUUAUCAAGGUCGAGUUCAUACAUUGUGUGAAUAGAUUUCUAAUUCUUUUAGGGGUAUAUUUUUAAGAUGGGCUUUCUCUAUCAUACAUUGAGCUAGGUCCCAACAAAUUUUUAAUGCACUAAAUAAUAGAUUUGUAAUAUUUUAUGUAACGUAAUCUUAUCUAUAAAUUUAUAAAAUAGUAAUGUAUUUAUCUAUAAAUUUAUAAAAUAGUAAUGUAUUUAUGUUACGUAAAAUAAAAUAAAAAUGUUUUAAAAAAGUCAUAUAAUAUAAACCAGAAUUUUAAAAUAUAUAUCUAAAAUUAAAAUAUUGUCCAUCAUUAGUUGAGUUAGUGGGUACUUCCUCCUAUCUUCAUCUCUAAAAGUGGAGGGCUCCUGUGCUGGACUAUAAUCGUGAAUAUAUGUCGGGCUUAUUAAAAAAAGAUUGUUGGGCCCAUUUCAAAUAUAUGGGCCGGCCAAUGACCCACCCGAUUUGAACAGCCCAACAUCCAUGUAGUUCUGAGUCCCCUCCAUUACCAUAAACGAUUGUCAGUGGCUUGUAAAGUCUUUUUCUUCCCGCCGACGGGAAAUCCUUAGGCGUCCUGCAAAAGCCUGCUAUAAAAUGAUUUCCAAAGAUUCACAAUAUCACCACCCCUGCCAUGGUCAUUUCCGCGAAGCGACUCCUCAAUCUCCUCAAGGCAGAGAAAAAUCCUCACACCGCGCUCGCCCUGUUCGACUCAGCCACUCGCGAACCUGGUUACGCUCACUCGCCGCAUGUGUUCCACCACAUCCUCCGCCGACUCAUCGACCCGAAACUCGUCGUCCACGUAAGCAGAAUCUUGGAACUAAUUGAAAUCCAGAAAUGCUAUUGCCCUGAAGAUGUUGCUUUAUCAGUUAUUCAAGCUUAUGGCAAAAACUCAAUGCCCGAUAAAGCGCUUGAUGUAUUUCAACGAAUGAACGAAAUAUUUGGGUGUGAGGCUGGUGUAAGAUCGUACAAUGCUUUGUUAAAUGCUUUUGUUGAGUCGAAACAGUGGGACCGGGCUGAGUCUUUCAUUUCAUAUUUUGAAACUGCUGGUAUUUCACCAAAUUUGCAGACUUAUAAUAUUUUGAUCAAGAUUCUGUGUAGAAAGAGACAGUUUGAGAAGGCAAAACGGUUCUUGAAUUCGUUGUGGGAAAAGGGUUUGAAGCCUGAUGUGUAUAGUUAUGGUACUGUGAUCAAUGGGUUGGUGAAAAGUGGGGAUUUAUUGGGUGCAUUGGCGGUGUUCGAUGAAAUGUUUGAGAGAGGGGUGGAAACUAAUGUCGUGUGUUACAAUAUUUUGAUUGAUGGGUUUUUUAAGAAGGGGGAUUAUAUGAGAGCUAAGGAAAUUUGGGAGAGGUUGGUAAUGGAGACGUCGGUCUAUCCAAAUGUGGUUACUUAUAAUGUAAUGAUUAAUGGUUUGUGUAAAUGUGGAAGGUUUGAUGAGUGUUUGGAAAUGUGGGAUAGGAUGAAGAAGAAUGAAAGAGAGAAGGAUUUGUUUACUUACUGUAGUUUUAUACAUGGGUUGUGUAAGGCAGGGAAUGUUGAAGGGGCUGAAAGGGUUUAUAGAGAAAUGGUAGAAAGUGGAAUUUUUGUUGAUGUGGUUACUUACAAUGCUAUGAUUGAUGGGUUUUGUAGAGCGGGGAAGAUUAAAGAGUGUUUUGAAUUGUGGGAGGUGAUGGGUAGGAAGGGUUGUCUCAAUGUUGUGAGUUAUAAUAUAUUGAUCAGAGGUUUAUUAGAGAAUGGGAAGGUGGAUGAAGCUAUUUCCAUUUGGGAGCUCUUACGGGAGAAGAAUUGUAAUGCUGAUUCCACCACUCAUGGAGUUCUAAUAAAUGGAUUGUGUAAGAAUGGGUAUUUGAAUAAGGCAAUUCAGAUAUUAAAUGAGGUAGAAGAAGGAGGAGGUGAUUUGGAUGUGUUUGCAUAUACCUCCAUGAUUGAUGGGUUAUGCAAAGAAGGGAGAUUGGCUGAUGCAGCCAGUUUAGUCAAUCGGAUGGAUAAGCAUGGUUGUAAAUUGAAUGCUUAUACUUGUAAUUCACUUAUGAAUGGGUUUAUCCAAGCUUCAAAACUUGAGAAUGCAAUUUUCCUUUUUAAGGAGAUGAGCAGGAAGGGUUGUUCUCCAACUGUUGUCUCAUAUAACACUCUCAUCAAUGGUUUAUGUAAGGUCGAAAGAUUUGGUGAGGCAUACAGUUUUGUGAAGGAAAUGCUAGAGAAAGGGUGGAAGCCCGAUAUGAUCACAUAUAGCUUGUUGAUAAAUGGCCUUUGUCAAAGCAAGAAGAUUGACAUGGCUCUCAAAUUGUGGUGCCAAUUUCUUCAGAAGGGUUUUACACCUGAUGUAACUAUGUACAACAUUUUAAUACAUGGUCUCUGCUCUGCUGGCAAAGUUGAAGAUGCUUUGCAGCUCUAUUCAAACAUGAAGAAAAGGAACUGUGUUCCAAAUCUUGUAACUUAUAACACCCUUAUGGACGGGCUUUUUAAGACUGGAGACUGUGAUAAGGCAUUGGAGAUUUGGAAUCAUAUUCUUGAAGAACGGCUGCGACCUGAUAUAAUAUCUUAUAAUAUUACUCUCAAGGGGCUAUGUUCCUGCAGUAGAAUGUCAGAUGCCUUUGAAUUCCUGAAUGAUGCUUUGUGUCGUGGAAUUCUUCCAACCACCAUUACAUGGCACAUACUAGUGAGAGCAGUGAUGAACAAUGGGGCUUCAACAUGAUCUUUUGUUGUUCAGAAAAGCUUGGUAGUAAGUAUUGACUCCCACCAUUUUUCAGGCCCUGCACAAGAAGAAAUACUGGAACUACUCUGUGGGCAAGCCCGUAGAAGUUCUGGGUUCAGGUGCUAGGAUCCAGUACCCAUCCUUAAAAAGCCAAUGGGUGCAAGAAUGGAGCAUUUUGCAUUGAAGUUGAGGUAUGAGCUAUUCUUUCAAAAAUAAAAGAACUACAACCUUAUGUUUUUAUUCAUUAUGUUUCUAUUCAUUUCCUGAAACAGUCAUGCAUGCUCAUUUUUGCAGAUAUGCUUUCAGUUGGAAUGACAGCUAAAUCAAAAUGGUGAAACCCUUGAAAUCCUUCUUGUCAAUCGGCAUGCAGAAUCCCAGAGAUUACAGUUAAUUAAUUCAAUUCUGAGGUCAUAGAUCUUGUCACACAUUUGAGGAUUAAGGGAUAUAUAGAAACUCAUCUAGAUUGAAAAAAGAAAAUUUGGGAGGAACUUUUGGAGUGGUCAGAUCAAGGCCAGAGUGGAUGUGCUAGCUACUCUGGGGAUAUUUAUACCAGAAAACCUACAACCCAUGUUUGAUGAACCAAUUGAAUGCCAUUGAGUAUCAAACAUCAAAUUUCUAAUGACAUGCUGUUUAUUAUUUCCUUUUCCACUUAGGUAGAUGCAUCAUUUGUAACUAAACUUCAGUCUAGUUACCUUGUCCCUGGAUCACUGGGAAUGGGUUGGUGUUUAGAUGUUAGAUGCAUCAGGCAGAAAGCUUUUUCCUUUUGCUUGCCAGUCCUUUGUCUUUAAUUCUGUCUUGCAUCAAAUUUUCACCUCAUAUGUUUUAGCAGUUCCAAGAAGAAGUUAAACUGAAACUAAUUUUACGUUGUUAUAAACUAUGUUUAUGAGGAAUCCAAAAUUUUUGAGUGCAGAUAUGAUGACAGAAAAAUUUGCAAAGCAUCAUACAUGUUCAAUCAACAUUGGGUUUUGGUGAUUGCAGUGAUAUCACCAAGAUCAGAUGAAGAUGAUGCAACAGCAAAGUUGCUUGAUGUAUCAGUCCCUUGUGCUAAGAUAUCACAUGGGGUUAUGUAUCAUGCUAUAUUUUUCAAACUAAGGCUAGUGUUUUACACAAGAUAAUCAAUAAACUAGAGGAGGGAAAGGGCUCUCAUUUCUUUUCUCGGUCAGGUUUUUCAUGUCCUCGUUUUUCUGUUUCUGACAGCAUCCCCUGCUCAUGGAGGAACUGAAGAAGCAAAGGCACUAAUAUUGCUCCCAGAACAGCAACUUUUCUCCAAUCGGAUGAAGAGAUGAAAGAAUCAGCAAUUCCAAUGACUAGCAGACCAAUUAAAGCUAGGUAAAUAUUCCGCCUGGUUUUUGAUCCUGCACUUUCUGUAGUAAUCUCUUUUAUCUUCUUCACUUCCUCUGUAGCUUUUGCUUUUCCCACCAGCUUUUUCUGCCCUAGGCUUUUAAAGAACAGCCCCUCGUUCCGGUCUUCUUCCAUUUGACCUUGGAACUCUGCUAACUUGCUAUCAUUUUCUUCAAUCUCCAUUCUGUUCUCUUCUGCAGAUUCUUCAAAGGCUUGCAUUUGAGACUCUAUAUUCUCCAUUAUCUGUGAGCCUCUAAACAAACAACUGGGUUAUGAACCUUAUUGCAUGACAAUUAAGGUCAUUAAUGUCUGAUGUAAUGCAGCUAUCGAUAAACAUUACCACGAAAAAGUGUAAUCUUGCACUUCAGCUGUGUUUUUCAAAUUAAGUAGAAGCAGAAUAGUUACAAACAAAGCUAUAAAGAUAUCAUGCAUACCCGGGAGCUAGCCUCGUCUAGUCCUUUGAGAGCAUCCUCUCCAAUUUUGUCGAACUCAGCAUUGGCUUCUUCGGCAAAUUGAGUUAGAUAAGCUGAUCUUUCAUCCAAAUAGUCCGUGAGACGAACUUUUUGAGCUUGAAGCAUUGCAAUUCUUGCCAGCAGCUCUUGUUUUUUAAUAUCUCCUUCGGAUGGGGAUUCUUCAGACUCAGAAUCUUUGGACUUGCAGAGGGACACAAAUGAAGUUCUUGUGCCUGUAAGUCUUCGUGUGUGGAAAAGUAAAUGCGCAGUUGGGGUUAAGGCUGUUUGAAUAGCUUUGAGGGCAAUCAUUUUUUCUUUGCGUCUUGGACUGAGGGAGAAAAAAGAAAGAGUGAGGGUUUUGUAUUAGACGUUGGAAGUUUUUUGAGCCCCACAUUCUCUUUACAUUAUCCUGUAUUUGUUAUGUUCAUUUAAAUAUGCCCCCUUUCCCAAAAAUUAAAAAUUGUCAUUUAUCUUUAAAAUGUGUCCAUUAACUUAAGCUUAACCACAAGAGGACCCACUCAUUUGCAUAGUUAUCCACUUGAGCCCUUGCUGGUUUGUCUUCUUCUUAUUAUUAUUUUGGAACUAGUAGCAUCCCCAUUUCUUUUAAUAUAUAUAUAUUUUACUCCUCUUUUCUCUUUGAAGUUUUUUUUAUUUCAAAUAUAAAAAGUUAUUUAAAAGAUGGUACCUCUUUUAGAAGCAUUCCCGUUAAUUUAUUUAAUUUAUAAAAUAAUUUUCAUAUAUUUCAAUCAAAUAUUGUCAAGUUGUAUUUAAAAAAUAAAAAAUAAACGUUUAACUGCUAAAGUAUGUGAGACAUUGUUAACAUUGUAAAAAGUGUUGUCUCCCAAAACUCUAUAGGUUUUUUCAAUCAAAUAUUUUAAAAUUAUGUUUUUGGCAUUUAGAAUCUAAUAUGCAUAGAAUAAUUCUCGAGUAAAGGAGUUUUUAUUUUAAUAAAAUGAAAGACAAAACUAAAUAGUAAGAAAUUUUUUAUAAAAAAAAAAUACAAUUUAUCUUAUCUUUAAUAUUAGAGUUCGAAUUUUUAUGUUUAGAGUUUGAAUUUUUAUGUGGCCCUAUUAUAUUAAAUUAAGAGAGAACGCUCUUAAUAAGUAUAUACAUACGAGUUUAUCUGGUAAAAUGUGAAAACACUCACUAAAUAAUUUUCUAUAUACACAUUAAGUAGUUGGGCCUUCUUCCUCUUGGCCAAGAACAGUCAACACAUUAUAAUUCUAAUACGGACACAGCAAAUAAUUUUCAAGUAUUUUGAAGCAACUCAUAACUUCCAGUCCUGUGAACCUGCUUUGUCAAUCCAAACGGAGAACUGCAAACAUAAAUCGAACCCCAAAAAUUUAAUCCAAUAUAGCAAAUAUCGAUACCCUAGAUUAAAAAUUUGAUAUUUAAAACUAUAUGUACAAAGCAUUUCCUUUUAUCAAUCACAAAAAAACGUUAAUGGAACUGAAACUCCGAAAGAAAACACACACAUUGAUCCACCUACCAUUCCUUCUAUCAAUUUGCACGUCCAGUAGCCUUCUUGUAGGUAAACCACUUUGCAAUCCAUAGGUACACAAGGAAAUUCAACACGCUGAGGAUAGUGAGGAGCCAGUAGAAAUAAUCAAGAUGGCCCCGAUUCAAAUUAUCUGGAAUCCAGCCAAGCUUUCCAUUCCUUGUGGUCACUUUGGUGACAAUGGUAACCAGCAACGUACUUAAGUAGUUGCCUACUGCCACAGUUGUAAGUGAUAGAGCCGAGCACAAGCUUCUCAUAGCAUCAGGUGCCUGGUCAUAGAAGAAUUCCAACUGUCCAAUGAAAGUAAAAACUUCAGCACAUCCAACAAUAAAAUACUGUGGUACUUGCCAGAAAAUCGUCAUUGGAAUUGUCUCAAUAUCAUAGUAGUUGUUCCUCUUUACUAUGUUGAGACGAACAACCUCCAAAAUCCCGGCCGCAACCAUGGAGAAUAUGGAGAUGAGAAGUCCAAUGCCCAUCCGUUGAAGUUGGGUGAAACCCCGUUCAUGGCCUGUCAACUUUCUUGCGAAUGGGACAAUAACUAUGUCAUAUAUAGGAGCCCAGAAGAUUACACUGAGAGUGUCAAAGAGGGAGAGGGACGCUGAUGGAAUCUUGAAGUUAGGUCCCAUGUGUUGGUCCAUUGUGUUGCCUUGCAAAACAAACAUGGUGCUCAUUUGACUGUACACAGUUGCAAAAACAAUUCCAGAUGCCCAUACUGGUAGCAAUCUGAUUAUGGCCUUGAGCUCUUCAACUUGAGUCACCGUGCAGAGUCUCCAUGGGUCUGCCGAACCCUUGACUCGAUCAGUCUGAGUCUCCACAGCAGCCUUGUCAAAGAACCUGUAAUUUCACAAUUUUGUUAAGAGGACUGAUCAACCAUACAACUUUAGCAAACCAAUGAAAAGCUUAAGACCAUGUAAAAAAUGUAAUGUCCAAGAAGAGGUUCAAGAACAUCCACUUUAGUCUUCUUAAAGAAUUUAGUGACUAUGUAACUGAAUUACAGUGGCAAAUUAUGAAAGCUUAUUUGCUAAUUUGGCACAUGAAUAAAAAUGGAUCUCUCAUUAUGAGGUGAGAUAUCAGGGCAUGUCUACAGUAGUCGAAUCCUCUAGCAAACAUUAUCGGAUAUUAAUGACCAGUGAUUAUUUUGAACUACAGUACAUUUAAAAUGGUAUGGGAACGUAAGAUUAAUUUAGAUACUUCUUACUGAUUAGUGACAAAAAGGACCUCAUAUCCGAUGUGCUAGGAGAUGGAAAUACGCUUACUUGAAUUUGCUCGUGGACUCAAGUUUGCGGCUUCCUUGGAUAUUGCAUUCCUCAUCCGCGGUCUCAUAAAGAAGAGACUUAUCAGCAGGAACUACAACAUUCGAUUUCCUAAAAGAUGCAACUAUAACCUGCAUUAUCCUUGUAAGCGGACUGCCACCAGGUUUCUGUAUCCGAUACAACCGACUGCCUGAGAAGAAAAACACAACUGCAAUGGCCAUCGCAACUGCCGGGAUUCCGAAACCCCAACCCCAGCCCACAUUCAUUUGUAUCCACACAAGAACAGAGGAAGCAACAAGUGCACCAAUAUUGAUUGAAAGGUAAAACCAAUUAAAAAAAGAGCUCUUCUUCUCCCUCUCACCAUCAUCAGUUUCAUCAAAUUGAUCUGCACCAAAGGAUGAGACACAUGGCUUAAUGCCUCCAGUCCCAAGAGCAAUCAAGUAAAGUGCAACAAAAGUGACUGCUGUUUGCGCCCCUGUUGGGUGGCAGGCAUCCUUGUCACAUGAUGGUUUUAAUCCAGAGACAGAAGCAGUCAAUGUUAACAAUGUCAUUCCCUGCGAGACAAAUAAACAGAUAGAUGAUUGACAACAUGAUUUAUGCAAAAAUAAUGACUUACUUAAGCCCUUUAAUUCUAAUUCAUUAUUAUUUAGAGACCAGAUCAGAUGUCACAAAUAAAACCAACCCCUGAGAAUCCUCGUCAAAGUUUCGAAGGAAAAAGGAAUCAGUUAUAUUAGAAAAGCUAUCUCCUACAAAGGAACUGAAAGUUAUGAAUGGGAAAAUAUGAAAAAUUACAAUGAAAAAAAAAUAUUCACAAUGACUUAAAACAAGGAAGCAUUCAUGAAUGAAACAACUUGUUGUAGCUCUUAAGAAUUUGAUUGAAAUUGCAAUUAACAGGUCUAAUGUCAAGAAAUAGAAUUUAGGAAUUUAAAAACAUCUUAACAGAAGAGAAGGACUUUAAACCAAACUUACAAGGCAAUAGAUGAUUGAAAAACUGGCAAUGGUCCAAAAUCUACCCAUGUACGAAUCAGCUAGAAAUGCUCCAAUCAAUGGAGUAAUAUAGCAGGUUCCUGACCAAUUCGUGACAUUGUUUGAUGCAGUGACAUUUCCUUGAUUGAGCUGCUUCUGGAGAUAGUUCACCAGAUUGGUACUCAUCCCAUAAUAAGCCAGCCUCUCACAACAUUCAUUUCCUGAAAUUAAGGGUCUUCAUUGUUCAAUAUCUCAGGUGCAUUCUAUCACGAAAGAACAAAAACAGAUGGUAUUACACUAAACAAUAGAUGUUUAAAACCAUACCGAGAAUAAAGCGGCAUGCCUUCCAAUUUCCAGUUUUCUUCUUAUUAGCAGGUUUUUUAUGGAUAUCCACGGUCCCAUCUUUCGUAUAGAUAUCUUCUUCUGCCAUGUUAUCCUCACGGAUGUGCUAUAGUUCAAAUAACGUUGUACUCGAUUCUUCUAUCUCAACAUGUCACCUAAAAAAUCAGCGGAUUUAAUCUAAGAAUGAAUGAAUCAAUCAUCAUACAAAUAAUACUAAACAUUAUGAUGAAUAUGAAUUUAUGUUAGUGCUUUGUUUGGUAAUUGAGGAUGCAGUCAUGAAAGGAAGAAUAUCUGGAAUACUACAACAAAUUUCCCGGCAGCAUUUAGAGCACACAAGGAUACACAUACGUGAACCAUUCACUUACCAUACAUGUUUAUGUAAUACAACACAAUACAGAAAAGCAUGUAAGCACCCGAAGAUUUAUAAGGAUGUCAAUGAAUGUUUUCAAAUAAACUAAUUGACACCACGUACACAUCAAUGAUUACUUUAAAGCUACAAAGUCAAGGCACAUGAUAAUAAUGGAAAAAAAAAUUAAAAACAAAAUAAGAAAACACUUUUAUCUGACUAAAAAACCAAAGAUGAUGUCAAAGGCAUGAUGAUGAACUCCACACUGCGGCAAAAACUUGAACUGAAGGAAAGAAGCCAACUACAUAAGACCGAAAGGAGCCUCAGAGGAGAUAAAGAUUGACCAUAGUGCAAAACAAAAUUUAAGAGAUACACCCCGUCAACUUAUCACAAAAUAAUUAAAAAUUUCCACGGCUACCCUAAGAUGGUCAGAGACUCAGAAUCCAUACAAUAAAAUAAACAUUGUUAAUUAUUAUCAAGAAUCAUGCAAAAUGAUCAUUCUUAAACAAAUGAGGCAGCAUAAAACCUAAUACAAGAUUAAAGUGGACGUGUUAAUAAUACAUUACAAAAAAACCAAAUACACGAUUUUAAUACAUAAAGAUGAUCAAAAUCCCUAAAACUCAGAACAAACAAACACCCAAUAUAGAGAAAGACAAAGAAGAAAAUUACACGAGCAUGCAUGCAUGAAUAUAAGAACAAAACCCCACCAAGAAAAUAAGAUAAAGAAAAAUAUCUUGAGAGUGGAAAGAUUUAUAAACCUCUAUAUGAAGUGAAGAAACAGAGAGAUCCGAAAGCAGAGUAUAGGCUCCUGGUGUGAAUGGCGAGCAAAACCAGGACACAACAAAAGGUCCGGUUCCAACUCGUGCACACCAAAAAGAUGAUGAAUUUAAUAUGUGAGAGAGAGACAGAAUUCAAGUCAGAGAAAAUCUCUCACCUUUUGUUCAUCACCUACAUAUGUGUUGGUUGCCACCAUUAUGUACCAGUACAACUCAUAUUGCUUUUUCUGAUUCAUUUUGCAUUUUGGUACUUAAAUGUUUAGUAUUUUGUUUUCUUCCGUUUAUGUUACUUAAUUUUUUAGAUUGAUGAUAAAUCUAAUUAGUAAUUGGUGUUAAAAAUAGCAAAAUGUGAUAUACUGUGAUGGAAAAAUCUUGUAAAAUAUUUGGAUAUUGAAUAAUUACAAUAGAUAUCAUAUGUAGCUCCAAAAUGUCAUUCAAAAGGAUAAUGCUAUCUACCCUAUAUUUCCUAAUGAAUGUUUUUAUUUUUAUUGUAGAAAAGUGAAGGAAAGACCAAGUAUUUGUCACUAUAUGUGGUUUUUAAGAAAUUUUAAUUAGUUGACUGUCUGAAUUCAACUCGUUGAGAGGUAAGAUUGUUAAAAAUUUAUAAUUUGAACUUCAUCCACCUCUCCACCGAAAUAAAAAUAAUUUCCAAAUAAAAAUAAGAAUCUCAUAUGAGAAAUCCCAUUAAUAAGAGGGGUUAGAGACAAUAUAAAAUAAUUUAGGAAAAAAAAUAGUAAAGGAUCUAACAAUUUAAAAUUUGUUAGGUGGGUUUACCAUUUAUGAUUCUUAAAUUUGAGAUUCUUACGCUUCCUUCUAAUGUUUAGUAUCUUUGAAUCUGAACCAUUUCCGAGGAAAAUGCAUUGUCUAUUGACUAAGCUUAAAUACCAAUUCCAAAUUCGUGUUUAGCAUUCUUUUCAAAAUAAUAAUAAUAAUAAUAAUAAUAAUAAUCUCCUAUUAGAUUUACUAUGUAGGGUAAAUAAUAUAAAGAUCCAUGAUUUUGUUAAUUUCUCAUGUAAGGACAUAAAUUUACCAUUUAUUUCAAACAGGUCCACGGUCUCUAGGCAAAUAACCAAACUAGCCUUGUAAUGCGUUGGACAAUCAAUACGUAAAUUUGUAAAUACCUAAUUAAUAAGGAUAUUUCCGUCUCUUGAAUAGAGGUAACUAAGGUCAGGACCGCUUUUGAUACGAAUGGACGGACAAAUUAUGCCCUUGAAUAACAAUACAACAAAAGCUCAGGGACCUAAUAUGAAUUUUCAUAUUGGCGCGUGUAAGUUCAUGGGACCAGAAUCUCUCUCAAGAUAACGGUGUUUGUUCGGAUCCGGAUCCGGAAUCUUCCGCUUUUAGAUAAGAAAAAAUGUAACAAUGUCAAUGUCCAACGAAAGCGAUUAUUUUGAAAGCACUUUUUGGGCCCCAAGCACUUUUCCGCACUAAAAUCUAGCUUUUCCUUUUGUUUUUGCUUAGCUGGCGCACCAAUGUAUGGUCCUAGGCCUAUGGGUGGAUAUCACUGAUGUGAAAGCAUUUUUAUUUUGUUUAAGGAGUUGUGAGAGAUAUGAGUGGAGUUGUGAUGUGAUUAUGUGAAAGUGCUUUUUCUUUCCUAUUACUUAAAACUAUUAUGAUGAUCGAUCAGAUUUUUUUUUCUUUUUUAGGUGCAUAUAAAUUUGUUUAAUGUGUCACAUCACAUCCACACUCGGUUCCAUGUCGCUUGAACUUUUGGGGUAUUGGGCAAAUUAUGGCUGGGAUAUCAGAUUAUUAAGAGUACUGUUAAUUUUGAAAGCAUUGCCUUUAAUGUAACUUUAAUAUUAUUUUUUUAUAAAAUAUUUUGCUGUGAAGCCGUAAAAGCACUUCCAAAUCCACAAAAUUGGCUGGUGUGAGAUUUGACAGUCAAAGAUUAUCUCAGUGGACAAGUGCAAAUAGAAAGCAUGCUUGGCACGAUCAUCGCUGGCAGUGUCACAUUGCUUUCCUUUUUUGCCAACAUCAUCAACACAUCAUUGCUGACCUUGUUCUUACCUUAUUCAAAUUGAAUUCUUCUUCUUACCAAAGAUUUGAAAUUAGGAUUAUAUUUGCUGAAAUUGAGUCGGCUUUAUGGGUUCCCAUUUGUGAGCUGUUCAGUAAUCACAUAUCCAUAUAUAUAUCAGUUAAUAUAUCAAUUAGGCAUUUCUUCACUGGGAUGUGAGUGGGAGCCAUAUCCGCUUGCGACUAGUUGGGUAGUGCUUUUUGUGGUAAAAUGAAUAAAGUCCUUUGUGUCUAUGACUACUAGUAGGAAUAAAUUUUCGUUUAAAAAAAAUGAUAUGUUUGGUCGAGUAAUUUUUAAAUAAUUUUUUUAUUUAUCGGUGUAAGUAUAAGUAUGUUAUAAUUGUAAGUUUGUAUGAUGCAGCUGAGUUCAUAUAAUUCAUGCCAGGAAGUUGUUGAUGACAAUGAUAGCUUACCUCAAAAUUAUGCCUAUCAGUUUCAAAAUUGUUGCUUUUAAGUAACCUAAGAUUUAUUGUUUUUAGUUGUUCUCAUCAUCUCAUGACCCCACUUUUUCAGCUACUAUCAGAUAAGUGUCAGAUUUAUGUCUUAGCCAUCACCAGUCAAAGAGUUUUGUGGUGUUUAGCGGUAAAAACUGGUUAUGUUAUUGUCAAUGGGCACGCAUAUAAGAACCUUGAAGCAAAAGUGAUAAAUAAAUAACCAUUUUAAGAAACUACUAAUCAAAAUUAAGAGAUUGUCGCCAUAUGAAAUGAUAGUAAUUGUCUAUCGAUAAGCUUUUCAUUGACAGCAACAUUAUUGACACUGCUGAAUUCACCAUCAGACCCUUCAAAAUUAAAUAAAUUUGAGUUAAUAUGAAAAUAAAGAUGCAAAAGAAAUCAAACAAGAAGAUAAGAUCACGAAUCAAUGGCUGGAUACCACCAGCUUCUUAUAUGUAUAACACCUUGCAACCAUAAGAUAUACUCCCAAAUUCAAAACACUCAAAAGAGCCAAAAGCCAGAAGAAGUAAUGAAGAUUACCAUAGUUCAAGUUAUCAGGUAUCCAGCCAGGCUUGCCAUGCCUAGUGCUGAAAUCUGUCACAAUGUUAACAAGCAGUGUGCUCAAAUAGUUCCCCAACGCAGCAGUUGUUAGAGACAGAGCUGAGCAAAGGCUCCUCAUGGCAUCAGGGGCCUGCUCGUAAAAGAACUUCAAUUGCCCAAUAAAAGUAAAAACUUCGGCACAACCUAUAAUGAAGUAUUGAGGCACCUGCCAGAAUAUUGACAUUGGUAUGUGCUUGAGCUCAUAGUAAUUGUGUUUCUUUACCUCCCUCAGCCUCACAAGCUCCAGAGUCCCGGCUGUUAACAUUGCGAAGAUUGAAAUAACAAGGCCAAUGGCUAUGCGUUGAAGUUGAGUGAACCCAUUUUUAUGGCCUGUGAACUUUCUUGCUAAUGGUACGAUAAGACGGUCGUAAAUUGGUACCCAGAAGAUGACGCUGAUUGUGUCAAAGAGGGAAAGUGAAGCUGAGGGGAUUUCAAAUGAAUUGUCGAUGUGAAGGUCCAUUGUGUUACCUUGCAGCACAAACAAUGUGCCCAUUUGACUAUAUACAGCAGAAAACACUAUCCCAGUUGCCCAUAUCGGAAGCAAUCUUAUAAUGGACUUGAACUCUUCAACUUGAGUCACAGUGGAAAGUCUCCAUGCAUUUACUGAGCCUUUAACACAAUCUGAUGGAGUCUCCACGGCUGCUUUGUCAAGGAAACUGAUGAUAUCGAUAAUAAGCAACUCUCAAAAGUAAUCUAAAUGGCUCAUAUGACAAUUAAAUUGGUUAGUUUUGCGUGUGGCAUACCUUAACUGCUUUGUGUGAUCAAGCUUACGGCUUCCAAUGACGGCAGAUUCUGCAUCAGCAGUCUCAUAAAGAAGGGACUUGUCAGCAGGCACUUUUAUCCGAAAUUUCCUGAAAGAAGCUACUAAAACCUGACAAAUGCGGAUCAACGGACUCCCUCCAGGCCUUUGGUAUCUAUACAGCCGACUACCUGCAAAGAAACUGACGACAGCAAUGGCCAUAGCCACUGCUGGGAUGCCAAAGCCCCAACCCCAGCCAACAUUUGUUUGAAUCCAAACAAGACAAGAAGCAGCAACAAGGGCACCAAUGUUAAUCGAAAAAUAGAACCAGUUGAAGAAAGAACUCUUCUUUUUCUUCUCUGCUUCGUCAGAGUCAUCAAAUUGAUCAGCCCCAAAAGACGAGACACAAGGCUAAUCCCUCCAGUCCCCAGAGCUAUUAAGUGAAGUCCUACAAAAAACACAGCAAUUUGCAAUCCUGUUGGAUGGCAAACAUUCCUUUCGUCACAAAGUGGUUUUAGUCCAUGGACAGAUGCCGACAUUGUUACUAUUGUCAUCCCCUGCAACAUUUACAAGCAGGUAUUAAUUUAUUAUCCGAAAUGAAGUGGGAUUAAAAUGAUUCCUUGGACCUUAAGUUAGCAGAGAGCAACAAUUAAGCUUUGACAAACUUACGAUGACAUAAAUGAUGGAAAAACUAGCAAUUGUCCAGUAUCUUCCCAAGUAGGCAUAAGCUAGAAAUGCCCCAAUCAGAGGCAUGACACAGCACGUACCAGACCAAUUUGUGACAUUAUUAACAGCUUGAACAUUCCCCUGGUUUAGUUCGAACUUGAGAUAAUUAACAAGAUUAGUGUUAAUUCCAUAGUAUGCCAAUCUUUCACAGCAUUCGUUUCCUGCAAGUAUAUGCAAAACCGAGCAUCGCUAGAAACAGUCAUCUCUGAGUGAUCAUCUAAAUUUUCAUCAAAUUAAUAUACAUCUAAUUAACAAUACCUAGGAUGUAAGGACAUGCUUUCCAUGUUCCAGUUUCCUUCUUAACGGCAGGUUUGUUGCCGAAAUCAAUUGUUCCAUCGUUAGUAUGUAUAUCUUCUUCAGCUGCCAUUGCUUCUUGUCUUGUAAGCCAAGAAACCGUCUGAUGAUUUUCUCCUUCCAGCUUGAAUUUUAUUAAGUAAAGCAUGCAUGGUGGGUUCAGAGCUCAUAGUCUUUGAUAUUAAAAGGACAUUCGGCAUGCAGUACUAUUGUAUUACCCAAUUCUUAAAUGCAUGCAUGGUUGAUGAUGCCUGUCAUUUUCAUUGACUCUGAUGAAGUGUGUUGUGGAAGACAUCACAAAUCAAGAAAUGAAUAACAUGCUGAUAUCGCUAGAAAGAAGCUUAUACAGAUUGCAGCAUGGGUGUUCAUAUCAAGAUAUCACAAAUCAAGAAACGAAUUUACUCAUUUUAUUUUAACAUGAGUGUUCAUAAAUUGUGGCACACGUUUAUAGGAAAGCAAUUAUUACACAAUUUAUUUAUUUAUCUUUUGAGUGGUGAUAUUUGACCCCCUCAUUAUAUCUCACCAAUCCCCACUAAUUAUUUUUAUAUUAAUACUUAUUUUAUCUUUAUAUGAAAUGACUUAAAAGGAUAAAUAGAUUUUAAGUACACCCACAUCAUAAUUUUUAUUAAUAAUUAAUAAAACUAGUCUAAUUUUUUAAACCCUAAUUUCCUUUAACUUUUUUUUUUUUUUGGUGAGAAUUGAUUAAACCCUAAUUAUAAUGAUCAAUAAUAUUCUUAACCAAUAAUUGCUUUGUUAAACGUUCAGCCAAAUCUUCUUAAAACAAUCCUUGAGAAAUAGAAAUUCCCUACAAGCAUCAUAGAUGAAACAAAAAGCCAUAAGGAUGGUCCUUAUAUUGCCUGAUUAUUGGUUUAGUGGCAUUUAAUGAAACAAUCUCCUUGUCAUUGCUAUGGAAGUAUUGUUUGUAGCAAAUGAGCCUUUAUUUCCUGAUGAUUGCAUGAUCCCAUAAACCCAACAAGCAAGACAACUGAACAUGUAAGUCUUGGAGUGAGAGUUCUACAGAGUGACCUAUGGUUGAUUGUCUUCUUCUUCUAGUAAAGGGAAAAGCGAGUUUGUUUAAAAUUUGUAUAAAACCCUAGAAUCUAACUUUUUAAAUUAUCUCUUUUCAUAUAUUAUAUACUCCCUGCUUUUGUAACUAUGGAAGAAAUUAGUUUGCAGUACUCACUAGCAGAUGAAGAAGAAGUAAGUUUAAAGUUUUUUUCCCUUUAAUUUUUGUACUCUAUUUAUUUUCAAUUAAUUUUUGUACUCUAUUUAUUUUCAACACCCUAACAAUUUUAUAUUUCUAACAAAUUUUAGGAUGAAAAGCCUAUUAAUCACGGAAACAAUGUCACAAGAGAAUCAGACAUUGUUGAUUAUUGUGCUUGUGUUUUCACCACUGACAAGGUAGAUAGCUAACUUUCACUUUUUAAUUUUUUAUUAUUAAUUAAUAUUAUUCAAAGCUUUCUAAUUGGAUAUAUUAUAAUUUUGUUUUGAUUAGGUUUUUAAUAGCAGGGAAGAAUUAAUUGAGUGGGCGCGAAAUGCUGGCAAGAGAAAUGGAUAUGUCAUUAUAAUAAAAAAAGUCAGAUGUAAGUGCACAUGGUAGAAAUCCAAGAAUAAUUUUCGCUUGUGAAAGAAGUGGCGCUUACAAGUGUGUUUCUAGUCAAGGUCAAAAGCCAAAAUGUCCUAAGGCAACCGGAACAAAAAAAUACAAUUGUCCAUUCAGAUUAAAAGGGCAAUAUUUGGCAAAUGACAAUUGUUGGGUUUUGAAAGUGAUAUGUGUUAGCCUAUAUGGCUAUAAAUAUUGAUUUUGAUGAUAAAAAACCACAUGUAUUUAUUAAGCAAAGAUUUAUGAAUUAUGCUUUUAUAAUAAGAAAAUGAUGUUAUGGAAUUAAAGCAUUUUGGACUAAAAUGAAAGUAAUUUCAAAAUCUUUGAUAGUGUUUUAAAUUUCGGAUUUGGACCUAUUUGAAACUAUUUAAAUGUUUUUGGGCCAUUCUAAACUUUCACAAAGUUUGGGCGAAAUCAUAAUUUCAGAAAGUUUUGGGAUUAACGAAGCAUUACUUAGAAAUUCUAAAAUUGGACUUAUUUGCAAACUUUUAUAACGUUUUGGGCUAUACUAUAGUUUUAUAAAAUUUGGGGGUCAAACUAAAAAUUUAGGAAAAUUUUCACUGUAGCAGGUUACUGUAGCAAGCAGCUUACCGGAUAUAAAAAUUGGAAAACCGGAUACGGGGCAGUAAGCAUCCAGAACGCAAACGGCUUAUCGAAUUUCGUAACCGGCAAGCUGGAUAGGCAAAAUUCAAAAUUUUGCCUUAACGGUAACAUAAAUCCGGCUUACCAGAUUUCAUAAAUGGCAAACCGGAUACACCCAGAAUGUGAGUAACGGCUAGUUUUUCAGCUCAAACUAUAAGAACUCAAAUCCAACUCAUUUUGAAGCCCUCCCAACAAGCAAAAACAAAAAGCACACGUGAUAUCUUGAGCCUUCAAACUUGCGAAAUACAAAUAUUGAAUCAUUUCUUGUUCUUCAUUUUUGAAUAUCUACUCAUUGAGUGAGUUUCAUUGUAACCUUCAUUUAUUCAUCUCAAUUGUAAGAAUUUGAGUGUGUGAGACACUUGAGUGAAGAGAUUAGGAGAUAAUCUCUUUGUUGUAAAGGUUUAUUGACACCUCGAAGUCAAUUGUAAUCGCUGAAGCCUUGGAAAGGUUUGGAUAGUGAAAUCCUCAAGCUUGGAUUGCUUGGAGGUGUGGACGUAAGCGGGGAUUGCCGAACCAUGUAAAUAUUCGUGUGUUUGUUUCUCUUCUCCCUUACUCUUUAAUUUUUGUGCUUUUCUUGAACUUAUUGCUUUCAAUUUUUAUUAAGACAUUAGAUUGCUUGUUGUGUGGAUUUGCUAGGAUAAUUUUUAAAUUUUCAAUUCACCCCUCUCUUGGGUUGCAUACUUAUAUUUCAAUAUGUGCAGAACAUAACUAUCCUGCAGCAAAACAUCUUGAGGGGCACUCAUAUACAGGUAGACUUACUGAAAAAGAGAACAACUUAUUGAUUGAUGUGUCAAAAAGUAAUGCAAGGCUAAAGGAUAUACUAUAUACGAUAAAACAAAGAGAUAUAUAUAAUGCUACUACUAUGAGGUCUAUUUACAAUGCAAGAUAUAGAUACAAGGUUAAAGAACUAGCUGGUAGGUCAAAGAUGCAACUACUCAUGAGCAAAUUGACUGAACAUAACUACAUUGAGUGGUAUCGAAGUAAUGCUGAUACAGACAGUGUUAAAGACUUAUUUUGGGCUCAUCCUUUUGCAAUUGACCAAUUACGGGCAUUUCCACAUGUGUUAAUUAUGGAUUGCACAUACAAGACCAACAUGUAUGAUUUUCCAUUACUAGAGGUGGUUGGUGUCACCUCGACUGAGAUGACAUUUUCGGUAUGUUUUGCAUAUAUUGAACGCGAACGGGAGGAUAACUACAGUUGGGCACUAGAUAAAUUGAAAGGUUUUAUGGGUAAUAAUAUGUUACCGAGUGUAAUUGUGACAGAUCGAGAGGUAGCAUUAAUGAAUGCUAUUCAAAAUGUUUUCUCAACUACAACUCAUCUUCUGUGUAGAUGGCAUAUCUCAAAAAAUAUUUUAGCUAAUUGUAAGAAGUUAUUUGAGACUAAUGAGGUAUGGGAAUCUUUCAUUACUAGUUGGAAUAUAUUAGUACUAUCUGCCACAAAAGACCAUUAUAUGCAACACCUAAGACUUUUGGAGAGUGAAUUUGUUAGAUAUCAAGAAGCUAUUGAUUAUGUGAAGAACACAUGGCUGGAUAAGUACAAGGAAAAAUUUGUUGCAGCUUGGACUGAUUCAAUAAUGCAUUUAGGAAAUACGACCUCAAACAGGUAAAUAUUCAUUAAAAUAUAUUCUUAUAUUUAAUUUUAUUAUUGAAAAAAUAACUUUUUUUGGGUAUUUUCUUAACUGGGUUGAGACAUCUCAUUCAACAUUAAAAAGGAAACUACAAUCAUUGCGAGGAACUUUUGAGACGUUAUGGACUAAAAUCCAUGCUUUAGUAUAACUGCAGCAUACAAAGAUUAAAGUUUCGUUAGAGAGAAGUUCAACAACAGUGCAACAUGAUUUCAAACCUUCAGUUUUCAAGGAAUUGCGAGGAUUUGUUUCACGAAAUGCACUCAACAUGAUAGUUUGUGAGUCUAAACGAGCUGAUUAUAUUGGUCUAGAUCCAUUGGCUUGUGGAUGCGAAGUUCGACGCACUCAUGGAAUUCCAUGUGCACAUGAGAUUGCAAGGUAUAAGCGUGAAUGAAGACUUAUUCCUUUGUCUUCUAUACAUCCACAUUGGAAGAAACUAGACUUAUUACCUACUACCAAAGCUGAAACUACAGAUUUAAGUUGUUCAACUGAGAUGGAGAUGAUUUUGAAGUGUUUUAAUAAUAAUGAUUACACUGGAAAGUUACAGAUUUUGAAGAAGUUAAAAGAACUAGCAAAUCCAGCAUCAACUUAUCUUAUUGAGCCAGAAGCUACAGCAAGAACACGAGGCCGACCUUCUUCAAAGGUAGAUAAUUCUACUUGUCGAGAUCCAUCCAAAUUUGAACAUGUAUUAUCUGCACUGAAUAGUCAUUCUCCACAUUUAUCUUCAAGUAAGAUUUCUGUUAAAUCUAAAAUACAACAAAGAAAAAAAGUGCAUCAGUCUCAACUUCCUAAGCAUUCUUCUUUCAUUGAUUCAUUUCCACAAGGAUUGUGGCCAUAUAUACAUCAUGUUAAAGAUGUUGCUGCAGAUGGUCAUUGUGGCUUUCGUGUUGUGGCUGAUUUAAUUGGUUUGGGUGAGGAUAAUUGGAUUCAAGUGAGGAGGGACUUAAUUGAUGAAUUAAAAAGCCACUUUGAUUACUAUACCCAAAUAUUUAAGUAUGCAGGUAGAUCUGAUGAGAUUCUACAGUCACUUUCAUAUUUUGAAAGCAAUCCAUCAAAUGAUUAUUGGAUGACCUUCCCUGAAGCAGGAUAUCUUAUCGCUUCUAAAUAUAAUGUUGUGCUGAUAUUCUUAUCUCAACUUCAGUGUCUCAAUUUUCUUCCACUCAGAUCAACUCCAUUACCACGACCCUCUCAAAAGAUUAUUGCAAUUGGAUUCAUUCACAAUUGUCAUUUUAUAUAGGUAGUUUUUUAGACUUUUUGUUAAUAAUUAUUAUUUCAUACCACGACCCUCUAAGAAAAGAAAAAAAAAAGAUUUUUUUAACACUUGUUAACUAUGAUUUUUUCAAUAUUUUGCUUUUUUUAUUACAGGUAUUCAUGAAUCCAGGUUCACUGAUGCCACCAAUAGCAAGUAGUUGGUUAAAAUAUCAUUCUUUUAUAGCAGAAGGAUGGGCAACUCCAUAUGAUAGGAACAUUAUCGCUUUUAAAGAUUUAGUACCUAAUGUAGCAAGCAAAGACACAAUUGAUUUGGAUGAUCAAUAAGUGUUUCCAUUAUUUAUUGUUUUUUUAAAUGAUUUGGGCAAGUUGUUUUGUAAUAAGUAUUUAAGUUCAUAUAUUAUUUAGAAACUACAAUUUUAUCCAAAGAAACUGCAACAACUUAUUAACACUAAGAGGGGAUACAGAGCCACUGGUUGAAUGUAGUACCCAACUACCCAUUGUUACAAUAUUUGGAGUAAGAGCUACGAAAAUCGGUUUAUUUGCGCUAUUAGAUAUCAUGUCGAUGUUUUAAUUGCCUGGUUUUCUCAAAUCCUUAAAACUGAUUGUUAUUAGAAAGGAAUUAAUGGGGAAAGGAAAGUCAUGAAAAGUUCUUCUGUUGUAUUAACUGAAGUCAGGCAGUUGUUGCUUUGGAGAAGUUUGUACUAUCUGCUGAGUAUUUCAUUAAGAGGAAGCUAGAUUCGGAUUUUUUUUUUUAAAGAAGAGCUAUAUCCGGAUGUUGAUAUAUGAAUAAAUAAGAUUUAAUUGGUUUUAACUUUUGUUAUUUCUUGCAAGUGUAAAUGGGUUAAAAAACUGUUAAAUAUGUGAUAUGAGCGAGGAAAUUACCAUCAAAAGGGUUACUUGAGAGUUACAAUAGCUGUUUUUUAACCUAAUUCUACUUUGAUAGAUUCAUAAUGCAUGCUUAUUUAAGAAAUUUGGUCACUUUGGUGGUCAAAAUCUGCUCGGCAGUUGCAAAACUUCAUAUAUUGUAUAUAGAACAAAAAAAACAGUAAUGAUCAUUUUUACAAAGAAUGAAACUAAUAAUUUUAUUCAUUCAGUAAAAAUGACAUACACUUGGAAGACUAUUCAUAGCUAUGAUGAAAUACAUAAAUUCUCCAAUUUGUAAACAAAAAAACAACCAGUCAAGAUACUCAAAGAAUUGGAAAAGCCAAUACAAAUUGAAACUAACUACAAUUUUUAAAUAUAUAAUUUCUUGAAUUUGUAAACACCACACCUCGACAUGCUGAAGAAGGUAGCUGCACUUGCAGGAAAUUCCAGAACUAUCAUGUCUACCCCCUUGGCUAAUUCUUGUAUUUCUUUACUCACUUUGGGCUUGACAGACUUAGUAUGAUACUUUGAUUUUUCAGGAUUGACUCGGCAUUGUUCGUGGUCCAAUCCUUACUGGAAUUAUUAAAUUCUUUUCCAUGGCUAUGGUGGCGAUUAUGAGAAUUUUUUUUUGUUUUAAAAUAAUUUUUAUAAGUUUUAUAAAUGGGUGCAUGAAGUAAGAUUAAAAUUAUAACAAGGGUAAAUUAGGAAUUAAGUGGGGUAUAUUAAGAGAUAAAAAUUAUUUUAAAAUUUUUAAUGGGGUUAAUUGAAAAGUAGGGGUUUGUGAGAUAUAAUUAGGGGGUUAAAUAUCACCACUCCUACUGGUGUUAACAUGAGUGUUCAUAAAUUGUGGCACACGUUUAUAGGAAAGCAAUUAUUACACAAUUUAUUUAUUUAUCUUUUCCAGUAGUCACUAGUCAGCCAUUUCCUUGUACUGGGCCGGAUUUGUUAAGUUUUUAUGAUACGAUUACUAAACGAGAAUUGGAAUGGGUUGAGAUUAAAAUGAGCUAGAAUUAGAAUGAGUUGAAAUCAGAAUAAGUUGUUUAUUUAAACUGUAAGAAUUAAAAUCAAUUGUAUAAUCAGUGAUGUGUUCACUUUGUCUUACAAUCGAAAUCGGAAUGAGUUAAAUUAUUCCAAGUUACUAUAAAGUCCUUAAUUAAUUAUUGUCAUAAUUAUAAUUUUAUAUUUUAAUUAUUGUGAUUAUUAUUAUUCAGAAGUUAUUAAUUAUUAUUAUUAUUAGCAAUUUAACUCAAAAAUUAUUAUUGUUAAUAAUACAUUAAUUAAUUAUAAUACUUUUAUUAAUAAUAAUAAUCGUCGUCGUCAUCAAAUAACGAUGAUGAUGAUGAUGAUGAUGAUGAUGAUGAUGAUGAUAAUAAUAAUAAUAAUCAUCAUCAUCAUCAAUAGCAAUAAAUCGGAAUCGGUGGUGGCCAUCAUCAAACGAUGUCGAGAUCAUCAUCAACAUCGUGAAGAUGGAUAGUGAAGAUUGCAGUGGAGAUGAGCGAUGAAGAAGAUAACAAAGAUCAACGACGAUGAUAACGUGAAUGGCGAUAACAACAACGUGACCGGCGACAAUGAAAAUAAUGAUGGCAAUGGGGCCAAAAGGUGGCUGCGAUGGAGGCUAAAGGGUUUGAAAUGAAUGUUUGUUUUUUUUUCUUUUUUUCUUUUUUGCUAUUUAUAUUUUUAAUCUAAUGGAAAUUUAGAAUUUUAAAAUUCUGAUGGGAGCAAAUUUGGUAUUCUUAGGAAUGGAAAACUGAUUCUUUACCCUCCUUGAGAUCAAUCUCCAAUUUUCCAUUCCUAAUUUGAUGUGGGCACCACGAUUUCAAUUUCAUUUCAUGCCUUUAUUUUGUGAAGUAAUUGUUGUUAAUAAUUCUGAUUUCUCGAUCCGGAAAGUAAACACACCUUAAAGUUAAAUAAACCUUAUCUAUCUACUAACUAGUCUCCAUCUUCAAUUCAGGUGAGGUUUGGGGUGGUGAUUUAGUAGCAUAACGGUGAAUAAUUACAAAUUCUUUUGUUGCACUGUCGACCAAGUGUUACAUCUCAAAUUUAUUCUUAGAAAAUACUUAUAAAAAGUUAAAUAAUAAUAAUAUACAAAACAAAAGGUUGUGACUCUUCUUAAGUCAAGGAGCUAACGAUGUUGAAAAUGAUAUAUGAAGGGACAAGGAUGUGAGUGGAAUAGGUUGGGAAUUAGAGUACCAUCUAAGGUACACAAGGUGCUCUCACCGACCACCAAAUUAAGUUCCAUCUUCUUCCAAUCUUCUUUUACAUUCAUUUGAAAUUGACCUAGCAAUGAAAAGGAGAAAAAAUUAGUUUGUAAACAUGCGAAAAAGUAUAUGAUUUUCCCAUCAAAUGUGUUUUUAUUGUUUUUCAACUUUACAAAACUUCAAAACGAUGACAAUUUUUUUUUAUCUUUUAGUCUGAUGACAAUUAAAUUUUCUCCACCUAUGUGAGUGAGUCCGAACUUCAAAUUUCUUAUUUUUUACCUAAGAGAUAUUACUAGUUGAAUUAAUUAAUACCCAUGAAAUUUGUAUAUAUAUUGCUCACAAUUUUUUUUGUUUAUAGUAACAAUUUUUCAACAAAUUAUCGCUUAUACACAUCCUAAUUUAAGGAGAAGAAAAUUAGAAUGUAAACAUGCGAAAAAGUUGUCAUCAAUAACAAAAAAAAGUUGCUAUUAAAAACGAAAAAAACUUGUGUGUUCACAAGUAACAUAUGUUGUAACUCGUGGCCUUGUUAAAAUAUCUCACGUUUGCACAUUGUGCCAAUUACUUUGAAGAACCUUCGUCUUUUGUGCGAACCUUCGUCUUUUGUGCGAACCUUCGUCUUUAGAAUACCACCAAAAGCCAUUGAAUCUCUUCUGAAGAAUCUUUAGACCCGUCUAGGGACAAACUUAUUUGUAAACAAGUUCACGAUGAUCGGACAGAUAAUCUCUAUUUCUAAAACCAAGUUAACCCUAAAGAGUAAUUCAUAAUCACUCCAUAUAUAAAUGCCACUAACCAACUGCUUCAUUCGAGAAUAACAAAGGAAUAUAUAGAAAUAAAAUAGAUAAAAUGGGGGUGGUACUGUAAUCAUGGUUGUUACUUAACCACCGAUGGUUUAAAUUUAUUCUUAACUUUCAAACAAAUCAUCAUGUGUCCCGUCGGGUUACUAUCUGAUGCAUAACAUGAAAGGCAUUUUCCAACCAUUAAUUACCUUCGUGAGUAAGCAGUUGUGAACUAAUUUGAUCAUACGGCCAAACACAUACUCUUUGGCAUACCUUCAAAAUUACUCUAAAAACUACUUCUUGAAAGCAAUUUUUAUUUGUUCAUUAUGUGACUCUUGCCUCAUUGUUGGUGAGUCAAAAAGAUACUGCUAAAAAAAGAACUUAGGAUGUAUCCAAAAGCUUUAAAGCAAAGCAGUCAAAAGUUUAUCAUUGUGACAUGCUUUAUAGAUUUAUUAUGUACGCAAUCUACAUGUUGCAACAUUGAUUUUACUAUUGUUUUUAAUUAAAUAUGUGAAAUCACAUCUUAUUAGGUUUAUGAUGUGGUGUUCGCAAAUGGGAGAAAGCAUCUUUGAAGCAACUGUGUAUCAAUAAUUUAAAUUUUUUCUUAAUUGAUGAUAUAAAUUUAUAAGAAAAGAGAGGGAGAGAGUUGAUACUUUUUUAACCUUUAGGUCCUUGACAAAUUUUUAAACCUUACUUCAUCUAUAUUGUUAAAAUAAUUAUAGAAAAAGCCAUACAUAAUUAAAGGGUAAAUAUUAUUGUUUAAAAAAAAAAAACAACGUCAAGAAUGGAAUGGAGUAUUAAAAAUUCAUACUUAAGUGGUAAAAAACCAUACAUAAUUAAAGGGUAAUUGACAUGUCUCAAUUAUGACCAAUUGCAGAACAUGCCCUUUAGUUUUCUCACAAACUUAGUGAAAGGGAGAGAAUAAUUUAAAUUUUUUCUUAAUUGAUGAUAUAUAUUUAUAAGAAAAGAGAGGGAGAGAAUUGAUACUUCGGUUUUUCUUAUAUUCUUUUUAACGUUUAGGUCCUUGAUAAAUUUUUAAUACCCUACUUCAUCUAUAUUGUUAAAAUAAUUAUAGAAAAAAAACCAUACAUAAUUAAAGGGUAAUUGACAUGUCUCAAUUAUGACCAAUUGCAGAACAUGCCCUUAUUUUUCUCACAAACUUAGUGAAACUAGGUUUUAUUAUCCAUUUGACAUUCACCAUAUGUAUUUGAUGUUAUGGUUCAUAGUUCAUUGAGUGAUUGAUCCACAUUUUAAAAUAUGACAACCAUAUUUUUAUAAGAGAACUGUUAUUUAACGUUGGAAAUUAUUAUUUAUAAAGCUUGUAAGAAACAUGUAAUAACUACUAAUUAUUCUAUUAUGCUAAUUAUUCGAGUUUCUAAGAUCUUGAUAGAUGUAUAGUUCCUCUGUAAUGAGAACAUCCACAUUUUGUUGAAGUGAGAAUACUAAUAAAAUACAAAAACUCACAGAUUUCAAUUUAUUGAAAACUAUAUUUUUUUAUUUGUUAGUGGCAUUCUCACUUUUUUUGCAUAGAGAUGUCUUCAUUAGAGAAUGAUAAUGACGACGAUGAUGAUGAUAUAGAGCAUAUAUAUCUUUCUAGCAUCUUGCUUAGGUAGGUAUGUAAUAUAUACCUAAUAAAAUAAAGUUCAACCUACUAUUGGUCUUCAAAUUAAAGUUUUAAACUAAUAAAUUUUCAGGUCUACCAGCUUAGUUGAGAUUCAUAAUUAAUUUUCCUCAUGAACAUAGUUUUAGUUGAGGGGAUACCAUAAUUUGUUCAUCAAUGAGUUUUUAUCUACUCGACAUAUUAUAUUUAUAUACCUUAAAUAACGUUAUCAGUUAGUAGUUGAUCAAGAUAAAUAUCAAGAGAGUGGAGACAUAAAAUUAAAUGUUUGACCAUAAAUACUAACUCCAACUAACCAAGUUUAACUUCUCUUGUAAACUGAAAACGGAACUAAUAAGAGGCCUAUGAUUAGCUUAGUAUCUUAUUUGCUAACCUAAAUCGGUGUCCUAAAAAACGACUUUAUGUGACAUGCAAGAUAUCAUUCAUAGAGACAUUUGGCAUUAUUUCAGAAACCUUGUUUUUCAAGAAUAAGUUCAUUCACCUAAUUAAGGAAAAACGACAUGGCAGCAAUUCUCUUCAUCUCCUAUAUAAGUUUGCGUUAGCCCGUCAUACACUUGCAACAAUUCCAUUAAGAUAAAUCCAAAACAAGUGAGAAAAUAACAAGAGUGAUCAAGUGGGAUUUGAAAAGGAGAUAAAGAAAGAGAUGGACUCCUGGGUUCGGCUUCUUCUUCUCGUAGCAUGCCUUUUUCCGGCUCUCGUCGAGUGCCGGGUUCGCCAUUACAAGUUCAAUGUAAGUGCAUUGUUCAUUCAUUUCAUAUACAUAUACUUAUGGAUACACAUAUACAUACAUUCGCAUGUAUAUAUGUAUGUAUUAUUCUUAAUUCUAAUGAUAGAAAAUGUAUUUUUCCAUUUCUAGUAAAAUAAAUAAUCAAUAAUAGUCAUGUACAAGUGAUUGAGCCAAUCUUUAUGUAUAUAAGUUUCAUAAUUUGGUCUCAUCAACUUGACUUAAAAAUGGAAGCUUUGCAUCAUGUAAAAGACAAUUCAAAAUUUAUUAAUUUUUAACAGUUGUUAUUUUUUAUUUGCUGUGGGGGAAUUAUCUUCACAGGUGGUGAUGAAGAAUAGCACUAAAUUGUGUUCAUCCAAGCCAAUUGUCACAGUUAAUCGCAAGUUCCCGGGACCCACUCUCUAUGCGAGGGAACAUGACACAGUGCUGGUCAAAGUAGUCAACCAUGUCAAAUAUAAUGUCACUAUCCACUGGUAAAAAUUAAUUCAUCAAUACCCACUAAAAUAAUAAUAAUAAUAAUAAUAAUAAUAAUAAUAAUAACAAUAAUGACAAUAACAACAACAACACAACAAAAAAUAAAUUAAAUAUUUCCACCUAAGUAUGUCUUUUAAUUGAUUCAAUAGGCAUGGUGUCCGGCAACUGAGAACCGGCUGGGCCGAUGGACCAGCAUACAUAACACAAUGUCCAAUUCAGUCAGGGCAAAGCUAUCUGUACAAUUUCACAAUCACAGGCCAACGGGGCACACUUCUUUGGCAUGCACACAUUCUCUGGCUCCGGGCCACCGUACACGGCGCUAUCGUCAUCUUGCCGAAGCGCGGCGUUCCUUACCCUUUCCCCAAACCCCACAAGGAAGUCGUCGUCGUCCUCGCCGAGUGGUGGAAAUCCGACACUGAAGCUGUCAUCAACCAAGCUUUGCAGUCCGGAUUGGCCCCUAAUGUCUCUGAUUCCCACACCAUUAACGGACAACCAGGACCCAUCUCCAGUUGCUCGUCACAGGGUAAACUGUUGCGCUUUGCUUAACUUUGAAAGCACAAGGGCAAUUAAAAUCCUUCCAGUAAACACAUUUUGAUAUUUCUUAUGUAUGAAUGCGCAUGCAGGAGGCUUUACAUUGCCGGUGGACAGCGGCAAAACCUACAUGCUACGAAUAAUCAAUGCUGCACUCAAUGAAGAGCUAUUCUUCAAAAUAGCAGGACACAAGCUAACUGUUGUUGAAGUUGAUGCCACUUAUGUUAAACCAUUCAAAACAGACAAUAUUGUAAUAGCUCCAGGCCAAACCACCAAUGUCCUGCUCUCUGCUGACAAAACAUCCGGAAAAUACCUCGUUGCCGCCUCGCCGUUCAUGGACGCUCCGAUUGCAGUAGACAACGUGACCGCCACCGCCACGUUACACUACUCCGGCACACUCGCCAGCUCCGCCACAACUCUCACCAGCACUCCUCCGAAAAACGGCACCGCCAUUGCCAACAAAUUUAUUGACUCUCUCCGUAGCUUGAACUCCAAGAAAUACCCAGCUAAAGUCCCACAAACAGUUGAUCACAAUCUCUUGUUCACAGUUGGGCUUGGAGUUAACCCCUGCCCUUCUUGCAAAGCCGGUAACGGCAGCCGUGUUGUGGCUUCAAUCAACAACGUCACAUUUGUUAUGCCAACGAUUGCGUUGCUUCAGGCUCAUUUUUUCAACAUCAGUGGAGUUUUCACUACCGAUUUUCCUGGCAACCCACCGCAUACUUAUAACUUCACCGGCACUCCAACAAAUCUGCAGACUUCCAAUGGAACAAAAGCUUACAGGCUAGCUUACAACUCUACAGUUCAGCUAAUUUUACAAGAUACAGGAAUCAUAGCCCCUGAGAACCAUCCAGUCCAUUUACACGGAUUCAAUUUCUUUGCCGUCGGUAAGGGACUUGGUAACUUCAAUCCCAAGAAAGAUCCUAAGAAGUUUAAUCUUGUUAAUCCUGUUGAAAGGAACACAAUUGGAGUCCCAUCUGGGGGAUGGGUUGCUAUCAGAUUCCGCGCAGAUAAUCCAGGUAAACAAAUUGUUAAUACUAUUGAUGGGUCCUCACUUAAUCAAUCAAUCUUCGGGUCUCUCAUUCAUUAAUUUUCUUUUUUAAAAUUUUUGUAGGAGUAUGGUUUAUGCAUUGCCAUCUGGAAGUACACACAACAUGGGGAUUGAAGAUGGCAUUUUUGGUUGACAAUGGCAAAGGCCCUAAUGAGUCACUUUUGCCACCUCCAAGUGAUCUUCCAAAGUGUUAAAAGAAACCGGAAAAACAAUGCAUAUUUAAAUUUACAAAGCAGAGAGAUCUCCUCUUCAAGAAAAAGAGUUUGCUGGAGAAGAAGGAUGCAGCAUAAAAAGAGAGUGUUAAUAAGCGGGGGUAAAAAAGGCGAGAGACAGAAUCCAAUUAUUUCUUGAGUGAAUGCAAAUUUUUGCUCAAGCGUGUGUGAAUAAUAUUUGUAAAAGCGUUUCCGUAAAUGAAAUUUUUUCAAGAAUUUGUUCAUUAAUUUCUUUAUUCUUACUUUACUCGUUCAUGAUCUAAAUUUUAAAGAAUCUUCGCAUGGGAGAUAGCUUGUUUCUAAAGUGGCAUAAUUAGUGUAACAGAUUCAAAACUGAGGAUUGGCUAAUCCAGACUAGAAGAUGGUCGUUCUACUGAAGGAAAAUUGACUUUGGUAAUUUAAUUUGCAGUAACUAUCUAUUUGUGUUUCAUUUACUUACGGCAUGUCAUUUCCCUAUGAUAUCCCCUGUAACCCACUUGGCGUUUAUCUCCCAGUAUCCCAACUUCAUCAAAUUUGUUAAUUAUUUACAAAGAUGGUUUUUCAACCAAAAACUUAACGUUCGAACUUUUUGAUUUGCGUUUACUUCGUUGGUGCUAGUUAGUGUAGUGGGUAACGUAACGAGUUAAACGAAAAAGGUCCAUUGCACUCCCCUCCAGUGCUCAAAGCCCGAAUCAAAACCGAAAGAAAAGUUGGGCCUUUGAGUGGACACCGAUGGAGAUUGAGUUAACGAUCUGGGCAAUGCAUUUCAUUGCGGUUGGAUGCAUGCGAAGGCACCACACCCACAAUUAAAAUCAUGCCAAUUCUUGAAUUGAAUCCAAUUAUGGGUGCUUUUAAUUUGAUUGGGACCCUGUAAAAGAAAAGCUCCAACGAUUGCACAUGAAAUGGAAGAGGCUUCCCUGUGGCCACUGUCCUCCUCCUCCUUUGUUAGACACAAUGGUGACAAUUCAAAACAAAGAUUCCAUUUCUGUCACAAAAGUUUCAACUUUGAUCAUCAUUUCGCUACAAAGACACCAUUUCAAUCAAUCAAAAACAGAAAAGGUAAUUUGGAACAUUUGGAGUUCUUCUAUUCUGGGACUGACAAGUACCCACGGAAUCAUAAACACCAAUAAAGCAAUUGUUGUAUUGUAUCCAUCAAUGCCCCCCCAGUACAUCAAAUAUCCCACAAAGUCUUAUUAAAAAUCUCUUUUUGAUUUCGGAGUGCAAUACAAAAGUUGUGUAACAUCAAUGACGACAAUACUACUGGUAUUAGCAGCAUCAUUAACUUGUGUUUUGAGUAGCAACAAAUUUCGCAAUCGCAAUGCUUCUCAUUUUUCAGUAAUUAAGCAGAGGGUAGCCAAACUUAUGAUGGUGACAUCUCACCAGCGCAAUAAUGGAGGUCAUAAGAAGCCUUAGAUUUUCGUUACCAAUAUUUGGCAUUGAAAUUUUACCUGAUGGCGUUGCUUCUUUAUAUAUGUGUGUGUGUACACACAAACUUAUAUGCAUAUUAUUAUCAUAAAUUUAUUGAUAUAAAUAAUCAGAAAUCAGCCCUCAAAGGCGUGGUCGGAUUAAUUGCAGUGCAGCUGUAAUUUCUAACAGGUUCAAUUCUUAAGGGUGAUAAAGGAGGUAAAAACUAUAUUUGAACUUGACUACCCCCCUUACCUUUAAAAAAAACAAUAAUAAUAAAUCUACUUAAUUUAUUAUAGAUUAAAUCUAUAAUGACACAGUCUUAAUUUCUACUAUCACUUAAUAUUGGAGAAAUAUACUAUCCCACCCAUAUCAAUAAUAAAAAAAAUAUUUAUUCUUACUCAAUUAAAUUAAAAAAAAAUAAUUGUAAUAAUCGUGACUAAGGACACCCAUGGGUUCGCGAAUACACUAUUGUCCUUGGACUCUAAUUUCGGCUUCGAUAUAUGAGCCAUGCCAGCAUUAUGGAAUGAAAAGGCAGCAAGGACUUCAUUAAAAUAUCAAUUGGGGGAAUGGGGACCAAUCUGCCCAUUCAUUUUCGCUCCACUCUCUACUUUUAUUUAACUUUUAGUUAAUUAAAGAGCUCUUCGAUUUGCAAACUCCCAUCAACAAAUAAAAGCGUGUAUAAUCUUUUUUAAUUCUUGAAUGAAGUUUGAGUCUACUUAAUUAUUUAUUUAUUCAAAAUUUUACUCAAAUCGAAUAAUUUUUUUUUAUUUAUGUAAAUAAAGUUUAAAAUUUGAGAUUUUUUGUACUACUUAUGAAAUUUUAAUUUUACUAAUUAAAUUCACUAGCGCUCAUUUAAGUUCAUUCAAAAUAUUUUUAAGAAUAAGAAUAUGUUAAUAAAUCUAAUCCAAAUUAUAUCUAUACAUAAAAUUAAGUGAAAUUUAUUCUUAUCUUCUAAUAAGAGAUGGUCAUAGAGAUUCAAACUCUAAAUAAAUUAUAAGUCUAAUUAUUGGACCAACCUCUCGCCCUAAUAAAAGUGCAGUCCCAAUCUACAUGUGGAAAGGGCAUUCAAAGAAAUUCAAACAAACAGAGAGCUUGAGAAAUUAAUAAUUUGGAUACCCAUGGUCAUGGCAUUGAAUGGAGUGUUACUAUAUAAUUUUAUUUUAUUUUUUUCCCCUCCCUUGGAAGGUGCAUUUUUUAAUGUAUUUGCUAGUUGUACAAACCACCCACAUGAUGCACAUCUAGAGGCAGGCUUCAACACAACUACACCAGAAAGAAACGGACAAUUAGACAAAUAGAAAAUUAGAGAAAAUAAUUCGUGUCCACGAUCUCAGAUUAAUCAAUUAUCACUUUUAAUUAAUUUUUUUUUUUUAAAAAAAAAGAUAAAGAUUCUUUCCAUUUUUGGAAACACACAGUUUGUUUAGGCAGUCUUGUCAUUCCCAAAACAGUUGUUUUAAAGUUUAAACACCCUUUUCAAAGUCUCUGAGUGGGAGACAAUUAUUUUGAAAAUUAUUAUUAAAAAUUAGAAAAAAUCAUAUAAUUCACAUAAAUAAAUGUAUGAAGCAUUUGUCCAUGUUUGUGACUUCCACCAUCAAUCCAUCAUCAAGUAAGUUACUCUUAAAGAGUAAUUUGGGUUCAAGUUCCAAUUCGUGAUACUUUCUUGCUUGCCAUUGACAUUUUCUUUAAGGUUGAUCAUAGAAUAGAUUUAGUAACUCGUUUAGAGGAUAUUGGAACUACAAAACAAGCAGUGUUUCAAUAAUGGCCUUUCAUUUCUUGGCAAAAUUGGAAAAAAAAUUAUUGUUAUUAUUAUUACUACUACUACUACUAUUAUUACGACUGUUGAGCUUUUAGUGCACAAUUUUAGGCCAAAAGAUUGAACCAACCUCUCCAACAAACUACAUGUCUAUUGAUUCUUUUUAAAUAUUUAAUACAUGGAUUGCAAAGACGAAAGCAACCCAUUAACUUUCUGCAACAUGAAUAAUAUAAUCAAAUGUCAAAUGAUUAGGAUUUAGUGUUGAACUAAAUUUGUUGUUGAAUACUGAAUCAAUGAUUAGAAUUGAUUUAAAUUUUAUUUUUUUUUAUUUCUCUUGUUUAACAACCAUUGAUUCAGCACUGAGCAAAAAUUCAACCCAGUACUAAAUCCUUAUUCAAUGUCAAAAUGGUGAAAUAAAACAAAUGUCAGCCUCAGUUACAACCAUCUAUCAACAUAUAAAUUCCAUAUAGAACUAUAAACACCAAGUAAAAUUUUUAGUCAAAUAAAUUAUUCAAAUUCUACAACCAAGGACAAAAUUAUAUUACCCGGAUGCAACUUAUCCACAGUUUUCUCAUUUUCUAUUUCAAUUACACUGAGUAUCUGUUGUUUGCUGUAAAAUGUCAAAAACAAAUAGUUAUCAUAAAAUACCCAACAUUAUACAAAGGUUGGUAAUAAUUUUUUUUUAAUAUAAUAAACCAAAGUCUAAUAUACAACUGAAACCCUUAAUAUUGUUGAAUUAUGCAAAUUCAACACAUAAUCUCACAAUCAUUAAGGAGAUUUCAAACUCCAUCUUAAGGUUAAGGAAGAGAAGUGCCAACUUAGUGGAGGGAAGCGGGGAAAAAAACUCUUAGCUCAUGUUUGGUUGGUCAGUUUCAUUUUUAUUGUUUGGAUGGUAAAAGAAUUCAUUUUUCUCCCCUUAUUUUUUUUUUUUCCCUCUUCUCCUUUCUUAUUCUCUCCUUUUUUUAUAUUUCUUCAAACCAAACAUGUCAUAAAUCCCUAAUAAACGAAUGUAAUAAUUUAUCUUUCCUUAUAUUGGAGAGGGCCAUUACCUUUCCCGGUGUCGGCCCAAAGAAUCAGUUUGAAAGUCCGAACUAUUAACCAAUUUAAAAGGCCACACACUCAAUGGACCCCACAAACCCAAUGGCUUUAAUUUUAUUUAAAAGUGUCUUGACUCGGCUCAAGCAAGUGCCGUCGUGGGGCUACAACCAACAAGCCUUUAUUAUGCAUUUCAAAAAUCAAAAUCAAAUGUUAGUGGAACAAUUCAGCCUAUUUUCUACAUAUUAUGUCAAUAAAUUAAAUAGCUCUGUCAUUAAUUAUAUUGUUGAACUAAUAUUGAAAUUUCAUGUCGGAUUAGAGUAAUUACAUGUUUAUAAAGUUGUACAUAAAAAUUGCAUCUUGAAUGAUGUGGUCACACGUUACUUUUAUUAAUGCAGUGAGAUUGUCACAUUAAUAUUAAUAUGUUUGUGUAAAAAAUUAAUUAUUAUUAAAUACAUGACAAUAAUUUAUUGAUGUCACAUUAUUUGGAAUAUAAGUUUUGUGUCUAAAAUUUGUAAGUAUGGUUGCUAUCCUUUCACUGCGCCAAGUGUUGUGAAAUAACAAAUCAUUAUAUGAAUUAUUGAAAGAUAACACUUCUCAACAUUAACUUUUUUUUUUUCAAAACAACAACUUACUACAUUUCCAUCGCUGUCAUUAGUCUAAUGUUACACUGACGUCAUAUGGGCAAAAUAGUUUUUUCAUCGAAUGAAGUCCAAUUUUGUAUUAAGUUUUAGGAUUAUUGUCAUUUUACUACACCAAGUAUAGCAUAAUAAAAAACCACUACAUAAAUUAUUGAAACGUAGUAUUUCAUUGCAUUAACUUAAAAAAAACAAUUUAAUACAUUUUCAUUAGUUUACUAUUAAUCAUGCAACAAAUCAAUAGCAAAGCUAACACUAUCAUUUAAUUAUCAUUACAAAUUUAAGUAGAGAUGAUUUUUUAUUUCGCAUCGAGAGUAAGACAAAAUUGUAAAUUCAUGUGUUAUUGAUUUAUAAUGUUUUCUUUUAUUUUAAGAGUUAUUCAUUAAAAGAAAAUUUUGAUAUUUUAUAAGUCGAUUAACAAAAAUGACGAAAAUAUAAUAAAUUAUUAUUUUUAAAACGUUUGUUUAAUAAAGUGUUAUCUUUUAAUAAUUUAUACAUCCAUUUAUUAUUUCGGAACCCUUAAUGUAGUGAAUGGAUAAAAACGCUGGUAAGUAUAUUCCGACUGGUCAAAUUAACAUUAAUGAGAGGGAAUAUGACCCUUAAUUAACAAUGUAUUAAAUAUGAGUUGACCAUAUUAAUGAAAGCAACAACACAUCAUAAAAUUUGCAUCUGGCCCUCACCUGUAUUGGGGUCAAACUAAUGAUUUGUGUGGGCGUAUAAUAAUGUUUCUACUUAAUGAACUUCUCUUCGCCACUAAUAAAAAAUUUGUAUGCAAUAAACAUCCCUAAUCCCAAAAGUAAUUAAUUAAUCGAAAAUAUAUAUUUAAAUAAAAAAAUCGAACUGGAAAAAUAUUCACACGAUUAUUACUUUGACUUGAAAUUCCAAAUCUAAAAAAACUAACGAAAUUAAUAUUUUUCGUUAAAAUCAAACUAAAAUCAAGAGAUGAUCCAUUACUCAGGAUUAAGAGAGAGAUAGACCAUUACCCAAUCAUUACUUAAAUUAAAAAAAAAAAAAGAUAAAAUCAAUUUAAUAGAAAUUCAGAUCAAAUAUCAUUUUACAUUUUUAAACCUCAUAAAUUAUAUUCUAAAUAGAAAUAUACAAAUUUAGGAAUAUAACCGUAGAGUUUGAUAAUUUUUUCUUCUAAACUCGAUCUUUUUUUCCCCUUUCCUCCUUGUAGAGACUAAUUAUUUGCCUUAUUAUAAUGAAAUAUUUUGGAUUCAAACAAUUGGUUUAAAAUGGACUUUCUUUUCUAAUUUCUCCUUCAAGAACAAAUAGGCUGGUUAGGUAAAGAAGUCCUAAUUAAGUCAAUUGAUAAUCCCAUUACGCAACCAGGCACAAUUUGCUUGCCGAGUUUUAAUUUUUCACUUUUCAGUGUGAUUCAAUUUAUUCUUGCUAAUGUAAUGUGCUUUUUGACAGAGAGUAUCAUCAGCACGGGACAAACAUCUCACGUGCUACAGCUAAAGUGCUAAACGUCAACUCCAUUGUUCAUUGUUCAAAGUUGGAUUUUCUUUGUAAAAUGACAAUAAUAUCCACAGCUAAUCCUUCUUUAGAUAAUUUUCCAUUUUAUCCCUAUAGUUUGCAAAAGUAACAAACAGGUCCAGUCACAUUUAUCAACCGGCUCACACAAUGACACAAUUAUGUCCUUUUUUUUAUUGAGUGAUGAUACAGUUACAAACUCUUGUACAAAUUCAUCUUGUAUAAAUUAAUGUGACAUUAAUUUAUUGGUUAAAUGAAAAUAUAAAAUAAUAAAAAUAAAUCAUGUGGGCCAAGAGAUAUUUAAUUCAACAAAUUUAAUCAUGUCACAUCAGUUUGUACAAGAUAAGUUUGUACAAGAGUUUGUGGCUAUAUCAUUACUCUUUUUUUAUUUUCUAAUUUCAUUGAAAAAAAAUUGACAAUAAAACAACAUGCUACGAUACUAAUACAUUGUUCAACAUUAUAAUUGAUUUACGAUAUUAGUAUAAUGAUCUAAUUUAUUAAGUCAUUUCUUAGUUAUUAAUAAUUAAAGAGAAAGCAAGGCACUGAAUAAUUAAUAUGCAACAAUAAUUUUGAGCUUUCAAUCGAUCAAUUUUUCAUGACUUUUUCAGCAUCAUACUCUACCACCAUAAUUGACUCUUCUAUAUGACAUAAUGAUGACUUAUCUUUUGAAAUCAAUCUUAUAAGACUUAUAAUUUUCUUAAUAAGAACUUAAGAGAUUUCAAAUUUAAAAAACAACUCAUUGUGACAUAAAAAAAUCACAAAAAAUAAUUAUAACCACUACAGACAUGAGUUUGAGUCAAAGAACUACACUUACAUUCAAAGAACUACACUUACAUGAAGAGAAAAGAUAAAAAUUAAUAGUAAAAAAAAAUAUUUUCCCUAAUGGAAAGAAGAAGAAGAAAUAGAGUUGAUGAUUACAAUGAGAACAAAAAAAAAAUCCGAAUGUAAUUAAUAAAUCACUUACAUAAAAAUUAAAAUGAAUAAUUUGAAGGUAUGAGAAUUGUAUCAAUAGCAAACUACCUAAGUCUUAUUUGACUAUGAUAAUUAUUUCAUACGUAUACUAAAAGUAUAAUGUUUUUUUUUUUUUUUAUUACAUGAGACUAUUGCUCAUAUUACAACUCAUAUACAUGAGACUAUUACUGAUAUUUACAAAUCAGACUAUUACUGGGACCAACUGACAUCAAUGCUAAUGGAGCUCUGCCCAGAUUUUAACCCUCACAAAUAUUCGAGGGAUGUCUACUCCUCACUCAUGGGUAAGAGAGAAGACUACCUUCACUCAAAUUAAUUGAAGAAGGAAAUACCCCCACAAUACUUUUGUGGGGGUUCGAACCGCUGCCCUCCAAGUUGGAGGGCAGCAGCCCUGGCCACUCGGGC
rnacentral:lncRNA from 1 species